rnacentral:lncRNA from 1 species
CUUCCCUCGUCUUUGUCUUUUCCCUGGACUAUGCCCGAACUCGAUUGGCAAAUGAUGCCAAGGCUGCAAAGAAGGAGGAGAGAGGCAGUUCAACGGCUUGAUUGAUGUCUACCGUAAGACCUUUGCUUCUGAUGCAUUGCUGGACUUUAUCGGGAUUCAAUCUUUCUUGUGUUGGAAUCAUUGUUUAUCGUGGUCUCUAUUUUGGACUGUAUGAUUCUGUGGCCAGUGGUCCUCACUGGCAAGUUGCAGGUAAAUAAUCGAUGAGACCAGUGCUUGUCAUCAUCAUUUGUCAUGAAGUAUUGAUUGACUGAUUGUGAUUCACAUUUUCAUGAAUUUUUUUUAAUUAUUUUUGUGUUAUAGUGUUUCUCUUCUAUUUGCUUUGAGCUAGUAGCUAAAUACAGAGGACAUGCAAGAAGCAAAUAUUGAUGCAUGUGAUCCUUAUUAUGCUCUAGAAUUCCUUUACUACUACAAGUCCAUAAUUUUUGUAUCUAGCUUCAUUGUACCUUCUCUUUUGCUGUUUCUGGUUUUCAGGAUAGUUUCUUUGCUAGCUUUGCCCUUGGUUGGGUGAUUACGAAUGGUGCUGGCCUUGCGUCUUAUCCAAUUGAUACUGUCCGAAGAAGAAUGAUGAUGACAUCUGGUGAGGCAGUGAAGUACAAAAGCUCCCUAGAUGCAUUUACUCAGAUCGUGAAGAAUGAGGGUGUAAAGUCUCUCUUCAAGGGAGGUGCUGCAAACAUCUUACGUGCUGUUGCUGGUGCUGGUGUGCUUGCUGGCUACGACAAACUGCAAGUGCUUGUCUUAGGAAAGAAGUAUGGAUCUGGCGUGGUGCUUAAGAGUUGGUUUUUUGUCCUCAAGAUUUUGAAGAUUAGGCAGUGAAAAAAUCUCCCAUGUGUGGGACCUUAACCAGGCUUUCUGAUUCAAUAAUUUGACACCUUUACAGGUGUCACCCUGAACCUUUUUUUAUUGAACCGUUCAUCGCUUUCUACAUCUUAUAUUGUUGCAGCCGCGGAUGCAGUUGCUAGUUUUUUGAGUUUCAAUUACUCAAGAGAGGCUUGUAUGUCAUGUACAAUGCCUGAAUUGCUUUCCAUAGUGAGAGAUACAACUGUGCAACUUUUUGGCCUUAUCAUCCUGGCAAGUGCAUACCUGAAAUUAUAUGCAUCAGUGUCUAAACUGCUAGGUCCUUUAUGUUUCGUACUAUUCUCUGUUUCUUUAUUUUAUACUUGGGGCUAAAUCACUUCAAAAUUUUAUUCCUUGUAUGCGAAAUGUCUAUGCUGAUUUUCAUAAAUAGCAAGCCUCAAGGUGCCUGCGCAUGUCUUUGAGUGUUUUGUACUUUCAACUGCUGCAAGGCCAAUCUGUUAAGCUGUCUUCAACUGCUGCAAGGCCAAUCUGUUAAGCUGUCCUCAAUCUUGGAUGCCCUUUAUUAUAUCUGUUUCAUUUCUACAUGUCCAUUCUUGGAUACAGAGAUGUAAUGUGUUUAGUUAAACAUUUUAAGAUCUAGAGAUCAAACUGGAAGCUCUCGAUCUCGACUUUAACCGACUCAAAACUGAAGUAAGCUAUGAACAAGAACGAGCUGGCCUGCUUGAAGAGUAGCUCAAUGUCCAGCCUUCGAUAAAUGAGUAGUACAUAAUGGUCUUUCACCUUGGGUGAUCGUGUAGCAAUCCAGUGGAAAAUGGUUGAUGCUGUUUACUGGCAACUAUAAGGGUACCUGAAACCUAAUAAGCUGUAUGAGCCAACGAUGAGAUUCUGAAAUUCUGCUUGGAUUGCUUGUUUCCGUCGAAAAAUAUUGUCAUUUUCCGUAAUCACAUUUUCCUAUCACCUUUUUUCCUCACAUAUAUCAAAUCGCUACUCGAAAUCUUCAAGUAGGGGUGUUUUUGAAUUGAGUCAAGCCCUGGCACUGGUGUAGCCAAGUUCAAGUUCAAAGGUAAUUAAUCACCUAGCUUAUCUUUAAUUGAGUGAGGUUUGAUGAGUAUCAUCCAAAAAAAAAAAUUACUAGUGGUUCAAGCUCAAGAUUAGCCUACUUGACAAGAUUAACUCGAGUCCAAGCUCAAGCCUAAACUCUAGGGCAAUCAAGCUUGAUAGAGUGGUAAAGAUUGUAAUUUGUCCAAAACAAACAUUCUAUAAUUUCAAUAGUUUCAUAACUAUAUAUAAAUAACAAUAUAUUACAAAAAUUAUAAAUUUAUGAAUAGUUGAUAAGCUUGAGAAGCUCUCAAUAUUAUGUAUGGACACGGAAGUUGAUCCGUAUGACAACUUGAAUCGUUGGGUUUGAAUUUUAUCGAAUUCAAAUCAAUCUUUGAACGAAGCGCUGGUAAAUAAGUCGAUUUAUCAGUAGCUCCUAGUCCAAUUCCUAUUCCAAACUCACGCUGUGAAGCUUGUUCGUAUAAGGUUGAGUUUCCUCGAGAUUCAACAAUGCAUUCUACCCACAAGUCUUUCUAUGGACGCUUCUUCACCUUGUGUGGAGGAUCGUGAAAGCUGUUAAUAUCUCUCAAGGGUUACUUAGCCCUUUUUCUGGAAAUAGAAGUAUGCCAAACACUCACGCUACCCUAAAGGCCAAAUUGCAUGAUAAACAAUAAAGUAAUAAACAAUAGGCAUUACGAUGGCAAUCAUUAAAUGGGCUUUCCAAGGAGGCAAAAGCCCAUUCAUUAUUUGCUUUGCAGUUUUGGGCCUCGUUUAGUGAACUGAUUGGUCCGCAGUGUAGACCAUUUGAAAUACAAACAUGAGACAAUAAUCCUAACAAAAUGUAAGACUAUUCUAGUUUUUUCUUCUUUUUGUCUUGAUAAAUUAGUUUUUAAUUUUUGAAAUUCUUUCCUUUUUUUUUUAGAUAACUUUUAUACGCAAAAGUAAUUGAUCACCAACCUUGAACGCAUGCAUGAAACAACUCAACAUAGCAAUAAAACUUUAGAUCAUUCAAGUUAAACAAACAUCUUCUACUUUUGCUGAUGCUGAUAUUGUUGUAAAUUGUCUUAAAACCAAAGGGAUAUUACUCCAGCCAUAUCUAUUCCUUCAAUGCUAGUAACAAAUACUUAUAAAUACAGUUAUAGUUCCCUUUCUAAAUGUACAAACUCACAAGCUCGUCAUUGUAAUUAAGUCCCACCCUCUCAUUUCUUGAACCUCAAUUGUUGUAAUUAUUGGUGUCAAAUGUCAAUUGUUAGCUCAAUUGAGUUCAACUCGAAUUCAAGUCAAAUAAUAGUCAGACCGAUCCCGAGCUCAAUUUUUAAGGAAAGCAAAUACUUUAGCUCAAAUCAAGCACAAGGAAAGCGCUAUACGAAUUCAACCCACUCGCUGUGAGUUUGAAAUGCAAAAUUUCCUAUGAUCCUAUCUUCUUAAAAUUCUUGUACAAAAAAAAAAAAAAAAAAGUGAUUGAAGCAAAUCGAUAACUCGCAUAUACUAGUCAAAUCACAUGCAAAUAAUAGUUAGUGGAUUUUGGGACUAAGAAUGAUGAAGGUUUAUUUUCUAUCAAUCCGUAACUUCUACAUUAAUCCUGCUCUCACUCCUGUUUCAAUCUAUCUAAGGGAGAAUCUAACUGGACCAAAGAGAACUAAAGGGAGUGACUCUCAUCUCAAGAUUAAAAGGGUGCAAUACUGCAUACGCUUUGAAUUUGGUAGAUAUCACGUAAUAAUAACAAUUGAUGGGAGACAAAGUUUCAACCUUUAACAUUCCAACUUAUAAAGGCAGUUAGAGACAAUUGAUGAAGUUGUUUUUGUUAUUUGACCACUUUUGAUGGUCUCAUAUAGCGGAAUGCUUCUUUACAAUCUGGACCCGGGUAUGACUAAACAAUGGUAAAAGAGAAAGAAAGAGAAAUGGAGGGAAUGAGAGAUCAAUUCCUUGCUUGCAAAAUGUGUCUUGAGCGGUCCCAUGAUGUAUCUCAUCCCACCAUCUUGUGCAGUUUUUUCAGUUGCAGAUGGCAGAAACUAGGAGGAGAGCCUUUGCUUUAAUGGCUAUGUCUUAAUAGCUUUCUAUAUUCACUGAACAAAGAUCUUUGCCAUUUUCCGUAUCUAGUAUGUGACUUUGUGGCCUCCAUCAAUUUUCAAUUGCUUUCUUAAAGAUCUUAUCCAUUUAAGUAUGCUGUGCAUUUUGUCUCCUUUUGUCCGUUUGAAUUACGGACUUGAUCACCUCUACAAUGACCUGUGCCAAUUUCUAUCUUGUACCACUAGCACCUCAACAAUUGCUUGGAAAGCCAUUUUCUACCAAAAAAAAUAUUUACGUUUUUCAUAAAUAUAUUUUUCAAUCACCUUUUUAUCUCAUUUAUAUCAAAUCGAUAUAGUACAUUUUUUCACAAAAACUCCAAAAAAUUACAAUCCAAACAAGAAUUAUCUUCCUCCACUUCCAGUUGUGUACACGAGAGAAUUUGACUCUACAAUUUUCUUUUCAAAUUGAAAAUUUAGCCUAUUCUUAACUAUUAUUUAUCAGGUGAUUGAUUCCAACCCUAGUCCAAUUUUUCUUUUGUCCAAGUGUUUCUUAUAGCUCUCGUAAAGCUAAUCACCCUAACAACAAAAAAGAAAAAAAAAUCACAAAUUGUAAUUUCAGAUAAUUAUUUUAUCAGGGAUUUGGAAGUACUCAACCACUAAGUUAACUAUUUGUGAGAAGGCAUGAUGUCUACAACAUUAACCUUUCUUUCUUUCUUUUCUUUCAAAUUGACAUAUGUAUCAUUUAUAGUGUGUUUUAGUUGUUAUAACCAAAUUCCUCGGGCCUUUAAAGCUAAAAUUAUAGAGAAAAUACAUAAGAAGAAAUAGUUUUUUGUGUGGAAAUAGAUAUCAUUGAACUUUUCCACAUUGUGGAAGUUCAUGUAUCUUUCUUAGAUCAUUUAGAACAAAGCAUUCAUGGUUGGAGAGAACAUGUCCUGGAAAUAAAUUCUAGGCAGUGCUCUUGUGUGGUUUUUAUCUAUCUUUAACCCAAUAAAAACAGUCAGAGAAUUAUUUAAGCCACUUUUGAUAAAGGGUCAUCCACAAAAGUUUUUCACCAUAGAAGUGGGGUUGCUCUCGGAAUCUGGUCCGGGCUAUGUGGUCCUUGUGCAACAGUACAAGGAAAGGCAUAAAAUCACAUCUUGCCCGUUUUCAAUCCAACCCUUUUGCAUCUUCAUUUUGUCUUCCCUUUUUCCAUAAUUUGGAGGGCUACUAAUUCUCAAUCUUGUUUCCAACGAAUUCAUUUACCUCUUUCUUUUUUUGUUAUUGAAGAAGAGGUAUUACUUGAACCAAUAAUUGGCAGGAUGAACAAAGAAAAUCUUAGCAUUUCUAUUGAAGCUAAAAAUGAAAUUGAAUAACCAAUGCCAUCUCUGUACUACCUUGAAAAUUCCUUAGGUUCGUACUUACCAAUCAAAAAGCUAUACAGUAUUGUAGCAAUAUCUAGCCUUUUAUAUAGCUGCAAAUUUGCACUGAAUUGUCCAGUCUUUGCAUAGCAAUACGUACUGAAUUAUCAACUACAAAGGAAGGAUGACUUUUUCCAUAAUUAAUCAUUAUCUUUUGUAAGCUUCCAUUAGUGACAAAUUUCGUAGGCCUUCAGAAAAUGUUUGUUUCCAGUCAAUUUCACUGCACGAAAAGGAGAGCUAUGGUUAUUUUCUCACUUGUUUGGUGGCAAAAACUUGAAUGGUUAUCCAUCUUGAAAAGACAAUGGAGGGUUCUUUUUCCUGUGGAAGACAAAAGUCUGGUGGAUUGUGGGACUGAUAUGGUAUAUCCUUCCAAUUUCCUCGAAGCUAUAUCAAGAGUAUCAAAGUUUGCUCAGAUGAUUACUAUUUUCACAAGAAUUCUGUUGUUUCACAUUUUCUUUAAAUGUGUAUUUGAAAUAAAAAUAGUUCAAGAACGUAUCCGGAGUUCGAAAGCUUGUAAUUUAUUCUCUAACACAUUAUUACAUAACCGUUUCAAUUUUAAGUUGAUGAAUUAAACGACAUAUGUUAAAGACAAUGAAAUGAUCAUGGAAGAUCAAAUAAAAUAGGGGAAAAUGCCCCAGUGGUUGUCAAAUUAUUUCAAAGUUUAACUUUUGGCCAUCCAAUCAUUAAAUGGGUACUUUUAACUCUCUAACGAAUUAAAACAUAUAUUCAUAGCGUUUCAUCAAAUUGAAUCGUUAUUUCAACAAAACAGUGUAGAUGGUUUUUAUCACUUUUGGUGCUGUUUCUAUUAGACAUUUUCUUCAUUCUUUGUAACAGUUCUUUACUUGGGAGGCUGGAAUCUUUCUAUUCCGUACAUAUUCGUUUAUGAGAUAUUUGACAUAAAUAAAGCGGGUAAAGUUUUUGGCCCAGUAAUUGGUAUCUCUAUUACAUUAGCUAAAACUUAUUUGUUCUUGUUCAUUUUUAUUGCAACAAGAUGGACUUUACCAAGGCUGAGAAUGAUUUAAGUUGACGGAAAGAUUAUGAGUGCAAAUUUUAAUUAAUUGAAAGGUUAAAAUUAUUUAUUUAAUAAUUGAAAAGUCAAAAUUAAAAUUUGUAAUAGUUUAAAAGCAUUGAAACAUUUUACCCGACAAAAUUUAAGCUCCCAACCUAGUAUACGAGAGAGCUAUACAAGAUUCCCUUGCGAUUCACUCGCUAAUUGUAUUGGAUAUGUGUUUUUUUUUUUUUUUUUUUUUAAAAGGCUAGUAUCUAUAUGGGGUUUUCAAGGUAAGUUGGGUUUUCCAAUAAUUAAGCUUAUCCCCAUUGACUGAGGAGGAUUGUUGUGAGGAGACCAAACAGCUUGGAUUGUGUAGGGACCAAUAUACUACUCUUCCUAGACUCCUAGUAAUAGCAGAUUAUCAUAGAGAGGAGUACUUUUACAACUUUGCUGCUGGGGUUGCUACAGCUGUACGGCAAAGAUCACGCAGACAGGCUUCUGGGAAUGCGGCUCCCAGCCUUCCACUCUGUCUCACGCACACUUCUCAGUUCCUACCGGCUGUUAAAACGGCUUUAGUUUCACAUGCUUAUUGCUAUGCGGUUUUUCUUUAUCAAUUUUCCCUUUCUUUUUUCACCAUCUCGUGGUAAUUUGUAUUUUAUCAUACUCCCUCCGUCCCACUUUGAUAGUCCUGUUUUCCUUUUUUGUCUGUCCCAAAUUGCAGUCCACUUUCCAAUUGAAGAAUGUAGUUGUAUUUUCAUUUUCCUAAAAUACCCUUAUUCAAUACAAGUUGUUGUUGCUAUAAACCUACCCCAUUUAAUGAGAGUUGAUUCUUUUUUUACCAUCAAUUCAAGUUCCCAUAAAGUUGUACUCUAUUUAAUGUGAGGGUAUUUUAGGAAAAUAGCAAUCUAAAUUUACUUUUCCAACAAAGUUAACUACUUUUUCUUAAACUGUGUGAAAAAAGAAACAGGACUAUCAAAGUGGGACGGAGGAGUAUCACUCAAGUGGCAUUCGAUUUCAUUGUGAAAGUAUCCUUUUAGAGUGAAAUGAAAUGAAUGGGUGAACGAGAAAGGAGUUGAGUUGAAUGAUAAAAUGGAAAAAAUUAUAACUAAGAGGUUUUAGAUUCAAAUUCUCUUACUUAUAAAAAGAAAAUAAAUGAAUAAUUUUUAUUAGGAUGGAGGAACAUUCAAAUGGAACUAGACAAUCGAAAGCUGGUAGAAGCCAUAAAGAAACCAAGUCACAACAAUCAUCUGAUGGCUACUCUAUUAGAGGAUAUAAGGUCCAUUUGUAAUCUGUUUCAAAAGUGCUCUAUCUCUUUUGCUAUUUCAAGGAAAGUAGAAUAUAUUAAGUUGAGCUUACAUGCUCUAAACAUUUGGAUAGAUGAAGAAUGGAUGAAUCCCAAUAUUAGAUGUUAGUGCAUCAGUAAGUUGCUAGGACAAUUUGUUCCUUUUCUUUGGACAGUUGUCCAAACACUGUACAAGUUACGGAGAUAUAUAUAAAAUGCUAACGUUUCGGAAAAAAAAAAGAAUAAUUUUUACUAGGCAAAUUUAUAACCACGAGACUAAAGUCAUUAUACUAUAGUAAAAAUCAAAAUAGAACUAUAGAACUAUUCAUCCUAAGCUUGUUUAUGAGGGCAUUUAUUUAGGAUUAAUCUUUUCUACACCGACAGUGUAUACACUAUCAGCGUUGGAUGAUUGACAAUUUAUGCAAAAUUUGAAUUUGAAAUUCAACUUUUGCACACAUAUCAUGAAUCUAACGAUGAUAGUGUAUACACUAUCAGUGUAGGAAAGAUUUACUCAUUUAUAUUUAACUUGAGAAAAGUCAUUAAAAUUCCAACUUUGACAUAACGCUAAUGAUUGAGCAAAUGUUGGAGAGAGAUGAUGUAAAUUUGAACCCAAAAUGGUAGAUCUUAUGAAACCUCAAUGCAAUAUGUAAUGAGAAUAAAAUAAAUAUAGCAUUUGCUUUUUGGCUGUUCAAGUCAUUCUUUCAUAAAUUUGUUUGGGUUUAUGAAGCUAUAAUGUCAAAUUUAAAUAUUCUUUGGCCUUGUUCAACAACAUUAAACUAUACAUGGCUCGCGAGAAAGCGCGAGAAAGAAAAACAGAUACCAUCAUUGGAAUUUGGAACGAGUCUUUACAUAUUCAAGGGUUUCAUACAUUAUGUUAAAACUUAAAACCAAAGGUAGUCUAGCCACAUUAAUGAUCAGAUUUUGAGUCACUCUGCUCAGCGUCAAUUAGUUUUGAGAUAAAAAUUCAAUUUUUUUUUAACAUGAUACUAUAAUUGGGCCACAGGUUUUGUUCAUCAACCUCACCUGCUUACAAUUUCACCUAUAAUUUGAUCAAUUACUUGUGACUUCAGGGUUUCUAGGGUGGGUUCUGUUCAUCUAUACCUCAAGUUUACAAAUCCAAGCCUUCUAAGGUGUUACUCCGUCCAUUUUUUCUAAUUUGGAGGGUUUUAGGGUUCUGUUCACUCGUACGUUGCAUUUACAAGUCAAUGAGUUCGAAGAUUUUAGGACUCCGCUCACUUCUGCCUUAAGUCAAAAUCAUGUGUGAGAGGAGAUGUUAAGAUUAAAUAUCCACAAUUAUUCCUUAAGAAAUUCCAAUUACAUUCAUAAGAUCUUAGACCACUGACUCAUGUCAUUAUCAAUUGAUUUUGAGAUGAAAAAUAAAGCUCUUUAAUACGUUAGAGGCAGCUAGAGAAAUGAUGGAUAAUAGAUUCUAAAAUUUGUUAACCUAAUAAACUAAUUCAUCUACGAAAAUAAUGUCGUUGAAUACAUUGCUAAAUCCAAGCACUCUUUAGUAUGGUGGAUAAAUGGUCUUAUACAUUUCUCAUGGAAUGUGAUAAUAUUUCACUAAUUACAAAAGCUAGUUAAUCUUCACAAAAUUUAUAAUUAUUCAAAUAUUCUACAACCUUUCCUAUUGUUACUGAUAACUAUUCAAUUUUGCUAAGCCAUUUGACAUAAGCUCUGAAGCAUUACACUCUCACUUAGUAGUGUCUUUUUCGAUAAAUAACUAUUAAAAUGUAUUCAAAUUUAAGAUUUUAGGCAUUACAGUUUUCUCUAAAUUGUCUUUUUAUCUUUAAAUGAUGCAGUCAUGCUUUUAAAGAAAAUGCGUAUCUACACUACUCAACAUUUUCUACAAAAAUAGCAUACAUUGCAUUUCAAUCUAUGUUAUCGUUAUCGAUUCAAAAUAACUUAGUGUACAUUACAUUUCAAUCUAUAUUGUCUUUUACGAUUCAAGAUAAUUUAAUAUACGUUACACUUUGAUCUAUAUUGUCUUUUGUGAUUUAAAAUAACACACUGUAAGUUACAUUUCAAUUUAUAUUGUCUUUUCCUAUUAAAAAUAAUCUAAUUUAUGUUACAAUUCAACCCAUAUUGUCUUUUCCCAUAGAAAAUAAUUUGUUGUUGUAUAUAUUUCGAAUCUUUAUCGUGUUUUCCUAUUCAAUAAUGCCUAACCACCUUGCAUCAUAAAUUUUGUCUAGUUAUAUAAUUAAUAAAAAAAUUAUAUUUGUAGUUGCAACGUAUAUACAUAUAUCACAUCAUAAAAUUUGCUACACUUUUAUUUCAAAUUUUUUUUCCAAAUAAAUUGAGUGUAUUUGGAUAGAGUAUUAUUUAGCUUGUAUCAUAAAUAUAAUUUUCAAUCAACUUUCUGUUUCAUAUAUAUCAUAUCAUAAAAAGUGUUAUAGUACUAUUCUAAAUAAUUUUUUUUUCAAAUUAUCUCCUAUCCAAACACGCUUACUAUAUUAUUUGAAAUAAUUAAUAUAGCAAAUUUUGUGAUGUGAUGCAUGUGAGGCAAAAAAAUAGUUAAGAAUAUAAAAAAGGGAUUGAAAAAUGUAUUUAUGAUACAAACAAAACAAUAUUAGAAAUAACAUGUGUUUAAAAAAUGUUCUAGCCAAACACAUUCAUAUACUUCUCAAUUCAGAAAAUCAUACUCCUUAUAUCACAAAAUUCAUUCCUCUAUAUCUCAUGAGAAGAUACACAAACAAACAUACACAAUGUGCAUAAACUAAUUUUAAAAGAAUUAUCUAAAUCUAAGUUUAAUGCUUCAUGUUUCAAAAGCUUGUUUACCUAAUAAACUAAUUCAUCCAUGAAAACAAUAUCAUUGAGUAGAUCAUGAAAUUCAGUUGUCUUAUAUGUUUCUAAUAGAAUGUGAUAAGAUCUCAAUAAUUACAAAAGCUAGUUAAUCUUCGCAAAUUUUAGAAUUUUUUAAAUAUUCUAUAACCUUUCUUAUUGUUACAAAUUACUAUUCAAUUUUGCUAACACAUUUGAUAGAAGCUCCCAAGCCUUACACUCUUUUUUGACAAAUAACCGUUAAAAUGUAUUCAAAUUUGAGAUUUUAGGCAUUUUAAUUUUCAUUAAAUCAUCUUUUUUUAUCUUUAAAUGAUGCAAUCAUGCAUUUAAAGAUAACACAUAUCUAUACUACUCAACAUUUUAAAGAAAAUGCGUAUCUACACUACUCAACAUUUUCUACUAAAAUAUCAUACGUUACAAUUCAAUUUAUAUUGUCUUCAAUGAUUCAAAAUAACUUAGUGUACGUUAUAUUUCAAUCUAUUAUUGUCUUUUAUGAUUCAAAUAAUUUAAUGUACGUUACACUUCAAUCUAUAUUAUCUUUUGUGAUUCAAAAUCACCUAGUGUAUGUUAUAUUUUAAUUUACAUUGUCUUUUGAAAAAAAAAAAUCAUUCAAAAUGUAUCUCAUAUUUUGUAAAAUGACUUUUUAUAUGCCUUACUUUUAAAAGUAUAAUUUUACGUCCCUUAUAAAUUCACAUUAGUCAAAUUUGUUUCCUAUCUAGGUUUCUGAUUAGUUUUUAGUUGGAAUCCAUCACGUGCCUUACACAUGAUCAUUUUUAGGGGCAAAAUUGUCAAAUAAUAGUUCACAUAAUCUGAUCCAUAGUUCUUCACAUUUAAUAAAAUAAUUUUUUUUUGUCUAUCAUAUUUUACAAACUAAAUUUUUUCAUCCUUCAUUAAUCAUGUGUAUGAAUAGGUUUUUUUACAUCCCAUAUAUAUGUUUAUUUGAUUUCACCUGAAUAAUACAAAUAGCAUUUAAUAUAUAUUUCUAUUUGAUUUCACCUACAACUACAAUUAGCUUAUUUAGGUGAAAUCAAAUAGAAAUAUGUUAUAUGAUAUACAUACUAUUCAAGUAAAAUCAAAUAAACAUGUACAUGAAUUUUUAAAAAUAAGAAAAAAGUAUUCAAACACAUGAUGAACAAGGGAUGAAAAAAAAUUCAUUUUGUGAAAUGUGAGAGACGAAAAAAUUUAUUUUAUAAAAUGUGAGGGACUACGGAUAGGAUUAUGUGAAAUAUUAUUGAGCAAAUUGCGCGAAAUGUCACUAAACUAUUUCAAAGUGCCGGUUCUGGUCACUAAACUUUUUUAUUAGCGCGAAAUGUCACUGAACUAGUAAAUCUGUACCGUUUUGGUCACUCCGUGUAUUUGUGCCGCCAGGACAGACGAAAAUCAACUUUUUGAGGGGCAAAUUCAUCUGCACAGCCUUUUCCUUGAAACUCUCUACCAUAAAUCACUCUCAAAUGUCAGACAACUCGUAAGUUCAAUUAGGAAGUGCAAACCCUUAUCCUGUAAUAGAUUUCUUCUGCAAAUAUGGAGUAGGAGGGACAAUAUACGAAGUUGCAAUUUGCUGGGAAUGUGUUGAAGCUUCAUUGGAGGAAUACCUAAGAAAAGAACUUCGAUUUGCAAUUUGCUGGGAAUGUGUUGAAGCUUCAUGAGAGGAAAAGGCAAGGAAACAACUCCGACCUGCUCUUGUGGCAGUAAAACCAAUUUGAAGACUUCAUGGACUGAUAGGAACCCAGCAAGGAGAUAUGUUGAAUGUGCUAAUGGCAAGGUAAGUGUGUGAAGAUAUAGGAAAUUCGUUAAAUUAGGUUAAUGUUUAAUUGUUUAGACAUUUAUCGGCUAAAAAGAAUUUGGAUAAUUUUUUUGUAGGUUGAUGGCUGUGGUUAUUGGAAUUGGUAUGAUGAAGAAAUGUGUGAGCGUUUGAAACAAGUCAUACCCGGUCUUUUAAGAAGAAUAAAUAGGGUGGAAACCGAGAAUGAAACUUUGCGGCAACAAAUUCUCAAGUUGCAAAAGAAAACUGAGAAAAUGGAGGAUAAAGUAAAAAAUUUGAAGGAGAAGCUUGGAAGAAAGAAUGUGAAAAAAUGGUCAUUGUUCUUUUUGUUAUAGCCUGGACAAUUGUUAAUGCAUCAAUGUGGAUUUGGGGGCCUAACAAGGGACAGAAGUUUGGAAGGCUGCAAAUUGAUGGCUACUAGAGUAUUGUUGUACUCCAAAUCCUAAAUCAGUGUUGUCAAAUGUUUUAAUACACAGCUCGUUUUUGUUGAGGUUGUAGUGUUUUUAUAUACCUCGCAAUUUUGGUUGGUGUUGUUUACACCAUGGAUGUUUGAAAUUAUAAUUUAUGAAUAAAAGACUGAAGUAUUAGUUCCAACAUAUGGGUGGUGCAAAAGAAAAGUAACUCACAAAUGUAGAAAACAUAAAGCCAAAUACAACAAAAGAGAUAAUUAUCACUAUCAUUCCAAACAGCUGCUUUACAAAAGAGAUAAUUGUCACAAAUGCAGAAAACAUAAAGCCAAAUACAACAAAAGAGAUAAUUAUCACUAUCAUUCCAAACAGCUGCUUUACAAAAGAGAUAAUUGUCACUGUCAUUCCAAACAACUGCCAACAAAGUUAGCCAUGUUUCACAUAUAAAUAAUCUGGAAUUGUCCUAGACAUAGAAUACAUCCAAACAAAAGCUAUGCAAACAAGUCCUUUAAUCUGAUCUUCCACUUCUACUUCUACUGCUCCUUGAUGUUCCAGCCCAUCUACCAAUCUUGAAUGGAGGCUCUUUGCCCAAGUACUCAUAGUUGGUGUUGAUCCUUAUCUUGUCAAUUUCAGACAGCUUUCUCUUUGAAUGGAGAGACUGUUUGUUGGCCGCUGUAGUAGACUGGUCGGUAUCAUUGACAGGCCUAACUCUCCUCACCUGUACACAAGUACAAUAAAUAUUAACAAUAGCUAUUUACCAUAGUAAAAUUAAAAAUAAAAUUAGAAAUAAAUUUUUGCACCUACAGGUGUCUUAGUCUUUCUAAUCUGCUGCUUUUUCGUACUACUAGUGGCAGCUUGUGCAUUACGUUCAGCAUGUGAACCAGUGUCAUUAUGGGAAGUAGUUUGCUCUUCAGCUCCAUGUGGCUGAGAAUUGACACAACUUGAAGAAUAUCCUUGAACUUCCACAUGAGCAAAAUCAGGCUCCUGAGAAUUAGCUCCAUGUGUUGUGCUUGAGCCAUUGUUGGUGCCUUUUGACUUUCUAGCAUGUUUAGGAGCUGGAGCAGGUUGACUGCAGCCUUCACCUCCAUUAUUUUCUGGAACACUUUUGCAGGUAGCAGCAUUGUGGCCUGCCUGACCACAUCUUCUACAGUGCAUGAUCACAUGCUUUCUUAAUUUUUGCACAUUAUUCGUUCCCACAUGAACACCACUUCUAUUUUCAGAACUAUCUUUUCUUCUUGCUUUCUUGGGCCUACCAGGUUGGACACAUGCAAGUGGAGGAUCUAAUAUGGGAAUAUCACUCUGAGGCCAUAGAGACUUUCCACUAAUUGGAUAUAGUACAUUCUCAUAUAUUUGAAAGAAUAGAUCUCUACUAUAACACUGAUCGGCAUAGUCAUUUGGGUUCCUACCAAUUUUUAAAAUGGCAGAAAUUGCAUGGCAGCAGGGGAGCCCACUAAUUUGCCACAACCUGCAUGUACAGGUUCUGUCUCUUAAGUACACAGCAAAUUGUUCCCCCUUAGGUCCCCUAACCUGAUAUCCCCCUUCCCAUUUGAUAUUGCUUCCACUUUCUAGAAAACUUUUCCCUCUCCUCAAUCAAAGCCUUUAUUGCUGGUCCCACAGGACCACUACAUUUUCUCAUCCAAUACACCCUAUUUGAUAUCCUUUCCAUUAUGAAUUGUCUAAUCCACUCAACCAUCCCAAUCACUGGCAACUCUCUAGCAUUUAAUAUAUGAGAAUUAAAUGUCUCUGAUAAAUUAUUAACCAGCAUGUCAGAUUUCAUGUGAAGUGGAAAAAAAGCCUUACACCAGUGAUGAGGUGGUGCAGCUCUCUUGACCCACGCGUGAGCUUGCUGGUCAUAUGCUCUAAGCUCUUCCAACGCUGCCUCAUAGAACUCCACUGUUGAUGCUCUGCAAUGCUCCAGAAUUUUUCUUUAAGCACUUCACCAGGGUGCUUUUUCUUGAAAUUUCUGUACAUAUGCUGUACACAAUAUCUAUGGCCAGCUUCUGGUAAUAACUCCAGCAGUGCACUAUCAAGACCCUAUAAAAGAGUUCUAAGUUUAGUCACUUGCAAAAAUUAUCCUAUACAAUACAUGCUAUAAGGAUAAAGAACAGUACUCCUAACCUUCUGUUGGUCUGAAAUAAAAGUGUAUUCACUGCUAGUUGCUGGUAUUUCUAGAUCACCAAUCAGUAAACUCAAAAACCAAAGCCAUUGUUCCCGAGCCUCCUUCUCAACAACUGCCCAAGCUAAUGGCCACCAACCAUUAUUUGGAUCUGCCCCAAUAGCAGUCAACAACUGCCCUGGAUAUGCCCCCUUAGUGUGACAGCCAUCAAGAGCAAUAAGGGGCCUACAUCCCUCUCUAAAUCCCUUUUUCAUGGUCCCAACAGCAGUAAAAUCUCAUGAAUCUGGGAUUACUUUCAGGAUCAGCUCUUGGUGAAUACUUGAUGUCUAUAGUGGUGUCAGGGUGAGUUUUUUGUAGUUCUGCUGCGUACCUCCCAACAUCAAUAUACUGCUGAGAUGCUGACCCUUUGAUAGCAGCCUUAGCCAUUGCAAGUGCUUUGUAACCUUUGUUUCUUGUGAUCUCGCAACUAUAUUGCUCAUCUAUACUCUGUAACAAUUGCCUAACAGGCAUGUUCAUGUUGGAUCUAACAGACUCUUCAAACUUGUCGGCUACCCAAUUGGAUGUCAUGUUUUUGUUUCUCCAAGCAUGGCUGCAAUUGGUGUGGACAUCGUAAAUUGUUUUAACUACAAAGUCUUCAGUACCCAAAGCAGGAACGUGGCUAGCAUAAAUGUACCACUUACACGGAUCUGCACAUUUAGCUCUCAUUCUUGUUUUGUCACUUGUAUACAUGUAUACAGGUCUUCCACUUAUAAUUGCAUAAUUUCUGAGAGCAUCUCUGAACUUUUUUUGGUUCCAAAUUUUUGCCCAACAUGAAAAUGGGGAUCUGUUCCAUCUCUGCUAGCAUUGAAACUAGUGUAUCUCACAGGAACAUCUUCAUCUUCUGAAUCUGGAUCACUAUUUAAUUCCCCUUCCACAAUAUCAUCCAAUAGUGGGUUGUGUUCCGCUCUAUUUUCACAUGCUUCAGCUUCAGUUUCAGGACCAGCUUCUGUUUCAGCUUCAGUUGCUGCACCUUCUCUAUUUUCACAUGCUUCAGCUUCAGUUGCUGCCCCAGUUUCUGUUACAGGUUCAGUUGCUGCACCUUCAUUUGUUGCACCUUCACCUACUGCACCUCCAUUUGAUGCACCUUGACCUGCUGCACCUCCAUUUGAUGCACCUUCAGUUGCAUACCAUUAUUUGAUACACCUCCUUUUCUAACUCUUUUUGUAGCACCACAAAGGGCCUCCGACGUACGAGAUUUUCUCCUAUCUCUGUUUCUUCUAUUCCUGGAACUGUCAUUGUCCCUCCUAUUCUGACUUGAUGGAGUUGGGUCAUUAUCAACUUGGCUAUGCAUUUGUGGCUCGGACUCCUGUGUAUUGUUGUUGGCCUGCUUCACAUCUCCUAGAAGAAUUUUGGUAUGCAUCUUCAUCUUCACCAGCAUGGUCAUGUGUCCACUCUAAAGCUGCAACUGAUCUACUAGCUUGGACUCCUUUUCGUUGUCUAUGAGGUAUUGCUGCCUGUUGUGUAAGAAUUUCACCAUCAUCCAAGAUCUCCUCUAUUACCACUGAACUCUUUGUCUGUGAUAACUGUUCCAAUUCCUUUUUCUUCUGCAACUCAUAUAUUUCCUCAACUGUUAAAUGAUGACAGUAUACUUCCAUCAACUUGUACUCAUUAACCCAACCACAGAAUUGCAUAAUGUCUUCAUCCGUUUGAAGUUCCAUCAGUCCAUGGUUCAAAUCCCCUCUAGGGUCAAUGUAAUAAUAUAACAUAGUAUCGUUGUGCCCACACUUUUCCACCAUUUUAUUUAUUUCAUGAAUCGACAUAAAAUCAGCAUGGCAAAGAUCGAAAUAAUCAAUCUCUCCACCCACAUAACUCUUGUAUUUCUCUCCCUCAAUUUUACCGCCGUGGUGGAGUUUAAUCGAAAAUGCAGGUCUAUCAGGAACUGCAACAACAACAACAAAGGCAAACAACAUGAUUCUUGUUAAUCACCAUUUUUUAUUGUCAUACAUGCUGUUCUUCUUAUAAAAAUACUUAACCCCCAUUUGUUAAUUAACCCGAAUCAGACAACUGCAUUUUGAAAAGUUUAUUUUUUAUGAUUAAAUUACAAGAUAGAGGGUUCUUGUAGGACCCUUUGCAACCCACUUAUACGACAAAAAGGAAGUCAAUCGUUCUUAUGUCAUUUUCUAAACAACCGGAUCACUUCAGCAAACCCUAAACCCAAUAAAAACUCUCACUAAAUACUUCUUUAUACUCAAAACACAAACAACACCAUUAAUCAAGCAAAAUGUGUACGGAUUGUAAUAUUUCUUACCGUAUAAUGUGUACGGAUCAAUGAAUUCAUCCCUUUGCCUUUUCACCCAUUUCGCUGUCAUCGAUGACCGAUUCUUCACUGCUAAUCUUCGUCUUUUGCCGGUUCUUUGAGUCUUGUCACUGAUUACUGUGAGAAGAAUGGAUCAAUUUUGAUACUUUCACUGUCAUUGUCCACAUUUCCAAAAAUUUUACCAGCAUUCCAAAGCCCCACAGUUAAACCUUUCACUUACCAGAUGAAACUCUUCCCACUAAGGCUGUACAGACGAAUUUGCCCCUCAAAAAGUUGAUUUCCGUUUCUCCUAACGGCACAAAUACACGGAGUGACCAAAACGGUACAGAUUUACUAGUUCAGUGACAUUUCGCGCUAAUAAAAAAGUUUAGUGACCAGAACCAGCACUUUGAAAUAGUUUAGUGACAUUUCGCGCAAUUUGCUCAAUAUUAUUUGACAAUGCUAAUCCUAAAAAAUGAUCACGUGCAAGACACGUGGUGGAUUCUAGCCAAAAUUUGAUGUAUGUGAAAUACAAAAAUAGUUAAGAAUAUAAAAAAGUGAAUGAAAAAUAUAUUUAUAAUACCAACAAAACAAUAUUUGAAAUAAUAUGUGUAUUCAAAAUGUUCUAACCAAACAUAUUUAUAUACUUCUUAAUUAAAAGAAUCAUACUCUUUAUAUCUCAAAAUUUAUUCCUCUAUAUCUCGUGAGAAGAUACACAAACAAACAUACACAACGUGCAUAAACCAAUUUUAAAAGAAUUAUCUAAAUAGGGGUUUAAUGCUCCAUGUUUCAAAAGCUUGUUUGCCUAAUAAAAUAAUUCAUCCAUGAAAACAAUAUCAUUGAUUAGAUCACUAAAUCAAGCGCUCUUUGAUAUGGUGGAUAAACCAUCACAUAUAUUUCUAAUGGAAUGUGAUAAUAUCUCAAUAAUUACAAAUGCUAGUUAAUCUUCGCAAAAUUUAGAAUUUUCAAAAAUAUUCUAUAACCUUUCUUAUUGUUACUAAUUACUAUUCAAUUUUGCAAACACAUUUGAUAGAAGCUCUCAAGCGUUACACUCUUUUUCGACAAAUAACUAUUAACAUGUAUUCAAAUUUGAGAUUUUGGGCAUUACAAUUUUCUCUAAAUCGUCUUGUUUAUCUUUAAAUGAUGCAAUUAUGCAUUUAAAGAUAACACGUAUCUAUACUACUCGACAUUUAAAGAUGACACAAUCAUGCAUUUAGAGAUAACAUGUAUCUACACUACUUAACCUUUUCUACUAAAAUAGCGUACGUUACAUUUCAAUAUAUAUUGUCGUUAAUGAUUCAAAAUAAUUUAAUGUACGUUAGAUUUCAAUGUGUAUUGCCUUUUAUGAUUCAAAUAAUUUAAUGUACGGUACACUUCGAUUUAUAUUAUCUUUUACGAUUCAAAACAACCUAAUAUACGUUACAUUUCAAUUUAUAUUGUCUUUUGGAAAACUCAUUCAAAACGUUUCUCACAUUUUGUAAAAUAAUUUUUUUCCAUGUUUCACUUUUAAAAGUAUAAUUUUACGUCCCUUACAAAUUCAUAUUAGUCAAAUUUGGUUCCUAUUCAUGUUUUCAACUAGUUUUUUGUUGGAAUUUACCACUUGCCUUGCAUGUGAUAAUUUUUUAACGGCAAAAUUAUCAAAUAAUAUUUCACAUAAUCCAAUCCAUGGUUCUUCACAUUUUACAAAAUGAAUUUUUUUGUCCCUCACAACUCACAUUUCACAAAAUGAAUUUUUUUGUCGCUCAUUAAUCAUGUGUAUGAAUAGCUAUUUUUUAACCUAGGUACAUGUUUAUUUGAUUUCAUUUGAAUAGUACAAAUAGUAUGUAAUAUAUCCCUAUUUGAUUUCACCUACAACUAUAAUUAAUUGUAGGUGAAAUCAAAUAGAAAUAUAUUAUAUGCUAUUCAUACUAUUCAAGUGAAAUCAAAUAAACAUGUACAUGAAUUUUCAAAAAAAGAAAAGCUAUUCAUAUACAUGAUUAACAAGGGAUGAAAAAAUUUAUUUUGUAAAAUAUGAGGGAUAAAAAAAUUUAUGUUGUAAAAUAUGAGACACUAUGGAUAGGAUUAUGUGAAAUAUUAUUUGACAAAUUUGACCCUAAAAUAUGAUCACGUGCAAGACACGUAGUAGAUUCUACCAAAAAUUAGUUGAAAACUUAGAUAGGAAUCAAAUUUGACCAAUGUGAAUUUGUAAGAGAAGUAAAAUUAUAAUUUUCAAAGUAAGGGACGAAUAAGUUAUUUUAUAAAAUGUGAGAAAUGUUUUGAACAAUUUUUCCUUGCCUUUUCCUAUUGAAAAUAAUCUAAUUUAAAUUACAUUUCAAUCCAUAUUGCCUUUUCCCAUAAAAAAAUAACAUGUCUUUGUAUAUAUUUCCAAUCUUUAUCGUGUUUUUCUAUUUAAAAUAAUGCUUAACCACCUUGCAUCAUAAAAUUUGUCUUGUUAUAUAAUUAAUAAAAAAAUUAUAUUUUUACUUGCAAUGUAAAUAUAUACACCACAUCAUAAAAUAUGCUACAUUUUUAUUUCACAAUUUUUUUCCAACAUUGAGUGUGUUUGGAUAGAGUUUUAUUCAAAUUGUAUUACAAACAUAAUUUUUAAUCACUUUUCUAUCUCAUAUAUAUAUAUCAUAUCACAAAACGUGUUUAGUGUUAUUCUAAAGGGAAAAUCGUCCGAAACGUCCCUCAUAUUUUAUAAAAUGACUUUUUUCAUCCCUCACUUUUAAAAGUGUAAUUUUAUGUCCCUUACAUAUUCAUAUUGGUCAAAUUUAGUCCCUAACUAGGGGCCUGUUUGGAACCUGAGUUUUUUGGGAGUUUGUCUAAAACUUUACUAUAGUGCACUGUAGAAGUUUUUCAAAAAAUUUUGUAAAAGUUUUUUAUAAGGUGAAAAUUUUUUUUGUAAGGGAAAAACUUUUUUUCCUUUUCUUUUUUUUCUCUUUCUCUUUUUUUUUUUUCUUUUUCUUUCCUUUUUCUUUCUUCUUCUUCCCCGUUACCUCUGCCUCCCAGCAGCAACGCAGCCUGCUCCACCCCCUACUCCGCCACCGGCCCCACCUCUAGCACCUCCGGCCACGAUGUUCCUGAUUUCGCACCCCAACAGCUGCUGCUCCACCGUGUGCCUCUCCACACUGUCCGUCCCCAUUCCGUCCUCCAGCACAUUGAAUAGCGCCGAGUAGUAAUGCAGCGCCUCCACGAACCGCCGCAAGAAGCUUCCCCCGUGGCUCAGGUCCUGCUGGUUGCUGGCGCGUCGAGACAGUUCAUGGCCACGCACUCGGCGCAUUGCAGGAGGAGGCCCAGGAGACAGAGGCCGGAGGACUUGGUGUCGCCAGCUGCUGCUCCACCAAGGAGGCGGUUGCGGCGGCGGCUUCGAGCUCAGCAACAUCGUCGUCCUAGUUGUCUAAGUCGAUGGUUCUAUCAGCGGAGGUGGAAGGGUUGUCGGGGCCGAGGGAGGAGUUGCGGCGUUUGAGAAGGAGAGGUCUUCGUGGUGGGCAGAGGAGGAGCGCUUGGACUGCAUAGAGGAGGAGGAGUUGGAGGAGGGACGAGCGUUUCUGCUGGGGGGAAGGAGAAUGGGAAUGGGAACGGAAUUAAUGGGGUUGGAAGCAGAAGUAGCAGUGGAAUUGGAGUGGAGCAAACUCUGGAGCAUGAUAGAUGGAUAGAUUGAAUUGGAAGCGGUAAUUGAACUGGAGUCUAGCCCGGAGAGGUGGUGGUGGGUUGGGAUGGGAGAGGAAGAAGAAAAAAAAUGGAAGGAAAUUUUUUUUUUUUUUUUUGUGUUUUGUAUAUUUUGAAGUGGGUAGGUAAAAAAUUUAGAGAAGUUUUUUGGGGUUCCUGUAGCAAAAGUUGUUAAAAAACUAGUAGGUAAAAAACUUGCUUAAAAACCUGACUUCCAAACAGGCCCUAGGUUUCCGAUCAUUUUUUGGCCGGAAUCCAUCACGUGCAGGGCAUGUAAUCAUUUUUAAGGGUAAAUUUGUCAAAUUAUAUUUUUCAUAAUCUAAUCUAUAGUCCUCCACAUUUUAUAAAACAAAUUUUUUCGUCCCUCACAUUUUAUAAAAUGAUUUUUUCAUCCCUCACAUUUUACAAAAUGAAUUUCUCAAUCCCUCAUAUUUCAAAAAAUGAAUAUUUCCAUCCCUCACUAAUUAUGAGUGUGAGGGAAACCCUAAAAAAUAUAUAUAUAUAUGUGUGUGUGUGUGUGUGUGUGUGUGUGUGAAUACAUUUUGUUUAAACACAUGUAUAUGUCUAUUUGAUUUUACUUAAUAAUAUGAAUAGCAUAAAUAUAUGUAUGUGUCUAUUUGAUUUCACUUAACAAUACGAAUAUCAUAUAUUAUAUGCGAUCAUUUGAUUUCAUCUGGUAUUAUCUAGUAAAAAAUCUUGCAUUCAUUGUCAAGUUGGCCAAUAAAGCUAUUUUCGGUCAAAAUACAAUAAGAAUAUGCAAAUUAAAAUUCUAUUGGUAAAUAUUAGUCAUAAUCAUACAAAAAAGAGAAGAUAGCCCACAAGUCGGGGCCAAUUACAUACAUGUGUUUAUGCUAUUAUUAUUAAGUAAAAUCAAAUAGACAUAUACAUGUGUUUAAAAAAAAUGUAUUUACACAUAAUUAGUGAGAAAUGAAAAAUUCAUUUUUUGAAAUGCGAGGGAUGGAGAAAUUCAUUUUGUGAAAUGUGAGGGAUGAAAAAAAUUAUUUUAUAAAAUGUGAAGGACGAAAAAAUUUAUUUUAUAAAAUAUGGAGGACUAUAGAUCAGAUUAUGUAAUAUAUAAUUUGACAAAUUUACCCUUAAAAAAUGAUCACGUGCCUUACACAUGAUGGAUUCCAGCCAAAAAAAGAUCGAAAACUUAGUUAGGGAUUAAAUUUGACUGAUGUAAAUAUAUAAGAGACAUAAAAUUAUACUUUUAAAAAUGAGAGACGAAAAAAAUUAUUUUAUAAAAUAUAAGGGACGUUUUGGACGAUUUUCCCUUUACAUAUUUCUCAAUUCGAAAAACCAUACUCAUAUCUCAAAAUUUGCUCCUCCAUGUCUCAUGAGAAGAUGCACAAACCAACACACACUACACUCCGCACAACGCGCACAAACUAAUUUAAAGAAAAAAUUAUCUAAAUCUGCGUUUAGUACUUCAUGCUUCAAAAGCUAGCGUGUGUCUCAAGUCCGACAUAAGCCACUGAGCCUCUCCGCACACACUCACACAGUCUCUCUCUUUCUCUCCCACAUUCCACAGUCCCAACAGUGGAGAGAGAAAUGAUGAGAUGAGAUGAGAUGAGAUGAGACAGAUUAGAGAUACAGACACUGCCAUUACUGACGUCUACGGUUUCCUCUUCUUCCAACUAGCUCACAGCCAAAAAGCAACGAACACAACAAAGUGAAGCAUACCUCCGUUUCUCCCUUUUGUCCCCAUUCUCGCCUCCGUACUCAUCCUCAAAGUGUCCGUUUUCUUCUUCCAUAGCUUCAUCCUCUGUCUCUCAUACUUGUAUAUAAUUCUCCUUGUAAAUCCCAGUCUAUGUUGUUCACAUUUUGAGAUAUCUUCUUGUAAAUCCCAGUACUUCUUUUCUCAUUUUACAUAAUUUAGUUGCAUAUUUCGAGUAUGUAAUGGAGUAUUUUAGUUUUGUUGUUGUUGCUGUUGGUAGGUUCUUUUGUACGACUGCCCAUUAUUCUAGAAGUCCCCUGUUUUUUUUUUGUUUAUUUUUUUUCGCUUGCUACAAUUUGUAAAACAAUGACCUUUUUGAAAUUUGAGUUUACCAUUCAGGCCAAUCUUGGGCUAUUAGAAAAUUGAGUUUUUUUUUCCUUUAAUUUAUUAUAUUGAUAUAAUGGGAUGAAUUUGACAGAGGAAAGAAAGAAAAUAAAAGGGUUUAUGAAAUGAAGACAUGCUUUAUUUUUUGGUUGUUUGUUAGAUUAGUUCUGAAAGUAGGAAGAUGCAGGGGUUUCUAAGGAAACAAGAACGAUGCAGAAUUUUCUUGAAGUUUAAAUACUCUUUAAAGAUUCUAGACUCAGAGUUGUUGCUCUUUGCUUCUUUUUUUUUUCAGUUUUUUUGAAAUGUAAUGGGGGAUUUUCUGGGUUUUUAGCUUUCCUUUUUUUUUUUUGGUUCUGUGUUUAAGAGGAUAUACUGAAUUGUUCAUUUUGCAGCUGUUUUGGGUAAUUGAGAUCAGCAGUCAAAGAAAUGGAUGGAAAUCAUCAAAUGGAGGUGCAUUACAUGAAUACUUUUGGCUAUCCUUAUAAUGCUUCAGACAGUUUUGUGGACUUUUUUGGAGGUCUUCCACAAGCCCCUUUACCUUAUGUUCACCCUCCUCCACCAAUGCCUCAUGAUCAUCAGGUAAUCUUUUCCUUUCCUUUUUUUUCAGGGCCCAAAUUUUUUGCAAUUUCUGUUUGCAAUUUCCUUUCCUUUCCUUUUUGGGGGCACUGCAAUUUCCUUUCCUUUUUUUGCAAUUUUUUCCUUUCUUCUUUUUUUCAGGGCCCAACUGUAAUUUCAUGAAAUAGUGAUGCGCAGUGCUUAAGAAUAAUAACUAAAUGUUGUUCUGCUCUAAAACAGAAAAGAAUGUUGUUUUCCUAGUUUAGGUUGUCCUAUCAGAUCUUUUAUGAAAGCUAUAUACAUAUCAAUGCUCAUAAUCGUUUCCUUAGUGGUGGGAUUCUGAGGAUAUACUAUUCACUAUUACAGUGUCCAUAUAUUUCUGCUUGUUAGUUGGAUAUCAUUACCUGAAUUGCUUGAAAGAUGUAAAGCUGUUAAACUAUGAUGCUGCUCUGCUUCAAUGUUUUUAUGGUCAAGCUAAUGAAUGCUCAGCUCUAGUGUAACAAGUGGGAUACGUGUUUGCUGUCUCAUUGUUACAUUUCAUUUCUUUUCUUAUAAAAAAUUUGACCUACGUUUGUUCCGUACUUGUUCAUUACAAUGAGAUAUAUGUAGCUAUCUGCAGUUUGUUAGUGCAAAUGUGUCAGGAUGCCAUUGACUCCAAAGUAUAAAUUUUGAGAGGAAAGAGUCUUGGUUUCACUUUUAUAUGGUUUUUUCAUAUGAGAAAGGGGCAAUUGAUGCAAAAUAAAUUGUCAAUUUGUAUACUGCACUUGCACGAUUGAUUGUAUUACUUUUUGAAAAUUUUACUGUUUAUUGUCUUUGCUUAAACACUGCCGAGCAUUUGAGAUGGAUGGGAAUGUGUAAGUUUCCUUUGUGAUGGUGAAUGUGUUUCAUUGGUGUUUUAUUUGCAGGAAUCUGCAUAUUGGUCAAUGAAUAUGAAUUCUUACAGAUUUGGGUUAUCUGGCCCAGAAAAUGCCUCCCUAUUAUAGCCCUUACAUUGUAAAUGAUGACUUUAUGAGGAUGGACUACAACCGGAGACCAUGGGAUUAUCCUUCUGUUAUGAAUAUACAAGAACCGCCAGUUGUAGAAAUGCCUUCGGAAGAGAUCCAAGCCCCCAGUAUGGAGGCAAACCCAACGCCCAGUAUGGAGGCCAUCCCAGAAGAAUGUGAGUUCCAGAUUUUGUUCUGUUGUUUGGCCCUUACAGUUUAAACAAAUGAAAACGGGGAAAAUAUCAUGUUGACUUUCUACGUUUCUUGGUCUUAAGGGUGUUACUUCCUUUGUUGAGGUAGAUCUCUUUUCAGUUUCAUUACAAGUUUUUGUUGCUUGGUAAUGCAAUUCUGACCUUAUCUUCGAUGAGUUGUUCAUACUUAGCAUUCUCAUUUUCUAUCCUUUGCACAGCUCAAACCUCUGCAGACAACAUUAAUCAGCAAGAUUCUGGUGGUACUCAGGUAUGUAAAUCGAUUAUAUACUUCUUUAUCUCUUCAUAAUUCUCAGCUUAUCACUUACGAAUAGGAAAUAUAUAUUUUGCUUGGCUGUGAGGAAGAUACUGAUUUGUACUUUCUUUUUCCUACACUGUUGCAGGCUGUUUGGGAAGAUAAUAUUGAUCCUGACAACAUGACUUAUGAGGUACAAAUGUUUGAAGUUUUUGCAUUUUGUAAACUUAUAUUCUUUAUGUGCUACAAUGACCUGUGUUCUUAUUAGAACCUAUAAUGGUUGAAAUUCAAUCAGCAAGUAUGAGGCUUCUCUUAUGCCCUGUUCAGUGGAUAAGACUGUUAUUAGACUGUUUUAGUGCGAAAUGCUGCAUCAAAAAGAUUUUUGGCUGGUGAUUGCCAUGAACUUUGGUGAAUGUUUAUGCAAACUUCAUUUCUCGAAGUCACAUUAUUGGAAAAUCAAUUAAAAGAACAAAAUCUUCUCUCCAGAGUUCAACCAGUUGACCAGUUUUCGUAACCAAAGAAAGACGUGCUUGACGUGAAUAUCAAUCUUCUUUUAUGUAUUCUGCCAUGUGGGUUUUAAGUCCCAAACUCUUAAACUAAAUUCACAAGGAAUAAAAGAAAGGACUUCUUCAUUGUGCUUCUCUAACUGUUGCCGUUCUGGUAACUGACUCCAUAAUUCCAAGUUCUAUUCAUGGCUUUUUGCUGACUAUGUUGUUGAACAUCCAAAAUGGUCUUCAUUUUCAUUUCUCUAGCUUCUGGCACUAGAAUAGCAAAAUAAGAGUUCAGUAUUUGGUGUAGCUGCAUUAGCAACAGCAGGGUGAGUAAAUUUUACAAGUGUAUGAUUACACAAAAUGAGGAAUUUGCUAUAUUUAUUCCCUUUAGACAGAUUAAGUAAAACACCUGAUAUCUCGUCUCGGUGUACAGAUUCUUACAAGCAAAUGUUAAGAAUGACUAGACAAACUGUUUGGAGAUGAAAUCUAAUUAUGAUAUUAUUUUUAGGAAUUACUUGAGUUGGGCGAAGCAGUGGGGACUGAAAACGGGGACUUUCACAAGAACUUAUUGAUUUACUUCCGACCUCAAAGUACAAAUCUGGGGAAUUUUCUCCAAAAAAAGAUCUACUGAGAGGUAUAUUCUUACUAAGAUGUAUUUCACGUUGAAUGUGCCACUGUGCUUUCUUCUUGCUGGUGAGCCACAGCUGUUAGCCUCUAUCCUUUCUGACACUCUGCCUUUCUCUCUAUCUGUACCUGUUUACAUUGGUUACUUUUGUCACAUAUCAUUCAAAUGUGGUCAAAAAUCACUCUAUCCACAAGAAAUUAUGUUUAGCUGUGAAAUAAACAUUUGAGAAGUUCUUUGUAAGAUUCGUAUGGUACCCAGUCUAGUGCAUACAAUAACCCUUGGAAAGAGCAGUUCUGCUUGCUGCAGUAAUGUAGCCUCCACCUAAGCAUUCUCAACUGCAUUAGGCAGAAGCCCUGCGGAUCAGGUUUCCCUGUUGUUAUGCCUUGCCUAUGCAGGGUGAUCAAUUAUGAUACCCAUUAUGUGCUCACCAGCUGAUCACUGACAAAGCAAUGGCUUGUGAAAAUGAUAAGUAACACUAGUUGAUAUUAAUGCAGUUCCAUGAUUGUUUUCAAGAAUGCAUUUCAAGAUUUGAGCAAAUAAAUCAAGAAUGGGUUUCUUGACCCCAACAAGGAAAUCAGUUACCUAACCUUAUCUACUCUUUGGAAAAUAUACAGAGUCCCCAGUAUCACAAAUACCUGAUAAUGUAUGAUACUGCUGCAUUCAAUGUGAUACCAGAAUCCAGCAUUUCUGCUUCAUUUCCUUUGUAAACGGUAGCAGGUGCCUCGGUAUUUUUUUGUUAGUUUCUAGCUGAGGCUACCGAGCCUGUGUCACUCUUUUACUUGUGUUUUCUGUAAGACUAAGUACCUGCUAGGAAAGAGUAAUAGAGAUCUAUUAUGGGGCUGCCCUUUCUUUUAUAUCUAAAUGUGUUGGCCCUUGUCAAGUUCUGAAAGAAGAAAGAAAACAUAAAGAAUAGUGAAAGAUCAUGAAUGAACAAAAUUAGAAGGUUUCUAUCAUUCUCUGCUCCUCUCUCUCUCUCUCUCUCUGUCACACACACACACACCCACACACACACAUCUAGGUCAGGUUCACUCAUUUUGGUUGCUGCUUCAAUUUUUUUCUAAUAAUUUAAUUGGUGUCAUUUUUUUUUUUAAAAUUUUUGCGACCCAGAUGUCAUCUGCCAAAUGAGGUACAAAAGAGGGGACAAUAAAUUUGCCAUGCAAACAUGUAUACCAUGCUCAUUGUGAUCGAAAUGGCUCAGAAUUAACAAGGUAUGGUAAAUAUUUUUGAGCAGAGUUCGCCUUAAAGUCUGAUAUUUGUUUGCUAAUACAUGUAUGUAUCUUGUUGGUUUUGCCAGACAUGCCCAAUAUGCAACACUGAAGUAUCAAGUGAAGAAUCCAACCAAUGAAGAUUUCAAAUAUCAAAUGGCAAAAUAGAUUAACAGCUGCAAUAGUUUUCCCUUUUUAACAUACAUAGAGCUAGUUUAUUUUUGACCUUGUUGUUAUAGUUGGGUUUAGAUGUAAUGUAGAAGUUUAUAGUAGCCUUUUGUACAAGGAAGCAAUGGAACAGGAAGCUUGAAGGAUAUAGGUCCUUGAAUGCUUAUUGAUGAUUAGCUCCAUGCUCUCUUCAACAGUUUUAUUGAUUAGCUUGAUAGCUUCAGGGGAAAUAUAUUUCUUGCUGCCGGAAGCUAAUGGAAAAAGUUGAUCGAUUUGCUUCAUUUCUUCCAAAUAUGUACAUUGAAAUCACAGAUACCGCUUAGAACUGAAUACAGGGUAGGUGACUAUUAGUCAGAAGUCGUUUUUAUCAGUGUCCAUUUGCAGCCUCCCCCCGCCCCCCCCCCCCCCCAAAAAAAAACAAAAAAAAACCAAAAAAGAUACGUAUACGUAGUAGUUGCUCCUGAUGUUAUCAAUAAUUUUGAGCUGUAGCCUGGGGACAGCCUAAUUGGAUAAAGACUUAAUUCUGUAGAAAUUUCCUCCAAUGAAGGCAAUUUGGGGAUAGUGUUUUGAAAAUUGGAUUAAUAGAUCGGUUCAACCAGUUGAAUUGCAAAGAGGUCAUGGUGUUGGUUUGGUUUCAUUUAAAACUUGAACAAGACAAAAAGAAAUUUUGUUUCUUGGAAGAAACCAAAAAAAUUGGUCAAAGAAUGGUUGAAUGGUAAAAAUCAGUAAAAUGUGGACUUCUGAACUUGUUUGUUAGUAAAAUUUCUCCUUUUUCUUGAAUUUUUAAUCGGAAUUUUUAUUUCUUAUAUACAUGAAAAAAAGUUGAACUUUUAACUUGAAUGGUUGAACUGUGAACAAAAAAUUACUCAUCCAGGUUUAAAAACGUUGCCGUGAAAAUGAGAAGUUCAUUUUGAAAAGGCCUAUACAGAAAUUUUCAAAUAGCUAAAGGUGUAAAAUCAUGGAGGAGGGUUAGUUUACUAUUUUCUUAGGCACAAGAUCAUUGUUUAUCCGUUAAUCAUGAUAAUCAAAAUAGAGUAUUCUUUUCAUGCACGUAUGACAAAAGCAUAUGAAGUUCAGGAAUAUAGUAAAAUGAUGCAUGAGAAAUUCCUUGUGAGAUGCUAAAAGGGACUUCAAAUGGGAAAGAAAAAAGCUUCAAAAAAAUUGGGAUGGUUGAAUCGGAAUUUCAUUGCAGACAUGAAACAACUCGCUCCUUUUCUUUUCUCUUUUUACAAUUACAAAUAGUAAGUCUUGAAUCUAAUUUGUAUAUUAAAAAAAAUUAUCAUAUAUAACACAAAAGCCUCUCCAUUUGUCUCUCUAUUUACCAUAUAUAACACAAAAGAUUACCAUCGAUUCCUUCUAGUCGAGCCUCUCGAUUUGUCAUUAUUCCUGAGACGUAGAAAUAAUUAAAGUCCUCAUCCCACCUAAAAUUCGAGAAAUUUGUUGAGAGUUGGAAUAAAUUUGUAAAUCGGGUUGACUAAUCCAUUUUAAAUGUAAAAUAUUUCUACCAAGUUAAAAUUGACUCACAGUAGGAUUGGGUUAAUUGUGAAAACUAGUGGGAGCCCAAUUAAUGCAUUCAGGGGUAAUUCUGAGCACUUUCAUACACUCAAGCGAACAUUUUCACAAAACAAUCUUUUCAAGUGUAAAUGUAGAAAAUAACUGGGGUCUAAAAAUAAAAAACAAAAAUGGUAACAAACUCAUUAUGGGUACCAUGGGCCAGGAUCACCUGCGAGCAAUCCACGUUCAGUCAUGACGUAGUCUGCUUUUGGAAUACCCAGACCCAAAACAUCCCACACCCAAAUUUACACAUGCUAGUUUUGGGCGGGCCUCUUCUUGCCAGGCUUCGAUGGGAGGUGCUCUAUGGAGGUCCAAAAUGUAAGACAUAAAAAUUCGUCAGAAAACAUACCAAAAUCAAGUAAAAUUUUAUCCCAUUUUGUGCAAUUAUUAUGGGUCCGUUUGGAUUAGCUGUUUUUGGGGUUGUUUUUCAAAAACAAUACUGUAGCAUUUCGUUUUUGAAAUACAAGUCCGUUUGGAUUAGUUGUUUUUGGGGUUGUUUUUCAAAAACUAUAUGAAAAACUUUUACUGUAGAUGUUUUUUGAAUUAUUUUUAGAGGUAUUUUUAAAACAUAUUUUUGAGUAUUUUAUAAUUUAUAAUUUAUAUAUUUUUAUAUUUAUAUACAUUUAUGCAUUUAUAAUACAUUUAUAAAUAUUUAUAAAUAAAUAUAUUUAUAUAUUUAUAUAAAAAUAUAUCAAUAUAUUAUAAAUGUAUUAUAUUAUACAUAAUACAUAAUAUAAAUAUAUUUAUAAAUGUAUAUUAUUAUAAAUGUAUAAAUUAUAAAUGAAUAUUAUAUAAAUGUAAAAAUUAUAAAUUUUAUAUUUUAUAUAAAUAUAUAUUUAUGCAUUUAUAAUACAUUUAUAAAUAUUUAUAAAUAAAUAUAUUUAUAUAUUUAUAUAAAAAUAUAUAAAUGUAUUAUAUUAUAUGUAAUACAUAAUAUAAAUAUAUUUAGAAAUGUAUAAGUGUAUAUUAUUAUAAAUAUAUAAAUUAUAAAUGAAUAUUAUAUAAAUGUAUAAAUUAACAUAUCAUAAAUAUAUAUUAAUAUUAUGUAUAAAUGUAUUAAUAUAAUUAAUAUAAAUAUAUAAAUGUAUUAAUAUUAUGUAUAAAUGUAAAAUUAAUACUAUGUAUAUUAAUAUAAAUGUAUCAAAAUACAUAAUAUAAAUGUAAAUUAUAAAUAUACAUAAAUAUAUAUAUUAUGUAUAAAUGUACAUUUAUAUAAAUGUAUAAUCUAUAUAAUAUAUAUUAUAUUAUAUUAUAUAUAAUUUUAUAAUAUAUAUUUUUUGUAUAAAUAUAUAAAAAUAUAUAUUAAAUAAAUAAAUUAUAUAUAUUAUGAAUAAAUAAAUUAUAUAUAAUAUGAAUAAAUAAAUAUAUAAAUACAUUAUUUAUAAAUAUUUAAUAUAUAUAAUAUACAUUAAUAUUAAUUAUAAAUAUUUGAAUAUUAAUAAAUAUGGUGUUUAUAUAAUAUUUCAAUUUGUAAUAUUUAUUGUAUAUUUCAUUAUAUAAAUAUUUAUAUAAUAUAUAAAUAUAUAAUAUAAAAUUUUGCAAUUUGUAUAAUAUACAUAAUAUUGUAUAUAUAUAAUAUACAUAAUAUACAUUUAUACAUUAUUACAUAUUAUGUAUAUUAUAUAUUAUACAUAACUUUAUUAUACAUUAUUAUACACAAUAAUGUACAUAAUAAUGAAAGUACAUUAAUAAUGUAUAUAUUAUAAUAUAAUGUACAAAAUAUAUUAUGUAUAAAUAUUUAUACAUUUAUGUAUACAAUAUUACAUACUAUGUAUAUUAUAUUAUAUUAUGUAUAAUAUUAAAGUAUGUAAAUAUUUAUAUAAUAUAUAAUAUAUAACAUAUAUAACAUAUAAAUAUAUAAUUUUCAAUUUGUAUAUUUCAAUUUACAUAUUCAAUUUACAUAUUUCAAUUUAUAUAUUUCAAUUUAUAUUAUAUUAUUAUAAAUUGAAAUAUACAUAUUAAAUUUGUAUAUUUGGAGUUGUUUUUGAUAUAAUGUUUGGAUAUGGGUGUUUUUGGAAUUGUUUUUGAAAUACACAUUUACUGUAGCAUUUGGAAUGUGAAAAACAGUUUUUCAAAAACAGGUGCAAAAACAAGGAAUCCAAACGAACUAUGUUUUUUGGGGUACGAUUAUGUUACGUUAUUAUAUUUAAGAACAAUUUUGUUAUAUAAAUAAAAUAUUUCACACAUAUAUUUAGUUCAACAAUUAACGAGGUUGUACGUCAAAAACUGUAACAUGUAUAGUAAUUGGAUAGAAAAUAACAGUAGUUACCUGUACUCUCUUUGAAAGUUACCAUGCAUAAAUCUCAAAUAUCAUUAAGAGACAACACAAAUUUUGUUCAAUAUUACAUGAAGGGAGUAUAAGAUUGCUGUGUAUGAAUUAGUAGUUAAACUAACUCUUUUGAAUUUAAAUAAAGUACAUAUUUUGCAAUAUCUUGCUUCAAAGCUGGAAAGUCAGCCCAUGGCUAUUCUUUGGCUUCUUCGCUAGAAGAACUUUUUUUGUCUUGGUCCCAAUUCAAUACUAAACAAGUCCGAACUAAUUGAAUACUUGUAUCAGAAAUUUCUCAUAUUGGUUUGCCGUUUCCAUAAAGGAUAUAAUUGACAACCUGAAGUCGAAUAUUGUCUCGUUCCUGCAACAAUGGGGGGGGGGGGGAGGGAAGUAUUGCUAAAUUUAGACAGUCUCUUUUCUCAUAUGUAAUUACAGGACGAAUCAAAACAAAAUACCCCUUUUUGCUAGGUGUAAUCCGGUGGACCCUUGAGGGCAAAUCGCCAAUUUAAUCCCUAAACAAUUUCACUUAAAUCAAUUUCGUUCUUUAUGAUUAUUUUUCACCAAUUUGGUUUUCAAAUAAUUUUAUCAGAUUUAAUGUAGAACUUAUUGGACGAUGCCACCACAUUUUAUAUAUUUCAUAUGGCGGGGCAAGGGUAUAAUUGGAAUGACAAGUUCGACUGUCUAAUUAUAGGGAUUAUAACGCGAGACUUUUAGAUGAUUAAAAACAAAAACCUCUGAAAAUUAAGAGAGAAGAGCACUAAAGAGAAACCCGACCAAGGUAAUAUUUUGGAUCCUUAUGGAGCAGCAGAGCAGAGUCGUGGCCGAAAAUGGUUCCCCAGAUGUCUACUGUAUCAAAUGUAUUUGGUUCCAGGGCCUUUGAGAGAUUCAGGUACGAUCUGACGCUACGAUCUGACGCUUUUAGAAGCAGCAUCCAGAAGCGACAACUUGGGCAACGCUUUUGCUGGGCUGGUCAAGGAGGCCACCGCCUUACUGCUCAACUCCGAUGCCCGGAAGGGUGAUUCCUACUCCGCUCGGGAAAUCAAUACUUUGGUGAUCUAGUCGCGAUGCCAAUCAAGCUUGUAACCACUUUCAUUUUCUAGUUCUCUGGUUUUGAUCCUGAAUUUUUGUGAUCCAUGGUGGCAGCACCACUACCACCGUCACCAGAAUUUCCGCCACCUGAACCACUAUUCCCACUACCUCCCCCGCCGGAGCCACCAUCAGAUACAGCAAAGAGGCGAAAAUGAUCAGAACCCAGUUGUCUAAAACCAAUUUUAGAGUGACCCAAUUCUUUAUACACAGGAGUCGAGGUUAAAGAAAUUGAGUGAUAGCAGCUUCUAAAGCUGAAGCCCCUACUGCUUAUAGAAGUGGAGAAAGGUGGAAUUUUGGGGGCCCUCCUGAAAUGUGAAGUGGGUUUGGGAGAAAACUGUACAAAACGAUACAGCAAGGGAGAUUUGCGAACUAGUUUGGUUGGGCUUGAAGCCAUUGUUGCUUGAGUUUGGAUUGGAGUUUUGCAGAGGCUAAUGGUUUUAGAAACAGGAUAGCCGGAGGAAAUCUCUCCAAAUUGCCUCUCUAAAUUUGGGAAAUCUCAAUUUUAAGAGGAUUUUGUCUUUAAUCAUCUAAAAGUCUCGCUUAUAAUCCCUAUAAUUAGACAGUCGAACUUGUCAUUCCAAUUAUACCCUUAUCUUGCCAUGUGAAAUACAUAAAAUGUGGUUGCCCUGCCCAAUAAGUCCUAUAUUGAAUUUAGUCCUACAUUGAAUUUGAUAAAAUUGUUUGAGGAUUAAAUUGGUGAAAAAAAUCAUAAAGGAUGAAAUUGAUUUAAGUAAAAAUAUUUAGGGAUUAAAUUGACGAUUUGCCCAUUCUUUGGAACUUUUACAACUUUCUUCAUCAUGUUAUUCUAUAUUUAGUAUAGUGUGUGUGCACUCGUAUAAGGUGGAGCAGGAGAAUAAUUAAUCAAGGCAAACUGGGGGGUUAAUGAAGGAUCUUUCUUGGUGGAGGAGGGCCCGUUGGCUGCAGCGGCAGCGGCGGCGGCGGACUGAAAAAUGAAAGUGGUACUGGUGGUGGUGGUGCGCAGAAGAUACCGAGGAGAGGUAUGUACGCCCAAACACAAGCAUUGGCAGUCAUAGACAGCAUGGAGAAGAGUGCAAAUAGCAGAUAAAACAGCAAUGCCCUGUGGCUUGCCAUAGCUCGAAAUUAGUGAAGGAAAUCCAUAGACUAUGUUCUACCAACAAUUACAGAUGCUGCUAAACUUUAGUUCAGCUUGAGGAAUGAGGACUGCUCUUCAGAUUUUAUAGACAUGUUUGGUGAAGAAGUUGAUCGAAUUUGUACAUUAGACUCUUAAAUUAGCCGUGUUGUGUUAGGCAAGUACUAAACUAUGCACCAAACAUAUUUGAAAAUUGGGACUUAAAGAGUUAAGAAAGCUGCAAAUAAAGUCUUGAUUUUCUGGUAAAAAGCCUGGCCUCAGCUAUGAAGUACCUGAAUGUAUGUAAAGAUUUAAUAUGAUCAUUGAGCAUUUGUUGAUGUAUUGCUGUCCCACGAAUUAAAUCUCUCCCAAAUGCAAUCUUCUUGAAGAAUUAUUCACUAAUGAAAUUCUUGUGUGCACAGGAAAAAACUAUUUAUUUAAUUUUGAAAUUUGACAAUAUCAUCCAAUUCUCAAAAAAAAAAAAAUAAAAUCUUGAGUCUUACUUGUUCAUCUAUUUCCAUUUGUCCAGCAAAUUCUGGUAGUCUGGUUAAAUUUGUAAAUGAUUUUCUUGCCCUUCUUCUAACCUCACUCCUUUUUUAAAAUGUGGAAGGAGCUAGCUAUAAUUGUCAUCAACCUUAGCGGCUGCUUUUGAAAUUAUCCCAAUAUUAAUUAUUAUUUUGCUGACCAGAGUGUAAUAUGGUUUUCUAUCGGAUACAUUUCUUUUCUAAAACAACCGAAUGUAAACCAAACUCCAACCAAAUUACCCUAUAAUCUACCGAUGAAUACCCUAAAACUACAACUGCAAAAUUUUCUUCUUGAAGAUCAAAUGAAACCCUUUAUUUUAAUCAUCCAAGGAAAAAAAACCACAUUGUUUUUUAAAAUUAUAAAUUCAAAUUUUUAUGCUCAUGUGAGGUAAAAAGCCGAAGAAGAAGCUACUCCCCAUUGUCAACUCACGAAUGUUUGCUUGCUUCGAUAUCCCGUUAUAACUUCACUUUCCAUGCAUCAAAAUAUCGAAUAGGGACUUUUUUUUUUUUCUAUUUCUAAUAGUUUACAUACACAGACCAAGAUUGGACCAACAUAUGUCUAGUUACCUCCUUAAAUAUCAAUAAUUCUGCCCAUUAACAUAUUUCUUACUUUCCUUAAAUUAAACUCGAACCUAACUUAAGCAAUUUGUUCACUUUUCUUUGUCACCUGCAGGGAUGGGGAGAGCUUUCAAGUUUUUAUAGCCAUGUUACCUGAAAAUUCAUUUCGAUGGUUGUUUAACUUUGCUAUUAGAUAUAUGGCAAUACAAGCCGUCCUGCACUUGCAAGUUCGUGCCGAACAUUUGACAAUUGGGAAGCAAAAAUAUUUCCAAAAGAAUGGUUCAUAAGGUCUAGCCUAAACUGUGAUAUGAAUAUGUCCAAAGAUUUUAAUAUGAUCAUUGACUAUGUGUUGAAAAAAUUGCUGGUCGACGGAUUAAUUCUGGCUAUUAUUAUAAUUGUAGAAGUAUACAUUAUUUCUCCCUUUUUGCUGGAACAAAAGGCACUUUGCCAUCCAGACUACUUUCAGAAUUCCACCCAACAGUGGCGGAGUCAGGAUUUUUUUCUUGGGGGGGCCAAAAUUUUUUCGAACAAAAUUACCUUAAUAUGUUAUGUUCAAAAUAAUUUUUAUUUUAUUUAAAUAUAUGAUAUCUUAAAAUAUCAAAUAUUAACUUUAAUUAUAAAGGUAUGUCUUUUAUAAAUAUGUAACAUAGUCAUAACUAAAAUUAAGACAAAAAAUAACCUUUGAUUAAAUAUCUUAUAACAUCACAAACCACCUAAGUUGCACAUUAUGAGAAGAUGCUCCAAUAUGUCACUUGUGCAAAAAUAAAAAUAUAAUUAUCAAUAUAAAUAUAACUAUUUUCAAUUAAAAAAAGAUAAAAGUUAUGUUAGCAUACAUUGAAAUUUCAUCCUUUUUUAUUAAAAGUAAAUUGAGAUUUACGUUCUUUUAUAGAAUCGAGGACACUAAAGACUCAUCAUGCUUUUUAUAUAGUAAUAGAUUUAUCCCAUGUAAGUUCAAAUAGCAAGUGUCGUCAUUAAAGUAGAAAAUAGGAAAUUAACAUGCUAACCACAAAUUGAACAAUUGGUUCAAGAUACAACUGCAUCACCUUUAUAGUAAAAUUAUUUGGGCCAGCCCUUGAGCCUCGAUUAUAUUAUGUCCAGAACCCGGGAACCUCGUGAUUACUGCAAAACUCAAAUACUGCACAUGUUGUACCCUGUGAUUACUCCACAAGACGUUAAACAGCUAAACCAAAAAAAAAGUUCACGAAAUAUAUAUAGAACCAAACUUGCACUCAUGUGCUCUUCCAAGCUAAAGCUGAACAAAAGUCCACGAAAUAUCAAACCAAACUUGCUCGUCAUAUGCCCUUCCAGGUUGACAAAGGUGGAGUUUCAGAACUUUGCCAAGUGCUGAUUUCAGGCCCGUAUCUCUCACCCUUGACUCCAGCCGAAGUAAUAGAUUCGAGUUCUGCCAUUUCCUCUGCGGACAGUUUUACAGACAAAGCUCCUAUAUUCUGAUCGAGGUUCUCAAUCUUGGUAGUGCCAGGUAUGGGGCAAACAUCAUUGCCUUGGUGAUGGACCCAGGCUAUAUAUAGGGGGUUUUCCGGCGGCUUGGGGGGGGCUUAAGCCCCCACCAGCCCCCCUUAAAUCCGUGGCUGCCACCCAACUCAGUAUUUUUUUUUUUUUCAACUAACGAACUCAAUACUUUUCCGAUUGACAUAAAAUGUUAAACCUGAGGUUCAAUUUGCCAUCUAUGUCCAUUUUUGCGGCAAACUGUAGUAGUCCGGUUGUGUGAUUUGAUCUAACGAAAAUGUAUUUCCAGCUGCUAGAAGCUAAUGGAAAAAGUUAAUCGGAUUGUUGUAUUUUCUCUAAAUACAUAGUGAAACUAUAUGUACAUGUGGCUUAGAACUGGAUACAACAUCAUAUACCGUAGAGGUCAGUAUUAGCUAUAAGUAGUUUUUUGUGAGUCUAUCUAUUUGCUUUUUCUUAGAAAUGAAGUGGGAUAAAGGUCGUCAGCUAGGUGUUAGCCCAAACGUAGACCAAUAGUGCAUUAGUUGCUGAUCUGUGUUUGGAUAAAGUAUUAUUUGAAAUAUUAUUUGGAAUAAUUACUGUAGUACUUUUUGUGACGUAAUGUAUGUAAGAUAAAAAGGUAGUUGGUAAUAUAAAAAGAUGAAUUGGAAAAUGUGUUUAUGAUGCAAGUAAAAUAUUAUGUGAAAUAAUUCAGCAAUCCAAACACAUUAAUUAAUAUUAUGAUUUUCUGAGUAAAAAGUUUUCAUCAGGUUAUACACUGGAAGUCUAUACACUGGUUGGUUGAUAAUGAUUCACUGAUUAUAAACUUUUUAAUAGUCCAAAUAUUAUAACCAAACACUGGGAAUUCUGGAAAUUAUUUUGGAGAAAUUAUUUUCAGUCAGAACAAAUUUGGAACUGUUAGAAAUUAGUCGUCAGAAAUUACGUCUUAUGAAGAUGGGAAAUUCUGCUAUUGGAUGGCCUUCGUCAGAAUUUUCAAGAGUUGAAAGUGUAAGAUCUUGUAGGUAGGUCUAUUUAUAAUUAUCGUAUAUCUACCAGUAGAUGUAUUUUGGAAGCUUUCUAAUACUCUGAGAGCAAUCUAUGUGUCAUCUACAAAAAGUUUAUGAAUCAUUAUAUAUUUUUUUAGUAAAUUUGAUUCAUGUUAGCUACAGCCACGGAUUUAAGGGGGGCUGGUGGGGGCUUAAGCCCCCCCAAGCCGCCGGAAAACCCCUAUAUAUAGCCUGGGUCCAUCACCAAGGCAAUGAUGUUUGCCCCAUACCUGGCACUACCAAGAUUGAGAACCUCGAUCAGAAUAUAGGAGCUUUGUCUGUAAAACUGUCCGCAGAGGAAAUGGCAGAACUCGAAUCUAUUACUUCGGCUGGAGUCAAGGGUGAGAGAUACGGGCCUGAAAUCAGCACUUGGCAAAGUUCUGAAACUCCACCUUUGUCAACCUGGAAGGGCAUAUGACGAGCAACAGCCACGGAUUUAAGGGGGGCUGGUGGGGGCUUAAGCCCCCCCAAGCCGCCGGAAAACCCCCUAUAUAUAGCCUGGGUCCAUCACCAAGGCAAUGAUGUUUGCCCCAUACCUGGCACUACCAAGAUUGAGAACCUCGAUCAGAAUAUAGGAGCUUUGUCUGUAAAACUGUCCGCAGAGGAAAUGGCAGAACUCGAAUCUAUUACUUCGGCUGGAGUCAAGGGUGAGAGAUACGGGCCUGAAAUCAGCACUUGGCAAAGUUCUGAAACUCCACCUUUGUCAACCUGGAAGGGCAUAUGACGAGCAAGUUUGGUUUGAUAUUUCGUGGACUUUUGUUCAGCUUUAGCUUGGAAGAGCACAUGAGUGCAAGUUUGGUUCUAUAUAUAUUUCGUGAACUUUUUUUUUGGUUUAGCUGUUUAACGUCUUGUGGAGUAAUCACAGGGUACAACAUGUGCAGUAUUUGAGUUUUACAGUAAUCACGAGGUUCCCGGGUUCUGGACAUAAUAUAAUCGAGGGCUCAAGGGCUGGCCCAAAUAAUUUUACUAUAAAGGUGAUGCAGUUGUAUCUUGAACCAAUUGUUCAAUUUGUGGUUAGCAUGUUAAUUUCCUAUUUUCUACUUUAAUGACGACACUUGCUAUUUGAACUUACAUGGGAUAAAUCUAUUACUAUAUAAAAAGCAUGAUGAGUCUUUAGUGUCCUCGAUUCUAUAAAAGAACGUAAAUCUCAAUUUACUUUUAAUAAAAAAGGAUGAAAUUUCAAUGUAUGCUAACAUAACUUUUAUCUUUUUUUAAUUGAAAAUAGUUAUAUUUAUAUUGAUAAUUAUAUUUUUAUUUUUGCACAAGUGACAUAUUGGAGCAUCUUCUCAUAAUGUGCAACUUAGGUGGUUUGUGAUGUUAUAAAAUAUUUAAUCAAAGGUUAUUUUUUGUCUUAAUUUUAGUUAUGACUAUGUUACAUAUUUAUAAAAUAGACAUACCUUUAUAAUUAAAGUUAAUAUUUGAUAUUUUAAGAUAUCAUAUAUUUAAAAAUAAAAAAAUUAUUUUGAACAUAACAUAUUAAGGUAAUUUUGUUCGAAAAUUUUUGGCUCCCCCAAGAAAAAAAUCCUGACUCCGCCACUGGUUAGCUAAUACUUGUGUUUCCAAAGAACAAAGGGUAUAAUCAUACGUUUUUCUAAGUUAUAGAGAGGUAGCACGUACAUUCCCUUCAGUGGCAGGGCCUUGUUAUAGAGAGGUAGCACGUACAUUCCCUUCAGUGGCAGAGCCAAGGCCCUUGGCUUAGGGGAUUCAAUUUUCGACUUCACUUCAAUUAUGAUCAUAGUAAAUCUCAAUCAAAAGACAUUUAUGUUAAACUUACUUUUUUUUUCCGUUAUGUCAGUUACUUUGACGUCUAGGUUGUGUUAUAAUGUAUUGAUAGUUUAGAAUCAUCCAAAGUGCUUGUUCUUAGAUUUACGUAAAAAAUUAAACUUAAUUAGAUCUAACACUCCUAUGAAUUAAGAAUUAAGAAUUUUUGGGGCCAUAAGAAUUAAGAAUUUUUAAUUUAUUAAGGGAGGCCGAUGUAAAUAAGAAAGAGACAUUAACAAAUAUUAGAGGGGACAAUAUUGUUAGACUUGUGUGGGCCAGCCCAUUUGUGGGCCAACCCAAAACACAAGUCACUAAGACUUGAGGGUUUCAUGUGACAGUACAUAUUGAAGCAGCCGCAAGAAAGUACUUCACAUUUUUUUGAGUGAAAGAAUUACAACCGCCACUUUAGAGAUAAACGAAGAGAGAGAAGGAGUUAGAAAGAGAGAAACUUCAAGAUCUUGAUUGGAGGGUGAUUCGGAAUCCGAUUGAGAUGAAAUUUUACUCAUGGGAUCCUCUCGUUAGCUCUACUCAGCUACCAGUUCAGAUUUCAGAUUUCCUUUUCGUUUGGUAAUAUCUUUCCAAACCCACUUCUUUAACAGUUGUAAUUUUUGGGGGUGAUUUUGUAGCAAAUUGGCUUGGUUGGUAUUGGUGAUAUUGUUGUCACUAGAAUACUUCGGGUAGAUCUGUGUAUCCCAUUAUUGUGAUAGUGGAGAUUUUUGACUGGACUAGAUUCCGUGAUUUUUUUUUUCAAUUUGGGUUUUUUACGUAAAAAUUUUGGUGUCCUAUGCUUUUUAUUUUUCUUACAUUUUAUUAUCACUGCUAGUAUUAUUAAUUGGUAAUAUUCCUAUUUUAACUGGUACUUGGAAAAAGAGAAAUUUGUCCUGAACUAACUCUGAUAUCGUGUGCCUGUACCAGUACCCCUUUCCCAACAAGUGGUAUCAGAGUAGUUAGGUUGGGUUGCUCAGUUGUACUAGUUAAAAAUAGAUGAUUCAGAUAGUGGUUGCAGGAUAAAAUUAAAUGCUACUAAUUAUUCGAUUUGGAAACCUAGAAUGGAAGACUACUGUAUUGUAGAGAUUUGUUUGAACCUGUUCUAGGGGAUAAAGGUAGACCAAGUGAUAUGAGUGAUGAAAAAUGGGCUGUUAUGCAUAGGAAAACUGUUGGUAAUAUUAAAAAAUGGAUUGGUCAAAAUAUUUCUCAAUAUUUUGCUAAUGACACCAGAGCUGAUGUAUUAUGGAAAAAACUUGAAAGUAUGUAUGAACGGAAAAUCGAUUUGAACAAGGCUAGUUAUCUGAAACAGAUUACUCGGAUGAGAUAUAAAGAUGGAGAAAAUAUGACUGAACACCUGAGUAAUUUUCAGGGAUUGAUAAACCAGGCAACUACGUUAAAUUUGUAUUUGGAUGAUGAAGUACAUACUUUAUUAUUAUUCAGUUCACUACCGAAUAGUUGGGAAACCAUGGUGAUCUCCGUCAGCAAUUCAACUCCCAAUGGUGUGUUGACCAUGGUUAUUGCAAAAGAGGCCAUAAUGAAUGAAGAGUUCAGGAGGAAGGAACAAGAAAUUGUCUAUGAGUCCCAGACCCUGGUGACAGAAAAGAAAGAAAGAAGAGGGAGAAGCAAAAUUAAAGAACCCCAUAACAGGAAUGACAAAUCCAGAGACAGGUCUGAGUCGUGAAAAAAUAUUGCAUGCUAUUAUUGUAAAAAGAAUGGACAUUAUAUGAAGGAAUGCAGAAUUUUAAAACGGGAUUAGACUGAGAGAAAGGGUAAGGGGAAGGAAAAAGAUGAUGAGAACACUACAGCAGUUGUGGCAGCUCAUUAUGACAUGUUUGUGUUCUGUGAUGAUGGUCAAGUGAAUAUCAUUUAUUAUGACAGUGAUUGGGUAGUUCCAUUUUACUCCUCACAGACAUUUUUUCUCAACCUACACCGAAAGAGAUUUUGGAUAUGUUAGGAUGAGAAAUGAGAUCUCAUGCAAAGUUAUUGGCACGGGAGACAUAUACUUGGACAUAGAUACCAGGUGCCAGCUGAUAUUGAGAAAUGUUCGACAUGUUCCUGAUAUUUGACUUAAUCUUAUUUCUACAGAAAAAUUUGACGAUGAGGGUUACUAUAGUUUGCAAGGUGGAGGCAAAUGGAAACUCAUCAAAGGAAAUCUCGUUGUUGCCAGAGGAAAGAAACAUAGUACCCUCUACGUGAUGCAAACCAAGUUGAGGAAGGAAGAAAUGAAUGCAGUUCGUGAUUUCUCAAUUGACCUUUGGCAUAGGCAACUUGGACAUAUGGGUGAAAAGGGGAUUCAGACACUUGUUCGCAAACAGUUCCUACCUGAAGUUAGAGGUAAUGCACUUAAACCCUGUGUUGACUGCAUUUAUAGGAAACAAUACAGAGUUGCAUUUCAAAAUUUUUCUCCAUCUCAAAAUUGAAUCUGUUAGAAUUGGUGCACACUGAUGUUUACUAUAUGAAAGAUAAGUCUCUUGGUGAUGCUGUCUAUUUUAUAACUUUUAUUGAUGACUUUGUUAGAAAUGUUUGGUGUUUUGUUUUGAAAUCUAAAUAUCAGAUUUUGGAUAUGUUUAAAGAUUUUUACAGCAAAAUUGAAAGAAAAACUGGUAAGCAAUUAAAGUGUAUACGUGCUAAUAAUGGUGGUGAGUACAGAGAACAAUUUGAAAUCUAUUCAAGUCCCGUGGGAUCAGAUUGGAGAAAAUUGUGCCAAAAACUCCUCAAGAGAAUGGAGUAGCAGAGAGGAUGAAUAGAUCCAUCACUGAACGGGUCAGAUGUAUGCUCUCUAAUGCUAAAUUGCCAAAAUCCUUUUAGGGUGCGGCAAUGAGGAUUGCAGUCAAUUUGAUUAAUCUUUUUCCAUCAGUUCCUCUAGAUGGUGACAUCCCAAAGAGAGUAUGGACGGGAAAAGAUAUAUCCUUUAAGUACCUGAGAGUUUUUGAUUGCCGGACAUUUGUUCAUAUUCUCAAAGAUGAGAGGUCAAAACUUGAUGUGAAAUCAAAGAAGUGUAUUUUUUUGGGUCAUGAACAUGAAGAUUUCAGUUAUAGGUUGUAUGAUCCUAUUGAUAAGAAGGUGAUCAGGAGCAGAGAUAUUAUCUUCUUUGAAGACAUUGAUAAAAGUGACAAUCCAAAAUGUUCAGAUGACAUUCCUGUUGGUUCAAAUUCAGAUCCAGAUCCAGUUUCAAUACCUAUUGAUUUUAAUUAAGAGGGAGUUGAGAUAAAGCAGAGAGAGAAUAUUGAUGAUAGCAAUAAUCCUACUACUGAUGAACCUGAACACGAGACGCCACCUACUCCACCACUGCCACCACAGGAUGAGUUUAGGAGAUCUAUCAGAGAGAGGAGACCUUCUAGCAGAUAUAAUCCUUAUGAAUAUGUGUUAUUGAUAGAUGGAAGAGAGCCAGAGUCCUACUAUGAGGCUCUAGAGCAUGAGAAUAAAGAAGAUUGGUUGCGAGUCAUGCAAGAGGAGAUGGUGUUCCUGCAUGAAAAUCACACUUAUGAGCUAAUGAAACUGCCUAAGGGCAAGAGAGUUCUAAAGAAUAACUGGGUCUACAGGUUGAAAACUCAUGAGCACAGUUCACAACCAAAGUACAAAGCGAGAUUGGUUGUGAAGGGAUUUAGUCAAAAGAAGGAUAUAGAUUUUGAAGAAAUCUUCUCUCCUGUGGUAAAAAUGUCAUCAAUUCGAGUUGUUCUUGAUGUUGCAGUUAGUUUGAAUUUAGACAUCGAACAACUUGAUGUGAAAACAGCCUUCUUGCAUGGUGACUUAGAAGAGGAGAUUUACAUGGAGCAACCGAAAGGAUUCAAAAAAAGUGGUAAGAAAAAUCUUAUAUGCCGUCUCAAGAAGAGUUUGUAUGGGUUGAAACAGGCACCGAGACAGUGGUAUAAGAAAUUUGACUUCUUUAUGACAGAGCAUGGGUAUCACAAGACUACAUCUGAUCACUGUGUUUAUGUGAAAAAUUUUUCAGAUGGUGAUUUUGUUAUUCUCUUGCUAUAUGUUGAUGACAUGUUGAUUGUUGAUCGUGAUACUAUAAAAAUUGACAGGUUGAAAAAGAAGUUAAGUAAAUCUUUUGUAAUGAAGGAUUUGGGUCUGGCUAGAUAGAUACUGGGAUGCAAAUCUCACGUGAUAGGCAAAAUGAGAAGCUCUGAUUGUUUCAAGAAAAAUACAUUGAGAAAGUACUCAACAAGUUUAACAUGAGCAAGACUAAGGAAGUCUCAACUCCACUUGCAGGUCACUUUAAACUGAAUAUCAAGCAGUGUCCUACAAGUGAGAAAGAUAAAAAAGACAUGAAGAAGGUUUCUUAUGCUUCGCUGUUGGUAGCUUGAUGUAUGCUAUGAUUUGCACAAGACUAGAUAUUACUCAUGCAGUUGGAAUAGUCAGUCGGUAUCUUUCUAAUCCUAGUAAGAAGCAUUGGAAUGCGGUCAAAUGGAUCUUCAGGUAUCUCAAGGGAACUUUCAGAUUGUGUCUAUUUUUCGGCAAUAGUAAAACUAUGCUAGAUAGAUACACUGAUGCAGAUAUGACAGGUAUUCUUGACAAUAGGAAGUCUAUAACUGGGUACUUGAUGAUUUUUGUAGAGAGAGCAGUGUCAUGGCAAAGUAAGUUACAGAAGUGUAUUGCUCUUUCUAGUACGGAAGCAGAGUAUAUUGCAACCACUGAAUCAUGCAAAGAGAGUCUUUGGUUGCAGAAAUUCCUUCAAAAAUUGGGUAUAAAACAAGAGAAGUAUAGUCUUUACUGUGACAAUUAGAGUGCUAUUCAUUUAUGUAAGAACUCUACAUUUCACUCUUGGUCCAAACACAUUGAUGUGAGAUAUCAUUGGAUUCGAGAAGUAUUGAAUUUCAAAUUAUUGACACUUGAAAAGAUACAUACAAAUGAUAAUGGUGCUGACAUGUUGACCAAGGCAUUGACUAAGGAGAAACUCUUAUUUUGCAGACAAGAAACAGGUUUGGUAGAGCCUUCCAAAUGAGCUGGAGGGGGAGAUUGUUGGACUUGUGUGUGCCAGCCCAAAACACAAGUCACUAAGACUUGAGGGCUUAAUGUGAUGGUACAUAUUGAAGCAGCCGCAAGAAAGUACUUCACCUUUUUUUGAGUGAAAGAAUUACAGCCACUACUUUAGAGAUAAACGAAGAGAGAGAAAGAGCUAGAGAGAGAGAAACUUCAAAAUCUUGAUUGAAGGGUGAUUCGAAACUCGAUUGAGACAAAAUUUUAUCCACGGGAUCCUCUCGUCAGGCUCUACUCAUUUACUAGUUCAGAUUUUGGAUUUCCUCUUCAUUUGGUAACACCUUUUCAAACCCACUUCUUUAACAGUUGUAAUUUUUUGGGGGUGAUUUUGUAGCAGAUUGGCUUGGUUGGUAUUGGUGUUAUUGUUGUCACUCGAAUACUUCGGAUAGACCUGUGUAUUUCUGUUAUUGUGAUAGUGGAGAUUUUUGACUGGAUUAGGUCCCGUAAUUUUUUUCAAUUUGGGUUUUUCACGUAAAAAUCUUGGUGUUCUGUGCCUUUUAUUUUUCUUACAUUUUAUUAUCACUACUGGUAUUAUUACUUGGUGAUUUGGUUUAUUCCUAUUUUAACUGAUACUUGGAGAAAAAGAAAUUUGUCUUGAGCUAAUUCUGAUAUCGUGUGCCUGUACCGAUACCCUUUUCCUAACAAAUAAGAAAGAGACAUUAACAAAUAUUAGAGGGGACAAUAUAGAUAAGAAGGAGAAUUCCAAAAGUAUUGGAGGGCAAAGUUGAUAAAAAUGAGAAUUUCAAAUAUUUAGAGGUGCAAAUAAAGGAGUAACCUAAAAUUUUCCAAAGUUUUAUGCCUAAAAUAAAAUUUUCACAAAGUUGGGAGGGGGGGGACAAUUGUCCACCAUCAACUUCAUUUGGCACUGCCCCUGGUUUCAUUUGGCAUCAAAUUUACUGUAUUUCACCCAAAAUAUCUUGAAAAUCUUUGGGACCAAACUGGAUGUUGCUAAUUAGCAUUGCAUGAACAAAUCUUUUUGAACAAUUUAUCUAGUCAUUUUUUUAAAGUGUAAAUAGGAGGGUUUGAAUUCAAUACCUCUCGUGUACACUCCUUCCCAUGUACUACCUAAUCCAUUCUUCUCCCUAUCUAAUCAUGUUGUAGAGUCACAAAACAGCAUAUACCCUUAACUAGGAUAGUUUUCAAAUUUCAACUACACCUUAACAUGCUCCUUAAUUUAAUUAUAUAUUAAUCUUCAUGAUAUUAGUACUUAGUUUGGGAGUUUAGGGUAAUGGUUGAUGUGUUUCGCAAGUAUACAUAGCCUAUCAUAGUAAUAAAGUCACCUGAAGUAUUCCAGGAGCUGAACUUACAGGGACGAGUUAACUUUCUCUACCUUAAUUAUUAUAAAAAAUAAUAAAAUUCAAUCCAUUAGCCUUAUACUUGAUUGAGAAAAUUCAUUUGCAUCCUACCAUCUUCUUUUCUUUUGUUAGUGGGACUAAGGUUAAUGUUUCAUUCUUCUGCAACAUUGACAAUCUCAUUUUGUACAGUUUUGGUCCAGUUUGGAUCCAUAAAAGUGGCAUGUACUCUAUUUAGAAUAUCAACUGAUGGCACAUUGUGUACAAAAGCCUUCAGAGAAUCAAAUAACCCGUCACUUGAUAUAUAAUUGACAGUACAAUAGCCAGUCCUCUUUAGCUACUAGAAUUAAAACAUCCGUACAUCGUUAUUUUUUCAGUUUAAUUGCAUGAUAAAUGGAGAUCCAUGAACUUGAAGACGCCUGACCUGGCCGAUGUAUAAGGUAAACAUCUUAAAUGUGUCCACCAAAUCCUAGAAAGUUUACGCUGAUUAUCUCACAUGCCCCAUUCCUCACUUCUUAGCUGGACCAUGUUACUACAUCACGCAAUGACAUAGACCACCCCAAGUAAUAUAAUAUUCAUCCACACUAGAGCUAAAAAAUAAAGCAAGUAAUUGAAUACGAAAUCUCGAAGCAACAAAUGUAGAAUCCCAUUUCGCAUCCAGACACAUUCAGCAAAAUCCCUCCAAAUUUUCUUGAUUUAUUGUCUCUGAAAAUUAUUAAAUGCAGGCUGUAUUUUUUUUUCUUUUUUGGAAAAUUAUCAAGUCAUAUACUAUCAUUUUCUUUUUUUUACAAUCAUAUUACAUAAUAGUCAUUUAUGUAUAGAAUAAUUAGGGGGAUGUCGACCGAAAAGGAUCAGAUUGAUGCACCAUUUGGUCAAUUAUAUAUAGUCCACUUCCUUGCAUUUACGCUCCGUGCCUAGGCAAACCAACCAUAAAUCCCAGAGGUCCAGAGAGGAGACCAUUCACAUUGGUCAUGGACAUGGAGCACGGUGCAGCUCGGGCAAUGGUGAAGUGUGCUGCUGUUGCUGGAGCAGAAGUUUGUCCAGCAGAAAUUAUGAUCGAUUUGUGUCCCAUAUAAUAAGACCAAGCAGCGGAUCAAAAGCACCAAUUUGGAGACAGUUGUGGACAAAGAUGAAGAAGGAGAAGAAAAGAACGUUCUACCGUUCGACUUCAACGAGGUUUGCUUAUGAUCCACACACUUAUUCUCAGAACUUCGAUCAGGGGUUGACUUGGGCUGAUCCUGAUGACAUCUCCAGAUCAUUUUCUGCUCGGUUUGCCGUUCCUUCAAGGAUCUUUGAUGACAAGAUGUAUAUAGAUGUUUGAAAAUUUGAAGGAGUGAAGGAGUCACUAAGGUUAAUGUUUCAUUCUUCUGCAACAUUGACAAUCUCAUUCUGUACAGUUUUGGUCCAGUUUGGAUCCAUGAAAGUGGCAUGUACUCUAUUUAGAAUAUCAACUGAUGGCACAUUGUGUACAAAAGCCUUCAGAGAAUCAAAUAACCCGUCACUUGAUAUAUAACUGACAGUGAAAUAUUUGGAUCGUUUUAUGUGAACUUCUAGAGUGUGCACAUUUAGUGGCUUGUCACGAUUAGAUCUAUCAGAUAUAUCUACCAAUUACAUUCAAAUUAGUAGUAGAUAAACAGGUGACAAAAGUACUUAGCUCAAGAAUAUUCUCAGAAGAAGUACAAUCAGGUACUAAAGACAGAGGGGUUUUAUCAGUCACAUCAGAUUCUUCAGAGAUCAUCUCAGCGGCAACUUCUUGAAGACCGUCAUGAGUAUUAUCAGCCCUAAGAAUAUUUUUAUCCUUAGUAAUUAGCAAAUCGGCGUUGUCACCAUUGGUCAUUGGCAGGUUGGCUAGCAAAUAGAUGACAACUGGAACUUCGAUGAUUAGCAUAUUGGCAGUCGGCAAAUCAGCAUCAGUCAUGUCAAUACAUGGCCAUGAAGGCUGUGCCAAUUCCUGCUAAUUCUACUCUUCCUUAUCAUUUAUCUCUCUCUGACGUGAAGAACUGGAUACCAAUGAUAAAAAUUAUGUUUUUGAUUCCAAGAAAGUAACAUCUAUUGUUUCAUACAUGUUGUUGGUGGCUGAAUCAUAGCACCGAUGACUUUUCUCGUGCAUAAUAUAGCCCAAGAAAAUAAAUCAAACAUCAUAAGAAUCCAAUUUGCUGUGUUGAUUCUUGUGCAGAUGCAUAAAGGUCACAUUCAAACACUCGUGCUGGAAUCAUUAGCACCAAUGGUAGAGUAAAAUAUUGAUAGAAACCCUGUAGUGAAAUUUAAAAGUUUAUGGCUUUCAAAGGCACUGUUCAGCAAGUGGAUGAUUGUUGUGGUGAUUGCAUUAGGCUGAUAUCGACAUGAAACAUUGUAUAGCAAGGCACGUGCAGUUUCUAAUAUAUACCCAUUUUCUUUCAAUCACUCCACUUUACUGUAGAGUAUGAGUACCAAAAGUUUCAUGUAUGAUACUAAUAGUAUUGCAGAAAUUCUAUAAUGGUCGAUUAUCAUAUUUACCAUCAUUAUUUGAUUGAAGAAUCUUGAUUGUAGUAAAAAAUUAUGUAUAAAGUAAUUGAACAAAAUGAAUUAAAAAUGUCCAGCACUUCAUUUUUAUGUUUCAAUAGAUACAAUCAAGUCAUCUGAGUACAAUCAUCUAUAAAGAUUAUAAACCAAUGAAUACCAGUAUAUAAAUUAAUCGAUGAAGGUUCCCGGAUAUCAGAAUGCACCAAAGCAAAAGGAGUAUUACACUUAUUAAGAUUGAUCAAAUAAGGGACUCUAUGACUCUAGUCUUGGCCAAAAUACAAGUUUCACUUUUCAUAUCUGUAACAUUAACACUAGCAAAUAAGUUAGGAAAUAGGUGUUUCAUAUACCCAAAGAAUGGAUGCCUCAAUCGCUGAUGCCAAAAUUGGAUCUUUCAAAGUUUAGCAUAUUGGUGCUUUUUUUUUUUUAUUUGCUCUGUUUGGACUAAAAUAAUCCAUGUAAUAUAAAUUUGCUCUCCUACUACCACGAUCGAUUAUCUUUUUGGUGACAAUAUCCUGAAGAAAACAAAAGAUUGGAUACAACAGCGCUACACAGUUGAGAUGAGCUAUUAUUCGACUAAAAGGCAGUAGCUUAUUUGAAAGAGAGGGCAUCAAUAAGGUGUUAAGUGGACAAAGAGAUGAAAAUAAAAUAACAGUUUCAGCCCCUGUAACUAAAUAUUGAAUGCCAUUGCCAUUAGAAAUCAGUGAUCGUCUCGAAAGAGUAAUAAAUGAAAAAUCAUUCAGAUCAUAGGUCAUGUGAUUAGCAGCACCUAAAUUGGCAAAUUAGUCAUUAUUAUUGUAGAUGAGAACCACAAUUACCUUGAUGCUGAUAAGCUGUUGAGGUAUCGGUCAAAGAAACAGAAGGCACCUGUGCAAUAUUAAGAGUUAUGAUUGAUGUAACUGAAUCAAUAACUUUUAUGGCCAGUCUUCCAUUUUGAUCAGCAACAUUCAAUUGGUCAGUCUAUCGAUUUUUGUCCUUUGCACUCCUUCUGUCAUCUUGGAUAUCAUGUAGUUUGAAACAAGUAUCAUGGAUAUGUGUUUAUUCCUACAAUAAGUGUAGCCAUCUUCUUCAGUCAGCACAUUGAUUUGAGCUAAUAUGAUUGGCCUACUUUUCGCUCCUUUAAAAGUCAUGAUAGAGCCGAUUGUGUUAUCUCUCCCUAUUAACAUUAUUGAUUGGCUACUAUUUUCAUGCUGAAUAUAGGUAUAUGCCUCUUUCAUUGUUGGAAAUGGUUUCAUUUGUAAUGUAUCACUACGAAUCUUAUUCAAUCGAUCAUUUAAUCCAUUAAGAAAAAUGUACACUCUCUUUUCCUGCAUGAGAGAGUUAUACCUGUCGACAUCGACAUCGAUAGCACACUUAAUUGGGCUUGACCAAUAGAAAUUCAUAUCUCUCCACAAACCUUGCAGGUCGUUAUAAUAUUUCUUAAUCGGCCCUCCAACUUAUCCCAUCCUGGUCACCUUCUGCUGUAAAUCAUACAGUUGGAAUGUAUCAGUUCCAUCAAAGUAUUUUGUAGCAACUGCAUCUCAUACCGCUUUUGCAUUAGGGAAAUGGAUGAAUUACCAAUCAAGAAUGGAUCCAUAUUAUUUAUUAGUCAGCUCUUCAUGAUUGAAUCAUCAGUCUGUCAUUGUCAUUAUGCAGGAUCAAUUGGUGAAGGUUAAGGAAUUUCUCUGUUAACAUAAUCCAAAUUGUCAUUACUCAAGAUAUCCAUCUCAAUAACUUAGGCCCACAAGGUAGAGUUGGUGUCAUCCAAGUUGAUGCCAAUAUUCGCGAUAAAUGAAUCACUGCUUGAUGUAGCCUUCUAGGUCUUGAUCCAAACUUUUGCCAAUUGUGCAAUGAAGUCUUCUAGCACAAAGGCAGUGAAAAUGUUUCACCAUUUCAGAUGAUUCUGUCAUGGUUCUUGGUUUAAGGUUAUAUCAGAGUAGCACUUGAAUAGAGACCCUAGAAUCCCUACCCUGAUACCAUAUUAAGAAGAAAAGAGUUUUGGGGGAAAAUUUUCUCUAUAUUUCUCUCACAAAUAUUACAAUAAUAUGAGGCUUAUAUAUAAGUUUACAACAAAAUAUGAUACAAUGAAUCUAUACAACUUCUAGAUAGUAUCUAUUCUAAUUAAAUCCCUAAUUGAAAUACAUCAAACACAAGAAGAUAUCAACAACUAACCACUGUCUAUCAACAACUAACAACUCACUUCAACAUGAAUUUAUUGCAUUUUUAAUGGCAUCAUAGGUUUUCAAAAAUAUGUGCUCUUUCAUGCAUUGAUGAGGCCAAUUUGAAAACUGUCACCUAUGUUAACAGGCCCAUUUAGUUUAGCCAAAUAAGUUCAAGCCUGCUUGACACUUCAUAGUUUAUUAUGUUUCAAUUAGGGUCUACUAAUACUAUCCAUAGAAUUUCAUGGAACUUUUACGCCUUGAAUGUUGAGUGCUACUAUUGAAAUAUUCAUUGAUUAUUUCUCAAGAAUGAUAAGACAAUAUAUUUUAUAUUAUCCACUUUGUCCAGACGUUAAACAAUGUUUAGUAAUAUAUCAAGAGCGGAAAACAUUAGAAAAAUUAUGAUGAACAAGCAAACAUUAAAAGUAAAAACGCGGAAUACCCAGCACAAGAGUAAAUUGGAUUGCACUUUAUUCAGUGUUCUUCGUUGGAUGAAACUUAAUGAAUCACUUUUGUGCUGACUAUUCCACCUUUUUGGUCCAAGUAUGCAACUUCGUAUGGUCACCUGGCCCUGGAUUUGCACGUCCACUAAUAUUGAACCCACCUUCCUUUACCAACCAAUGGCAGUAGGAAUUUUUUCUGAAUGGUUUAGAAAUGCUUCCACAGUAACUAUUUGCCAACUCGGUAUUAUAAACAUCAAAACUUGUAUCUUGUGUUCCCCGCCAAAAGUGACAAAAAUAUAAAGUACCCAACCAAAUAUUGGGUGAGAAACGCCAAUGGAAGUCGUCAUUUACGCGGAGGGUAUGGUAUCCUAAAUCAUCAUCUUUUGAUUGACAAUGGAUGGUUAAGGGUAUAUCGUUAUUCGGGAGGCCAUUGAUCACAUGAACAUUAUAGUAGUCCAAAGCAACCACUCUAUAUGAUGUUUGAACGACGCAAAAUGAAAAAAAAAAAAAAAAGGAAACAUAUAUAUGUUUGCAACGGUAACCAUUUUUGUUAAUGCUGUUUGUUAUUCUUCAAAUUUGUGAAAUUACCUCUUUAAAUGAGACUAAGUAACAUCGGUUAUGGUCGGUGCACUAAUAAAACAACAGCACUAGAAUUAAAAGGUUUGACAUUAUAUUUUCUGAAAACACAAGAUCCUGUCAUUUUUUAAUUAACUAUGUUUAUUGCAUUAAUGACAUCUCAAUAUUAAAACAGCACGGUUUGACAUUUUAUUCGGAAAAUGCAAGUUGUUUUUCAUCUUUAAUAUGUGAUGCCACACCAUAUCAUUAUUCUAGGAAAAUGGAAAUGAGUUAAAUUGACAUUCAUUUAUCUUAAAUUCACAUAUUUGAUGCAUUCAUGACUUGUACAAUUAAUAUUAAAAUUUGUACAAUGCAUUGAUUAAGAAGGAGGUUUGAAUUUUAAUCCUUACUUAUUGCAUACAUUUCACAUUGGAAAGAACAGGGAACUAUGCUUAACUAAACUCAUAAAUGUGAGCGUUACACUACUUAAUAUCAUAUACAUUGCAUUUGAUAAAUAACCAGAGUUACAACCUCAAAACUAAUUGGCAGUGCAUCUAGUUGCAUAAAAUCUUGUUAAUUCAUGUCUUUAACACCCCAUCUAAUAUUAUUUUACGAUUGUUCUAAAUUGAUUUUUAAAACAUCACUUUCUAAUAUUGAUAAAUUGAAUAUUAGUAUUAAACGCAUGCGAGUGUGGGAAAGAGAAAGAGUAUGCAUUAAUGCGUAUGUUUCAGGAAAGAAAAAUGUAGCUUCUAAGAUUAUGAUGCUAGGAAUUAGAAUUUCAGAAUUCAAAUACUUCUUUUCCCCAAUGUUUUGAAAAUAGGAUCGGACCGGCUGCGUUUGACUGGUUGAACUGCGAACCGGCCAUGGCACCAGCCCGAUUCUAUGUCAUAGUUGACUUUAUUAGAAAACCGGUAAAAAACUGAUUGAAUCGUGAAAACCGUCGAACCGGUGGUUUCUGGUUUUCAACUUUCCCUUUCUUUUUUUUUUUUUUUUUAAGUUUUGUAAAAUGCAGCUAUCAAGAUUCGAAUUCAAGACCUUUGUAAUAGAAGAUCAAUGUAUUAACCGUUGUAUCAUCACAUCUUAUUAGUUUUUUUUGAUAACUUAUUUAUAUAUAAACAAACACACUCAUUUCUUUCUACUUUUCUUACAAAAUCUCAAAUCUCUCAUGGCUCUUUCUUUUUAAUCUUCAACUCUCUCUCUCUAUCCUCUUUUCUUUGUCACUCCCUUUUUAAUCAAACCUCUUUUAUUUUUAAUUUAUUGAUGUUUUCUUCCAUCUUUUAAUUUUGUUUUUGUGCAUUAAAUUAAAAAAAGUUGAAAAAAAAUUAUUUUUCUUUAACCCAAAUUAUUUAAUGCCACAACCACUCACUUUUAUCUCAUUUUUGUUUUUUAUCAAGUUUACAUUUCUUUUUUCGAUUCUCUUGACUUCCUUCGAACUCCAAACUUCCUUUUUUUAAAUUGCAAUCUCUAAAUCACAAAACGUAAAUUAAAAUUUAAGUUCACAAUAUCUAAAUUCUCAUAGACGUGAAUUUUGUUAUAAUUUCAAAAUAUUGUGAUAUUUUUGGGUUGGAUUUAGAUAUAAUUUAAAUUGAGAUGAAAUUUAUUUGUUUUAACUUAUAAUUUAAAAAAAUUUAUUUUUAAAAAUCCAAAUUAUUAAAAAUAGUAAACUUUUCAUCAUAUACAGUAUUAAAUUGGUCCAUUACAUGUCUAUUUUGUGCAUAUAAUAUAUUUAUAUAAAUUAUUUUUUAAAAAAUUCAUUGAACCGGGGUUGAACCGGUCCGACCGAUUGAAUCGAGCUCGAACUUGAGAUCAAAAUAUUAAGCCCGUUAGCUUGCGAGCCUAUUAGGGCUGCAAACGAAUCGAGCCGCUCGCGAGCCGCUCGAAUCGAGCUCGAACUUAAGCUCAAAAUAUUAAACCCGUUAGCUGCGAGCCGGCUCGCGAGUUUGAGUAUAUAUAUAUAUAAUUUUUUUAAUUUUAAUUAUAUAUAUUUUUAAUUUUAAGUAUAUAUAUUUUUUAUUUUCUUAUUUUAGUAGUAAAAUUACAUAUAUCCUUAAUAUUUUAUUAUUUAUUAAAAAAAUAUUAUUUUAUUUAUUUUUAAAAAAUAAAAUAAUUAUUUUUUAUUUUUUUCAAGCUCGGCUUGACUUUAAAUUGCCGACUCGUCGAGCUCGAGCUCGAGUUCGAGCUUGGUAAAAUUUAGUCAAGACUCGGCUCGUUUGCAGCCCUACCCGGUAUGCAACGAAGAAGUAUUUAGUGAUAAAUCCAGGCAAUGAAGAAUUGAAAUAAACAAACGGCCCAAAAUCGAUUAAUAUCUGCAGAAUUCUAUACCUGCAAUAGUUUUUUGGGAUAAUUUUAGAAACCUCCCCUAACGUUUCUCACAAUCUCACUAGCCUCCGUUAGAGUUUGCAAAAUUACACAACCUCCUUUGAGGUUAAGGUUUUGGAAACAAAAUUAGUCUAAUUAGAAAAAAUAAGAAGUACUUUAAGGAGAGGGAUUGUUCGAAUUUGCCUUUCGUUUCCCUCAUUUUUCCUUACUAAUAUCUAACAAUUAAAGUACUUUUUUAAUGUUGCUUUUUCUAAUUGAACUAAUUUUGUUAUCAAAACCUUAAUCUCAAGGGAGGUUUGUGUAAUUUUAUAAACUUUAGGGGAGGCUAGUGAGAUUGUUAGAAAUCUCAAUGGAGGUUUAUGAAAUUAUCCCUAAUUAAAAAAGAGGCCAUUCGGGCUAAGUGAAUAAUUUGCCACUAAUUGGUCACUUUUAACUAGUUAUGAACAAAAAAAAAUAAAUAACUUGGGCCAAAAAUAUUUGUUGGGCCUAUUGAGUAGCGGAACAAAUGAAAUAAACUUUUUUAUCAGGCCUAAGAACUGAAGUUGUAAUGUUUUUUUCGGGCAUAUUAGUUGUUCUUUGAAUUAUAGGAAUACAUUUUUCAUAACCCAAGUUUUGAUACUAUGAGUCUAUGACUCUUGUCUUAAUAGGUCGAGCCUAUUUUUCUUUGAGAUCCAAUUUUAUUACAACAACCCAAUGUUGUCAAAUGAACCCAAGGACAUUUUAAAAAGUCCAAAUCAGUCUCUAAACCAAGUUUAAAUAAAAAAGAAAUCUAUUCUAUGGAUCGGCUGAGCCAUAGAGCCAAAUCCAUACCUAAAUCCGUCCCAAACUAGUGUGGUCGUUUCUACAAAAAAACAAAUAAAUAUAAGUUAACAAAUAAAUCAAACUUAUUAGGAUAAUUGAAUUAGGACAGCAUUCUAAAAAUGGAAAAUUUUCAAAUUAGGAAAUCUUCCAAAAAUGAAAACUUUCUAUUUUGGAAAAACUUUUCAAGUACUUUUUAGAGAACGUCCAGACAUGAAUUCUUGGAUUACUUAGGAUAGGAAUGUAUAUUCUAAGAGUCAGAAAUGUUGGCUAAUUAGGAUAUAUGUGUAUUUACUACAGGUAUGAAGUAAGUGUAAGGCACAUUAAGGGUAUCUCACGCGAGUAGCUUGAGGUAGGUGGUACUUGUUCUUCUAUGUUUUUCAAAUAUUAAAUAUGAGUUUUAUUAAAUGAAAUCUCUACUUUGCUACAUGUAAAAUGAAUCAUCUAUCUCUAUUUGAAUUCUUUGAUAUGCAUGUGAUAUGAAAUGAAUAGUAUAAUUUCAUGAAAUGAAAGAAAUAUGCAUGUGAGUGUAAAUGAAUUCAAUUAAAGACAAGCUCUAAAUAGUCAUAAAAUAGACGAUAAGGAUUAUAGUCUUGCUAUGUUAUGACGAUCAAGUAAAUAUUAGGAAAAAAAACUUAAUUAAUUAUCGAUGGUCAAUUGUAAUUGUAUACCUUAUCUUUGACCCAUCAUCACGUAGAUCAUGUAAAGAUUAAGAAAAACACUUGAUCUACUGUCCUCUUAGAAGGAGUUAAGUUCUAGGCUAAGCACUUUGAAUGCAGCUAUUUUAUGUAUCUUGUUUAUGAGUUAAUAUGAAUAAUUUUGCAUGGUUAUGAAUUUUUAAGUACGUCCACGUUAUGCCAUGUAUAACAUGUGUAAAUUGCAUUAUGAUCUUUAAAUGGCUAUAUAUACAUAUGAUGAGUGUGACAGAUGUUAAAAAAUAUAGUAUGUUGUAACUGCAUGAUUCAGCAAGGAUAUAAGUUCUACUUGUUCGGCAUUUCAUCACUUAACCCAAUUUUUGUUUAUUUUUUUUGCUUGUAGAUCUUGAAAAUUACGAGGUAGUUUAUGUCAAGAACCUCGAGGAUCACUUCUACUAGGUUAUAUAAUUAUACUGAAAUAGAACCUUGGAUAGGACUUGGUAAAUGUUCUUAAAGUAUUCAAUAAUCUUUAGUUUAUGUUUCCAUUAGAUUUAUUUUUAUAUAAGCAUGUGGACUCAUCUAGAUAUGCUAUGUUAUUUCUAUACUUGGACAAAUAUUGCAGUAUGAGUUGUUUUCUUAUUAUUUAGUGAACAAAUAAGUUUUAAAUUAUAAUUGUUGCCUUAUAUUUUUGAGAUAAUCUUGAGGGUAUGGCAAAUGUCUCAUGUUUGUGGCGUGUGGGCUAGGGACACGACAAUUUAUCAGUUGAUGAAGGAAUUAAACCAAGUUAUUCAGCAUUAAGUUUUCUAAUUCCUGCAUGCGGAUCCAAUUCAAAGCCAAAAAUCUCUAUUAAUCAGGCUGAAUCAACUCUUGUUCAAAGCAUGAAAUUGUAGGCCUUUGAAUUAACUUUUCAAUGCCACAAGAGUCAUUUUAUUUGGUGGUUUGGAUGCUGAGAUAUGCCAAAGUACUGAGAGUUGGUCAAAAGAGCACAUCAACGAAACUAUACUUCAAUAAUUUGGACUUUUGGCUAUGAAACGUGAGAACAAACUUUAAUAUCCCAUAAGAAUUUUGUUCUUAUAUUGUUCUAAUAGAUCAAGAAUUCAAUUGGAGAGAAAUCGAACUAAAACCACGGUGCGAAGAAAACAAUGGAAGAGGAAAAAGUCAAGAGAAAGGAGUUUAAUAGAAUUGACAUGUUUUAGUAUUUGACAAUAACUUAAACUACCAAAAUCAGAUUAAGCUGAUACUUAUACAUUUUUUAAGAUAAGAGUCACAUGAACAUUCCGUAUCAGUAUUGUAUAUAUACAUAUGCGCAUAAAGAGUUUAACUAAUUAGAUCGUUACUUUAAUUCUCUGCUUUUCUUCUGCAUGUGACGCAAUAAUAGCCAUUGUCUCUCGGUUGUUGUGAUAUAUAUUUCUUUAAGUUGUGAUAAUUUUUGAUACCUUACACUGAAAUAUAAAGGAUUCAACAUAACAUUGUAUUGGCUUUCAACAUUAAUUCACCGAUCAUAAACUUAUGAAAAGGCUCUUGAUAAAGGUUCAACCAUUGUCAGCUAAUCAGUCUUUAACAAGACAAUUUCAUCAAACUAUGAAGCAUUAGAAUUAGUCACUUUUGCACCUCUAAGCCACAAACUAUUUUGAGUUGUCAAUUGGAGUAACUUUUUUAGUGCAAUACAUUGAAUUUCAAAUAUUAUCUUACCAUGUGGGUAAUAGAAAAUCCAUACAACAAUAUAUCUCGAUAUGCUUAUUUAUAGACUAUUGUACGCAAAGAAUAAAUUUACAUCAUACAUCUUAUAAGGAGUGAAGGUAUUGGUAUUUUCGCAAUACAUCUUAGAAGGUAUCGAUGUUUUCGCAAUAAUAAGCCCAAGAUAUAACGAAUGAAGAUUUAUACAAAUAUGUGAAUAGUUUUCAGGUCGUAUUGGAAUUUUGCUAAAUUAAAUAGUUUCACAAACAAGCCUCAGAAAGAAAAAGGAAAAACCCAAACAAUAUAAAAUACUAGUUUGGAUAUAAAAUUUCUAGUUUGGAUAUAAAAUAUGCAAACUAUAUUCUUGCUUUGAAUGAUAAAGAAAAAAUUUUGACCAAGUAAGCCACUCCUAGAGGAGAGCCGCGAGCCUAUAGGUGACAAAGUGACUUGCAUGCUGGGUUUACUACUGGUGAACGUUCAUUUCCUAGAGCGGUUAGGUUAGACAAACUGCUGCUUUCAAAUUUUGUUCAAAUGAUCUUGGAACGGUUAUAGUAAAUUUGUAAAAUUACUUUCUCUGUUAAAAAAAGAAAAAGAAAAAAAGAUAGUGACUUGGACAGAAUUUGUCAACCUUUCAAAAUUAACUAGUAAAAAUAAACCAGUAUCUGCAACAUAAAAAAGCAUGGGAAUUAAAUGUCCCAAUUAACUUAUGUUAACUAACACAAACAAAUUUUUAGAACCUCAAGUUAGAAGGAGAUAUUAACAUGAAAUCAGUGGUCCCUAUACAUGAAAUUGAAAAAGAAGUGAAAGAUUCUAAGUGGUCCCUAUACAUGAAAUCAGUUCAACAUCUUUCUGUCAUAUAUAAUAUGUAACUACAAGGAUUGCCCUUUUCGAAAUGUUAAAAAAUCUAUAGAAAUUGUUAAUUAAACACAAGAGCUUUAAGUAAUAAAUGGAGUAAAAAUUUUAUUAUGGGCUUGGGCAUAAUAAUAAGCGAUCUUUGGGCAUUAUUAAGACAAAAAUUUGAAGUCACUCUUAAAUACAUUCCUCAUGAAAUUUUUAUCUCAAAUAUAUUACAUCAUUAAAAAAAAAAGUUACUCCCUAUAAUUUGAAAAAGGUAUUUCGAUACCAUUUAAUUAUUGGAUAACAUAAUGUACAACGAGUUAAGAAAGUACAAGUUGAAAGCCAAGGAACCCAAAUAUUGUUAUCGUUUGUGGAAAAAAGAAAAAAGAAAAAAAAAAAGCCAAGGAACCCAAAAAUGGGAAUAUUUUGUAUUUGUGCUUGUAGUAACAAGUAUGCAUUUGUUAGAUGAAUAUUUGUAUGGAUAUACGUUAGACAUUUUUGUUAAGAUUUGGAAAUGUGACAAAUUUUCAAAUAGUUACCACAUUUGCAAGGCAAACGUUCAUGAAUUUGUCCAAAGAUAGUGCCUGGCCUAACAAUGUGUAGAGUAUACUAUUUAUGAAGUCAGGCAUACAACUUGCCAAUAGACGGCGGCUAAUUUAACAUCCUAACCUAGGAAGAAGUUAGUUAAGCUGCUCAUGGAAUCUGUGUAUAAAAACCUGAAACGUAGUCCACAUUCUUCAAGAUUAGAAUCAGCACCGGUUUCUCUAAUCAAUUAGGAGCCAUGGCCAGCCACAAGGCAUUGCUGCUUCAUCUGCUAGCACUCUUCUCCAUGCUGUCCAUGAGCGCCAAUGCUUGUAGGCUCUGUGGUAUUUCUCUGCCACUAGUACCAGACUUCCUCUGCCCACCAGAUCCCUGCAAACUACGACUCCGUCCGCCUCCACCACCACCUGGGAAGAGUCCACCUUCACGUCCACCUCCUCGAAGAGGGAUUCCAAUACUGCCCCCCCAUUUUGCAGUAAUUGUUCUCCUCUGGCACCUGAUUUGAGUGCACCACUACAUAUAUUACACACCCUAUGCUAAAUAAAGGAAAAAGAAAUGCAGAAUAUGAAUAAUAAUACCUGAAGAAUAGGUAUGGGCAGAGUUUCGAGCUCUGCAGCAAGAAGUUGUAUUAGGUACUGUAUUUACCUUAAAACCAGUUCCUUACUCCUGGGAAUUUAAGUGACAAGCACUAUGAUCUUGUUCUACGUUUAUCUAUUAUGUAUCGAAUAAGACUUGAUAUUCUGUAUUGAUCUUACGGACCCUCCCUUUUUCUUUUGGAUCUUACGGACUUAUUGGUACUUUUCAUGGCUUAGUACUUGCUCGUAGUUAUUAUCAGUAAAAUGCAACUAUGGCCACUGAAAAAAUUCGUUUGGCCCACUGACAUUUCUUGGGCGUUAAAUCACUAGUUAAACUUCUAAAUGCGCAGUGUUUUGAUCAUUUUGUUAAUUUGCUUCCAUUAUCUUUAGGGUAAAUUCCACUUUACCCCCCUGUGGUUUAGCGUUUUUUCACAUAACCCCCCUAUGGUUUCAAAAGCUAUACAUAACCCCCUCAUGGUUUGGAUUAAAGUGUCAAAGUAACAGAAAUAGUCACUCGUAACGGAACUUCUAAAAAUGUCGAAAUUACCCUUAUAAAUACAUGACACAUUAACCCCCUAUAAUUUUUAUAUUUUACCAUAUAACCCCCUUAUGGUUUAAUACUUUACCAUAUAACCCCCUUAUGCUUUUCAAAAUAUACACAUAACCCCCUUGGUUAAUACAUAAAUUUCAACCUUACAUAAGGGUAUUUUUGACAUUUUAGGUGACGCCGUUACGAGUGACCAUUUCCGUUACUUUGACACUUUAAUCCAAACCAUGAGGGGGUUAUGUAUAGCUUUGAAACCACAGGGGGGUUAUGUGAAAAACGCUAAACUACAGGGGGUAAAGUGGAGUUUGCCCUCAUCUUUAACAAAAAGUUGUUGCGCCGGACAUGUAAACUACCAUCAUAGCCACAUUUUGGCCAUUUAUUCUGGUCAAGAAUAAACUUUUAUUUCACAUGCUGAACUUUUUUCUUUUGUGUCAUUUCACCCAUUUUAAUUUAAAAUGUGUAGAUUAGGUCUUUUAGAAAUAACAAAAAUACCCCGAAAGGGGGAGGGUGCAUGUGACGUUAAUUGUGCCAAAUUAUUGCACUUAUGUAAGCUCAAUCACACUGAGAAAGACUCGAUCUAGUGAUUAAAGUUGACGCUGUAGAAAUUAGAAGUUUUGGAUUCAAAUUCAUUUUUUGUCUCGCUACUUCUAAAAUUUCACGCCUUCCCUAUGUAAGAAAAAUCAAUUUUUUUUUUAAAAAAAAAAAAUAGAAGUCCAGUCAUUGAAUUUAGAAGAAAAGAACUUGGAUCUCCCUUUCUUCUGAUAAAGAUAUAAAAGAGAUCUUAAAAACAGAAUAAAGUGAGAGUGAGAUCACAUGCAUGCGAUGCGAGCCCCUUCAUAGUCACAUUCAAAUAUCGUUAGGACCCCUAUAUAGGAAUGGGAGACCAAAGGUUACUUCUGGUGGAAGAAUUUUAAUAUCCAUAACAACUUUAUAAUUUUCUCAGUUAAUGCACAGAUUAUGUAAUCCCCCAUCUUAUUUGUCAAAAGUUUUCGACAAGUGAUAUUAGAGUAGGUUCAGUUAAAUUCUGGUAGAAUGAGGCGUGGGAGAUUUGAAGAAUGGAAGCAAGAGCCAUUUUGUAGUCCGAACAAGCAAUGCUGUAACAAUAAAAGUUAGAAGACUAACUUGUUGAAAAAAAAUUUACAAAGACGAAGUUGUUGCAGUUUACCGCAUUGCAUAUUAAGAAAACUAAAAUAAAAUUUCUUAACAGAAAGUUAAGCAAAAAUGAUCAUAUAUGAUCAUUGAUAAAUGCUUUGGGCUAAUUAAUAGAAGUACGUUACCAAGAAAAUAACUUCAUUUAUAUAAACUACAAAAAGAAUUUAAGGAAAUAUUAUUACAAAUGUAAAAAAAAAAAGAACAGUCUUAGAAAAGAUGAAAUUUCCUAGAAAAAUAAAUUCCUUAUUUUUCUUUUUAUUCAUCCUUAGUCGCUCAGAAUAUUUCUUUAAAGGUUUUGCCGUAAUACUUUCGUGUAACUUUUUUUGUUUCUCAAUGUAAAUCCAUCUUUUAAAAAAAAAAAAAUUACUUUCAUUAUCUUUUUUCAAAAAAUUUUGAAAUGCAAAGAUCAUUUACAUAGGAGAAUCAAUUCCAGGUUUUAGAGGAUAUCUCCUUUCUAACUACGCUAAAAAAAAUUAAUUCAUUUGCAAAAGCUAAAGGCAAUACUGCCGGAAUUUGACAUUCUGACAAGGGAACCAUAUCCAAACGCCCAAUGUUUUUCUCAAUAAUAGGCAAAAUACUAGUUAAAGUAAGUAUGAAGAAAUUCGAUUUCCAUGCCCCAAGGCGGCCUUUCUCUUGCCCAAAGUGCCCAACAAGCAAUUCAUUCAUAUUCACUGAAAAAUUGACACUAGUUGUACAAUUAUUAAACCACAUGGGAAACCUUGGAAGUGAAUUCCUAACCAUUAUUAAUAGGAACCAAGGAAGUCCCUGCUAACAAAAUCAUAUGGCUCCAACACUUCCGCCUUUACUCUACCACGAAUUACAUGCCUUUUCUUACAGUUUAUCAAACUAACUGGACUGAUUUUAACCUUUCUGCCAAGAUUUUUGAGUACCAUUUGCACGUGAAACUAAAAUAUGCUAUAUAUCUAAAAUCCGUCACCCUAUUUGCAGUUCCCACUUGAAUUUUAACAUUAUUUUAAAUACCAUAAAGGGGAUCACCUAUACUCAUGUCUUGUGAUCUUGAUUGUGAUGACUGACAUUCCUCUGAUCCAGUUUGAGGUUAAACCGUGCUUUCUUUCGAUAAUCAUGAUUACAAUAGACCGUUAAGCUGGAUGGAAACAUAAAAGUACGAUAACAUAAUCUAUUGUUGCGGAAUUCUAUUUAUUCAACUUGUUGCAGUAAAGUACAAAAAGGCGUAUGCAUUAUCAGACAACGUUUGAGCACAAAAGAAAGACUUAAAACAGUGGGGCAUGAAAGUUUCUUCUCCUCUGUGUGAACUGCGUCAUGAGCAAGAAGAAACGCAGGGUCAUUUAUUUUUUGAAUGUCGAUUUGCUAGAAUUGUGUGGGAUAAAAUCCGGAGUUUCUGUCUACUCUGUAGAAGCCAGGGGCGGAUUUAAAAGUGGAGGCACGGCCCCCACUGCCUCCAUCAAUUUCCUAUAAUAUAUCUAUAAUUUUGACAUAAUUUUAAAGGUGCCCCCAGAAUUUGUUUUAGAAAAAAUGUGAAAGAAUGGAUCACAAAAUUUAUAUCAUUCACUUUCCUCCUUUAGUUCCCAUUUUCCCACCAACAGGGCCAAGUACCAAUUAUAUCAGUCAUUCCUUUUGGUUCUCACUCCCCAAGUUCCCUUUACUCCUGUGGUCCUCCAUUUCCUUCACAACCGGUUCUUCUUCUUCCAUACCCAAGUCAACUACUUUUUAUUUUUAUCACUUCAUCAAUUAUCAAUUUACUUCCUUUGUCCACACUCUCCAAUUUCCUUUCCUCGUUUGGCUCUCGUUGUCCCCACUCCCCAACAUACAUAAGAGAGCCAUUUUUUUCCACAACCAAAGCUUGUUAUUCUUUCUUUUGAUCACUUCAUCCUAUUUAGAGAUUGCAUCAGAAUCAAUUGAUUUUCUAGGACUUGGGUCCACCACAUUUUGCAGCUCUUUUCACCAACUUUAGGAGACCAUCAAAAUCAGGUUCUAAACAAUUACUUAUUAUUAUUAUUAUUUUAAAUUUAUUUGCAAAUAUAUUUCUAGAGCAUGAGACUAUUACUGUUUUAAAGAAAUUUAAAAAUUGAUUAGUUAAUGUAAUAACUAAUAAAUGGGUUAUUUGAUACAUAUUUUAACUUGUGAAAUGGUGAUUUUAUGCAUGAGGCUUUUUUUUUUGCUUAAAAAAAAUUAGAAAAAGAGUAAAUAAAAAAUUUUAGUAUUAUUUUUGCCCCACUAAAAUUUUUUUCUGGCUCCGCCCCUGGUAGAAGCAUGCUGAAUUGGAAUGAUGAGUUGUAGUGGUGGCGUAAGAAUUGUAGGACUCAAUCUUUUGCUAAUAAAGUCAAGAGUGUGGCUUUCUCUAUGACUGUCUACUUCCUAAGGCAGACUAGAAACAAGAGUUUAUUUCAGGCCUUCCAGUGUGGGCGUAGUGGUUGCUGUCGUCAAUGCAAUGCAAAUAGUUGCUACCUCUUGAAGCAAGAUUCCUCGCACCAGAGAGAAAUGGGAGUUGGUUCUUGAGUUGGGAUUAGAUAAAGUUGCUUUGUAUGAUUCUUAUUGUCUUUUCUUUCGAAUUUUGACAGUAGAGUGUACAGAAAUUGUGCAGUCCAAGGUAGAUUGAGGAUUUUAUCAUUUUUUGUAAAGCUUUAUUGAUUGAUCUAUCAUGGAAAAAGGUUAUAAAUUUGCUAAAAAAAGGCAUAUGAAAUAUUAUUCACGCAUAUGAUUUUGAAGUUUACAACUAUAGUUGAUGACGUCUCACUUAAAAGUAGAAAAUCCAGCCCAACUAUUCACAUCUGAGCUUCGUAGGCCUUUAUUUGUAAUGCUUUAUAUAUGAUCUCUAAUUUGUAUUUAGGACGUAUGACUGAAUUCAAAUGACGGUCUAAUGGAAGACAUAUGCAUAGAGCAGGAUUAAAUAACUAUUAAAUUCUAUCUAGUGAUAAUGAAGGUAGGUGGAGCUACAGAAACGACUAUGAACUUAUCUUCCAGAGGAUGAAUUGUCAUUUUUAAUCCUCUCACGAUGCACCAUUUGGUGAUCUUCUAUGUGGAGGUGGUGGAGGUGAAGGUAGUGGUGGCAGUGAAGGAGGUGGAGGAGGUGGAGAAGAACGCGGGGUUGGUGAAAAAUGCGGAGGCAGAGAUGGCAAAAAUGAUGGAGACCAAGGUAGAGGAGAGGAAGGUGGUGAUGGAGAAGGAGGCAGAGAAGAUGAAGGUAGAGGUGAAGGUGGUGGUGGUGGUGAUGAGGGAGACGGAGGAGAUGAUGGUGAUGAAGGUGGAGGAGAAGGCAGGAAUGGUAAGGGAGGUGAAUGAGGGGAAAUGGGUGGUGGAGAAAGAGGCGUAGGUGAAAGUGGCAGAGGAGAAGGUGGUAGUGGUGAAGGAGGCAGCGAGGUGGAGGAGGAGAGGAUGGUGGACGUGAAGGCUGUGGGGGAAAGGGUGGUGGUGGUGAAAGAAGCGGAGGAAAUGGAGGUGAUUUCUUAGGCGGUGGAGGUCUAGAUGGUGGAGAAGUAGGUGGUGAUGAUGGUGGAUGUGAUUUUUUGGUGGUGGGGAUGGACUCUUUUUUGGUGUGGAGGAGAUAGCGGUGUUUUCUUCGUGGAUUAAGGUGAAGGUGACAUUUUAGGUAGUAGAAUGUGGAGAAGGAGAUGGAGAAGGAGGUGAUGGGUGGUGGGGCAGGGGUGAUUUCUUUGGUGGGUGAUUUCUAGUGGAGACGGAGGUGAUUUUUAAGUAGUGGAGGUCGAGGAGAAGAUGGAGAGGAGGUGAUGGUUGAAGGGCUGGGAGUGAUUUCUUUGGUGGGUGAGACGGAGUUGAUUUCUUAAGAGGUGGAGGUGGAGAAGGUGAUGGCGAUGGAGGUGGGGGUGAUUUCUUUUGUGAGAGAUGAAGCAAGGUGAGUUACUUUUUAGUCGAGGCGGAGGUGAUUUCUUAGGUGAUGAAGGAGAAGGUGGUUUUUUUUUGUUUGGAAUAGUGGAAUAAUAAUUGAGGGUUUAUGUUUAAAGUGUGGCCAUGGUUUGAUGUGCGGCCAAUAUCGCGGUGGGCAAAAACCAGCAUUUACAUUCACAAUGAAUAGGGCAGCAGAGAUUGCUAAGAGAUGUGUCAGGACCUCUCAAAACGAAGGAUGGGAGAAGGAAUUGGGAUUAACAGAUUUGGGAUGAAAGAAGAAGAAAGGGGAGAGAGAAGAGGAGAGGAUCAAGGACAUAUGAAUUUGAGAGGGAAAUUUGAAUUCUCUUUUUUCUUGUUAUCCAAUCUACCAAUUGCUUGGAUUUAUACAGCUCAAUUGGUUUGAACCUUUCUGGCACGGAAUUUCCGUGCACUGAGCUUGAUUCUAACUGAAUUCAAUUAUAACGAAUUCUAACAACAUUUGGUCCUACCUAAACUAAUUACGCUAGCGCCCCUGAGACUUAUAUCUGAUUACAAUUGGGUCCCUGGUUCUGAUUUUUAACUAAUUACGCUAGCUCCCCUGAGACUUCCUAUCUGAUUGCAAUUGGGCCCUGGUCCUGACAUUACUCCUCCCUUAAGGGCAGCCUUGACCUCAAGGCUGGAACUCAGGAAAUUGCCUGGUGAUGAAAGAUUGAUCAUUCCACGAUGCCUCUUAUUCUCCUAGCUGAUGCCACUUUAUGAGGUACUGAAUCACAGGAAACACCAUUGCGCAUGAUCACCCUCCUUUGCAAGACCUCUGCAGGCUGUAGCAGGCACUGAUCACAUCCAUCAACUCUGGUAGUGUAGGAGUAGUGGACUGAUGGGGGUCCAACUUAGGCUUUAGAAGUGAUACAUGAAAAACUGGAUGCACCUUAGAGCCUGGUGGAAGCUUGAGUUUAUAUGCGACAGCUCCAAUCUUUUCCACUAUUUGAAAGGGUCCAAAGAAUUUCGCAGCUAGCUUUAGAUUUUUCCUGAGUGCCACCGUCUGUUGUCUAUAAGGUUGCAACUUCAAAAAAACCCAAUCUCCCACCACAAACUGCCUUUCUGUCCUGUGUUUGUCAGCAAAUAUUUCAUCCUAUUUUGAGCCUGAUGCAAGUGCUCUUUGAUCCUGUGAAGCAUUUGGCUCUUGUCUGCAACAUGUCAUGAGCUGCUAGUAUUAGUGUAUCAUGGUAGGGUCCCAAGGGCAGUGGCAAAGGCUUGUAACCAUAGAGAGCCCGAAUGGAGAAACUCCCAAGCUCGUGUGGUAUGCAGUGUUGUACCACAGUUCAGCUAAACUGAGCCAGUGGCUCCACUGAGUUGGACUCUCACUGGUUAUGCGUCUCAAGUAGGUCUCUAGACAUUGAUUCAAUCUCUCACUCUGACCAUCAGUCUCAGGAUGGUAGGAGGAACUAUAGUGUAGUUCAGUUCCAGCCAUCCUGAACAAUUCCUGCCAGAAACCACUAGUGAAUACCUGUCUCUGUCUGUAUGAUGGACUCUGGUAAACCAUAGAGCUUGUAGACAUUAUCUAGGAAGACUUGUGCUACUUGGGCAGCUGUGAAAGGGUGAGAAAGUGGUAUAAAAUGACCAAACUUUGUCAGUCGGUCUACUACUACCAUAAUAGUGUCAAAUCCCCUAGAGGAAGGUAAUUUCUCAAUAAAGUCCAUAGUAAUAUGUGACCAGGCCUGAGUAGGAAUUGGUAGAGGUUGUAGUAGCCCUGGAUAUGGCACUCGUUCACUUUUGUUCCUUUGGCAGACUUCACAUUCUUGUACGAACUGUAUGAUAUCCUUCUUUACUCCUGGCCAAUGGAAUAUGCUGUACACUUUCUGUAGGCAAGUUCUUUGACCAGAAUGUCCCAAUGGGGGACUCAUGUAGAGCUUGAUUAUUUUCUGCCUAACUCCCUUGCUAUUUACCACAUACAGCUCCCCAUUGUAUCUGAGUAUCCCUUGAUUGAGUUGAAAAUCAGAGUCUUGGGGUGUAGGAUCCAGCAGUAGUUGACUCAUCAACUCCUGCACUGUGUAUCUUCAAAGUAGCUAUCUUGUAGCUCUUGCAUCCAUAAGGGUUGAGCACUGGUAAUGGCCAUCAACUGUUGUCGUGCAGGUUGCUGAUCCAACAUGGUCCUCCUAGAUAGAACAUCAGCAACAGUGUUCUCUGAUCCUUUCUUAUACUGGAUUUCAUAAUCCAAUCCUAACAGUUUUGUCAACCACUUGUACUAAGCAGUAGUCGUGAGCCUUUGUUCCAGUAGAAAUUUCAGGGAUUUGUGAUCUGUUCUAAUAAUAAUAAAUGGUUCCAAUCAGAUAGUGCUUCCACUUUGUUACUGCAAAAACUAGUGUCAUCAACUCCUUCUCAUAAACAGACAGCCCCAUGUUCCUGAGGGAGAAGGCCUUGCUAAUGAAGGCUAUUGGGUGACCCUCCUGUAAGAGGACAGCUCCCAUGCCUUGCCCACUUGCAUCAGUCUCUACUACAAAAGGGAUACUAAAAUUGGGCAGUCUUAGCACUGGGGCACUACUUAUGGCCUGUUUGAGGUGGUUGAAGGCUUUGUCAGAAUCAGCAUUCCAGUUGUAAGCAUCCUUCUUCAGUAGAUUAGUCAAUGGCUUGCUGAUGGUUCCAUAGCCUUUUAUGAAACGUCUGUAGUAACCUGUGAGGCCUAGGAAUCCCCUAAGUUCUUUAACAUUCCUGGGAAUAGGCCAUGUCUGGAUGCACUCCACCUUGCUCAUGUCCAUACUCACCCUCUGCUAGACACCACAUGUCCCAGAUACUCCAUCUCUGCUGAGCAAAGGAGCAUUUGGAGAGCUUAGCAUAUAGCUGGUUGUGUUGAAGCACCUUCGGUACUUGCCUGAGAUUCUCCCUGUGGAGAUCUAGAGUAGUACUGUAGACCAGAAUAUCAUCGAAGAAAAUCAGAACAAACUUCCUUAGGAAUGGUUCAAAAAUCUGAUUCAUUAAUGCCUGAAAGGUUGCUGGUGUAUUUGUGAGAGCCCAGAAGGCAUCACCAGGAACUCAUAGUGUCCCUGAUGAGUUUGGAAGGCAAUUUUGUGAGUAUUUGCUACCUUAACUCUCUGAUCUGGUGGUAUCCUGACCUCAGGUCAAUCUUGGAAAAGAACUUGGCUCCAUAAAGUUCAUCCAGAGUUCAUCAAUGUUGGGGAUAGGAUAUCUGUCCUUAAUUGUUUAGUCAUUGAGGUGCCUGUAGUCCACACAAAAAAGCCACGUAUUGUCCUUUUUCUUGACAGCAGCACAGGUGAAGCAUAGGGACUAUUGCUUGGCUUGAUGAUUCCUGAUUUCAGCAUAUCUGCAAUUUGUCUUUCAAUCUCUGCCUUCUGUGAGUGAGGGUACCUGUAUGGUUUCAUUUUGAAGGCUUGUGCUCCUGGCUUGAGAGGAAUCUGAUGAUCCAAGGGUCUGUUGGGGGGCAACUGAGUAGGUUCCUGGAAUACUUCUGGAAAUUGCUCCAAUACUGCGGCUAUUGAUCCUGGAACCACUUUCCUUUCUAUUUCCCUAUCUCCACAUUGUGCUGAGAUAGCACAACAUUUCCUCUUCUCCUGCAGGAAACCCCUGAGAUCCUUCCUUCUAACCAACUCCAUGGUGGCAUCAGUAACUGCCCAUGCAGAGUGACCCCUCUCCUUGAUGAUACAUAGAGAUUUUUAGCUCGUGGAAAUCAAAAGUAAUGGGACUGUAAUUGUGCAUCCAAUCCAUCCCCAAAAUGAGAUCCCAUUCGCCUAACUCCAUAAUUUGAGGUCAAAGCAAAACUUGUAGUUCUGAAUAUUCCAUAGAACCUUGGGGAACUGAGCCCCACUGGUUACCAAGCUCCCAUCCCCAUGGUGACAGUGAAAGGUUUGACAUAUUCAAAGGGAAUGCCCUGUGCAGUCAGCAACUUGUGAUGGAUGUAACUAUCACUGCUGCCUAUAUCCACCAGAAUCUUGACAGGUUUCCCUAAAUAGCUAUCCUUGUAGCAUGAUUGUAUUUCGCCUUAGUGAAUCCGAGAGAGCAUUCAGUGAAAUUUCCACUGGUUCCCCUGGAUUCCCAGUCAGCUCAUCCUGUUCUCCUUGAGCAUCUUGGAAUUCAGUGUCCUCUUCUUCCUCAUACAUCAUGAGAUUCAAAUGCUUCAUCCUACACUGAUGUCCUACCCCAAAUUUCUCCCCACACUUGAAGCACAGGCCAUUAUUCCUUCUGAAUUGCAGUUCCUGGGGAGAUAACCUCUUAAACUUUGGGCUCCUAUCUGAAAUCUUGGAAGCUCCUUUAGGUAUAUUAUCCUGUGGUAGUUUAUAGGUGCUAACUCCCCAUUGGUAGAGGUCGGGUGCCUAUACAUUCCAAAUUUGGGUUCAGCCAUUACCUUGUGGCCAUCUCUAACUGUUUUCCCUUGCAACUUGAGAGCCUGUUCCUGCAGGUGAGCUAUCUCCAUGGCUCCUGAGAGAGUGUUGGGUCUGAGCAUUUUGACCAUUGGCUUAAUCUCCUAAUUGAGUCCGCUUGUGAAACUGGAGAUAAAGUAUUCCUCACUAAGACCUGGAUUCUGGAUCAGCAUUAGUGUUUUCAACUCCUCAAACCUCUCCUAGUAAACUUCUAUUGAACCAACCUGCUGCAGUUUAUUAAAUGCCUCCACAAUAUCUCUGCAACACGUACCUUCGAAUCUUUGGCACAGCAACUCCCCAAAUUCCCCCCAGGUCAGCCUUGGCUUCUCUAAUUUGACCCCUUGGAACCAAUUGUCAGCUCUGCCUUCUAAAAACAUUUCUACUACCAACAGUUUGUGUUCCUCAGGUACCUUAUUCAGCAGAAAAUAUUUAUCGCAUUUCCGGAUCCAUUCUCUAGGAUUGUUCCCACUGAACAUAGGUAACUCAAGUUUUGGAGGAUUAUAGUUAGAAAUCUUACUCAGGAAUUCACAACUCCUUACUUCCUCCUCUGCUCCUAUGCUCAACUUCUGAUGAAUGAGAGGUGUUGGCAGCAAGGGCGGACGAUCUCUCCCAGCUUUGCGCUCCAUCAUCUAAGUUCUUUUCCCUGGUCAUUAGUGCCUUCAUCAUGGAGUUGAGUGCUUCCAGCUUCUGAUCCAUUCCUAGCGCGAUCGUGUCCAUCUUUCUGUCUCUUUCCGCCAUUUCCUCUCUGACUUGCAGCUGCAUAUUCUUCACGUCCUCCAACACUUCCAGCAGCUUGAGCUCCUGCUUCUUGAUAUGAUCCUUUAAGGUUUUGAAACGUGUGUUUUCUGCCAUUGGUGGAUCUUGGAACUGCCGAGGACUCGCUGGCAGCUCUGAUACCAGCUGUCAGGACCUCUUAAACGAAGGAUGGGAGAAGGAAUUGGGAUUAACAGAUUUGGGAUGAAAGAAGAAGAAAGGGGAAAGAGAAGAGGAGAGGAUCAAGGACAUAUGAAUUUGAGAGGGAAAUUUGAAUUCUCUUUUUCUUGUUAUCCAAUCUAUCCAGUUGCUUGGAUUUAUACAGCUCAAUUGGUCCGAACCUUUCUGGAACGGAAUUUCCGUGCACUGAGCUUGAUUCUAACUGAAUUCAGUUAUAACGAAUUCUAACAACAUUUAAUCCCACCUAAACUAAUUACGCUAGAGCCCCUGAGACUUUAUAUCUGAUUACAAUUGGGUCCUUGGUUCUGAUUUUUAACUAAUUACGCUAGCACCCCUGAGACUUCCUAUCUGAUUGCAAUUGGGCCCCUGGUCCUGACAAGAUGCCAUAGCGAAACCAUACGGCUCGCCAUGGUUGCUACAUUAGCUGUUAACUGCCUUGAUUGAUGGAAUUGAUGGUUGAGUCUAGGUUUAUUACACAUAUAGAUAGACAAAAGUGGUUUGGGCAAACAAUAAUAAAAUCAACACAAAUUUUUUACAAGCUAAACAUCAACUAUAGCUACUAGGAAGAUAUUUUCCUUAGUACAAUUAUUUUUCUUAGCUUUUUCUACAUAUUUUCAAGUUAUUUGAAAAUUUUUCCUAGUUCAUCACUGACACCUCACUCCAUUAAAGCACACCACCAUAUGGAGGGAAAAAUGUAAAAGUAAAUGACAUUGAAGGAAUAUAUCUCAAUGUUAUUUUGUAUCCCUUCUUCAUUUGUUUGUUGUACCUAAGUUCUACUUUUUGCCCAUUUAUCUAUCAAACUACAUAAAAUUUACUUGUAGAUUUUUUUUCAACACAAAUGCCACUAUGAUAAAAUGAUUGCCGUGCCUAGUACUUUGAUAGUUUUCUUUUAUGCCUAUGUUUUAUCCUUUUUCAGUUUGGUUGGUUUUUUUUUUGUUUUUUUUUUCUCUAGUUUUUUUGGGUGUAGGCACUUACUUGAUUUAACUUGUCAAAUGCAGUACUUUUAAAUCUAAUUACUUCUUCCCUUUUCAUUCCAGUUUAUAUUUGCAAUUUAUGAUGUAUAUCAAGAAUUUUGCUAUAUUCUUAACUUUGGAAAAAAGCCGUACCUGUAUGUCGAAUAUAUAUAUUUGCUUUUUGUGCCACAGUAUUUUGAUUUAUCUUUUAUUUUUUGGAUGAUAGUAGUGUAUUUUUGUAUUGUAAUGGCUGCAUCUUAGCCCUUAUGGUAGGUUUUGUUACUUAUUUAUAAAGAUUGUAAGAAAUUCGUGCUUCUUCAUGUCUAAAUUUAUAUACAUUUUAUUCAUGUCUGAACUUAUAAUUUCGGUGGGCAAAAAAAAGUUUCAUGCAUGCUUCAAGAUGACUAGAUAUUGUAGCCCUUGCUAUCCAAAUUAUGGGAAUGGAGGCAUUUUGUGCAAAAUUGCCAUUACAAUUAAUAAAAAUGGUAAUCAUUUUUGCAGCAAGUUGAAGACAAGCAUCAAUGCGUAGAACAAAAAUGAUUGUCUGGGUUAAAUUUCAUCCCUUUGUAGAACUUUUAGGAAGCUUACCAUGUAUAUAUUGGAUCUAUCAUUACUGUCAUUACACCAUUUAACUUGUUAUUGUAGAUAGAAAUAGCCAAAAACAACGUUAACUGAACUAAAAAAUAUAGUUUGAGUCGUUUUUAAUAACACUAUCCUAAGAAAUUAUUUUGUGAGGUUGAAAUGUUUCUUCAAGAUUAAACAAAUCUUUUUCUUGUUUAUAACAAGAAGGAUCAGAACUUUAGGUAGCGCGUCUGUUAAAUCCAGCAAAGAGGGAAAGAAGGAAAAGAAGAGAAGUAGAGCAAAAAAACUGGCAGGAAGGUGUCUACUGUCAGCUGUUGGUGUAUCUCUAAAGUGGGAGCACAACUGCUUUUUCUGUGUGACCGAAAAUAUUAAAAGGGAACGUUAUGAAACGUACCAGACCUUCGUAACGAUGAAAUAAAAAGUUUAUCUUCUUAGGAAAGAGUCAAAUUUUGAUUUGUAAAAUAUAAAGUAAAAUUUAUUCUUGGUCACAGUAAAAUUCAUUUGGGCCAUGUUUAACCCACGAGUGAGGGGGGGAAUCCGUCAGUUUGUACUAAAACGGCCCAACUAAACUUUUCUCUCAUACACGUGAACCCACACUAGUUACCAACUUAACACAAACCCAAUAACAGAUUACGCAUUAUAAAUGAUGAGAAGACCAAAUGAAGUUUUUUGAUUUGGGACAAAAUCUUUUGAAAUAUUCCUUUUAUUUACAACAAUCUCCUUCCUAUUUCAAAAGAUUUUGGUCAAAACUAAAGAAAUAGUCUUGUUGGAUUUAUUUUGGGUGAAAUGUAAUCAGUUUGGUGUCUUUCGAACUAUGAACCAAAUUUAGAUUCAAACAUGACCUAUAUAAUUAUUGGUGAAAUAUGAAUUUUUAUGAACCAAUAACUCUUGAUGUAUGACAGAAAUUUUAUCAAUCACACUACAACCCAUAACUUACUGUUAUCGUGAUUUUGCGCUUUUAGGUCGUGCACCUGCUUGGCUAUUCAUGAUAGCUCUAAAGAUUCGGCCAAUAAAUCUUAUAGGAGCGGUCUCACUCCACUCUAUAGGUGAAUUCAUCAAGUGUAUAUUGCUUUAAAUACACCACCUUAAAGGGAUAUGAAUUCAUUAAGAGUUUUAAACUUACCCUCAUAAUUAUUAGCAAUCAAAGCACUUAUCUCCAGAGGGACUUAAAUUUGAAGUGUUUUACGGUCAAUAUUAACUUGUUAUUACCCAUAUGAACGUAUUUCAUGGGAUCACCAAUCACAUAAGUUGGGUUACUGUCUCUAUUGACAACUUGUUGGCCUUAGUCCCAUUUUCCUUGUAGUUUGAAGAAUUAAUUUCCUUCCUACAAGUUUAGUCAGAGGAUCGACCAAAUUCAAUUCUGACUUCACAAAAUUAAUAGAGAUAAUUCCAUCUUUAAACAACUGCUUUACGACAUCAUGUCUUAAUUUUAUAUGUCAACUUUUACAAUUAUAUAAUUUAUUUUUAGCAAUAGCAAUUGUUGUUGACAAUCACAGUGUAUGGACAUAGGAGGCAACAGAUCCUUAGUCGUAGGAAUACUGAUUAAGAAGUUUCUUAACCAAUCAGUCCCAGAACCAGUCAACUCCAGAGCUAUAAAUUGUGAUUCCAUAGUUGAUUUAGUAAUAAUUGUCUGUCUAACUGACUUUCAUGCUACUGUACCACCACGGAGGGUGAAUACAUAACCACUAGUGGAUUUUGUCUCAUUUGAAUUCGAGAUCCAAUUAGUAUCACUGUACCCCUCUAAUACAGUGAAAAAUCCACAAUAUAAGAUACUAUAAUUCAUGGUACUCUCAAAUAUUUCAUUAGUUUGACUAAUGCAAACCAACGAUCACUAUUAGGAUUGUGAAUAUACAUGCUCAGUCGACACACAGCAUAAGCUAUGUUAGAUCUUGUAAAAUUCAUCAAAUACAUCAGGCUCCCAAUAAUUUGAGUAUAUUUAGACUGAGCAACUGGGUCAUCAUUAUUUUUCUUUAAUUAAGUGUUAGCAUCAUAAGGAGUACUUACAGGUGUCACAUCAUAAUUUUCAAACUUCCUAAGAAGUCUUUCUGUAUAAUGUUCUUGUGACAACAUUAUACUAUUAUCUCUCCUUAUAAUUUUAACACCCAAUAUUAGAUGCUAAGAAAUAUUUAGUAGUAUUGAUAUUAUCACUCAAAUCUUUCAUAUCAAACUUAGAGGAUAAGAAAUAUUUAGUACUAUUGAUAAUAUCUAUACUUGUACCAAAUAUGAGCAUGCCAUCCACAUAUAGGUUAAUUAUCACAUAUUGAUUAUUCACAACUUUAGUAUAUACAAAUUUAUCGACUUCUAAAGACGAAAAAUCGUCUUUCAUCAAUACUUGAUCAAAUUUCUCAUUUCACUGUUUAGGAGCUUGUUUUAGACCAUAAAGAGAGUUAAUUAAUUUACACACUUUAUUUUCUUGUCCAGAUUCAACACAUCCUUCAAGUUGAAACAUAUAAAUUUCUUCUUUCAAAUUACUAUUUAAAAAAGCUGUUUUGACAUCCAUUUGAUGAACAACAAAUUUGUGGAUAGAAACUAAGGCAAAUAAGACAUGAAUAGAAUAAAUUCUUGUUAUUGGUGCAAAUGUAUCAAAAUAGUCAAUAUUUUGUUUCUAAAAAAUUCUUUUGCUACUAAACGAGCUUUGUAUUUUUCUAUAAAACCAUCAGAAUUAUAUUUUCUUUUAAAAAUCCAUUUGCAACCAAUAGGUUUUGCAUCAAGAGACAACUCUACCAAAGUCCAUGUUUAAUUUUUCAAAAUAGAAUCAAUUCAGAUUUAAUUACUUCUUUCCAAAAUUUGCAAUCAGAAAAAAAUUGCAUCAGAAUAAGUUAAAGGAUCAUUGUCAACAAGAAAGGUUUGAAAAUCAUUCCCGUAAGAAAAUUCUUUUCUCGGCCUUUUACUCCUCCUCAAUUCCUCAUUAGAGGUUAUUUCUUUAUUUCUUUCAACAGGUGCAUGAGAAAUUUUAUUGGACAGUGGAAAAUAUGUUCAAAAACUCAACAUUUUUUGUUUCAAUAAUUGUAUUACAAUCAAGUACAUCACUUCUUAAAAUAAGAAAUUUAUAUGCAGCACUAUGUUCAGCAUAUCCAAUAAACAUACAAUCAUUAGUUUUAGAACCUAAUUUCUUUUUUUAGACUCAGGUAAUAACACUUUAGUAAGAUACCCCAUACUUUCAAAUAUUUUAAAUUUGAUUUAUAAUUUUUUCAUAAUUCAUAAGGUGUUUUGCCAGUCUUUUUAUGUGAAAUUCUAUUUUGUAGAUGACAUGCAGAUAAUAUAGCUUCUUCCCAUAAAUUAUUUGGAGCAUGAGAAUUAACUAACACAGAGUUCAUCAUUUUUUUAGUGUCCUAUUUUUUCUUUUAGCUACUCCAUUAGAUUCUAGUGAGUAAGGAGGUGUUGAUUCAUGUAUUAUGCCUUCAUGUUCACAAAACUUAUCUAAAGUUAAAUAUUCAUCUCCUCUAUCUGAUCUAAUUCUUUUGAUCUUCUUAUUAAGUUGAUUUUUUACCUCAGACUUAUAAGAUAAAAAGACAUUAUAAGUAUCAUCUUUAUUUCUAAAUAAAUAAAAUUUAGUAUAUCUAGAAUAAUCAUCUAUAAAAGUAACAUAAUAUCUUUUUCCUCCUCUAUUCAUAGUUUAUUUUAAAUCACCUAAAUCUAUGUGAAUUAGAUUUAAUAAUUCAGUUUCUCUUUGAACAGUUAUACAACUUUUCUUGUUUAUUUUAGUUUCUGCACAUAUUUCACAUUUUUUCAUGUCAUUAUUAUUAACACUAGAAAGUAAUCCAAGUGAUUGCAUUUUCUUUAUGUAGCUAGCAUUAACAUGUCCUAAUCUAGCAUGACAUAAAGAAAUUGAAUCAAUAAUAUAAGCAUAAGAAGAUGCAUUUUUAUUGAUUACAUUUUGAACUCGUUGAGUACAAAUAGUCCCUGAUUACAGUAGUGAUAAGUUAUAUUUUUAUCAUUAAUUUUAUGAUUGUUUCCUCGUUUAUAUUACCAAAUAUUACAUUAAUUGAUUGAUUCUACUUAUAUUUGGUAUUUUGUGUCAAUUGUAGGAAGGCGGAGCAAAAAGCAAUAAAAGAGGUUAUUUUUCAAGACUUUCCCAAUUCAAAAUGGAGUCUACGUGGAUUAUUGGCAGAAGAUUAGGAGGAAGUCUAUUUUGUUUCAAAAAGUUAAAAAUUAGGAAAAGAAUAGAAUGGCUAGACCCGUGUGAUUAAUACUAGAAGGAGUCAACAAAUUAUCAAGACUUGGGACUUGGUUUCGUUUGACUAGUAGUAGUUUCCUUAAACAAUUCCUUAGUUUUCGAAAUUAGUGGCGGCGGACUAGUAGUUAAGAGGUCACUUAGGUUUUCCUUUCUUCUAGAGGGAAGAACUGUGACUCCUGGUUGAGGACGGCCGCUUGGCCCCUCAAUUCGCCUUGCUUUCAUUAGUUUUAGAGGAAUAAUCAAUUGUAGCAAAAUUCCAUGGAGUCUAGGAGAAUUUCUUCUAGGAUGAGCCAUUAAUCUUCUUUUCUAGUCGAAGGUCAAUUUGAGAACUCGGUCUUAAACAUCUGUGAGAUCGAAUUAUUUUACUUUUUUUUAUUCAUUGGUAUUUGUACGUUUUCUAAUUUAACUUCUUAUGCUUGUUAUGUUAUUUGAAUGUCAAGGGUCCGAUAUUCGAAUUAACCUAAUAAUCUACUGCCAGAUUAAUUAAUUGAAUCUGUAAUUGUUCAAUUGAUUAAUACCAGUGGCGACUAGCAUGAUUGAUUUCAUGUUAGGGAAACGUAUGAUCUAAAUUAAACAAACCCUCGUAGUGUAUUUGUUAGUUAGGGGCUUUUCUAAAUUCUUAAUGCAAUCGAGAAAUUAAAUCCUACAGUCGUACCUAGUGUUAUUUCUUGGUUAGAGAAAUAGUUAACGAUCGUACCUUGACUAUCGAAAAAGUAAGAAAAUGUUGGUUGUUUAUCGCGUGUAUGACAACUAUAACCAAUCUAUUAAUGAGUAAUUUAAUUAUCUUUACAUCGAUGAUCAGUUGAAUAAACCGUGUCUGAAAAGUUGCACCUUUGAUUAGAGUCGUAUUGGUUAUUGAUUAAUUCCUGUUUAUUUCUAUUAGUUGUUUCAUUAGUUAGUUAAUUAGUCAUUUUAUAUUCUCCAAAAAGCCCCCAUACUUCGCAUUUUGGAAGAAAUGAAUUAUCCCCAAUUCAUGUGGAUUCGACCCUGUUUGCCACUGUCUACAAGUUAAUAAUUUUUUGUCAGCUAAUCAAUUCUGGUAUAUCGGAUUAAACAGACUCUUCGGAAUCAGGGUAAAUCAAGUAACCCAUUGCACAUCCAAAAUCCCUACUCCAGUACCUGGAAUUGAUUGUUGACUACUUUUGGUGGUAGUUAGGUUUUUAUUAUUGCACAGGCCUCGAUACCUGUCAAGUAGCUCUUGCCCACAAAUACAUUAUUUUUUGUCAUUACAAUCUUAUCAGAUUCAAGUGACACUUUUACCCCAACUUUUCCUAACAAUGCUAAAGAAACCAAAUUUGCUCAAAUAUUCGGCACAUGCAGAUUCCCACUUGUACCUUUGAAUUUUCUUACAGGCCACAAUGAUGAAAAAUAGAUAUUGCACUGAUGAAACUAGAGAAAAUGUCAAGAAUUCAGGUAAAUGGAAGUGAGAACAAGGAGGAGAUGCGAAAAGUGGCUCGGACUAGGCAAUCAAUCUAACUGAUCAAUUCAGAAAAAAUUUUAUAUUUUUAUGAGAAUGCACUUAGGCGUUAUGAAUAUGGUCAAAUUUAUUAUCCUUCGCAAUCAACUUAUUGCACUAAAUGAUAAUUCCGGAAGAAUAGAAGGUCACAGUUAAUAUUGUGAAGAUUUAACUUUUAUGGUACCAUUGAAGCACCACAAACAAUCCCCCUUCCUUUUGGGUAAUUGGGUGAUCUUGUUGAUAAAAUGAAGUAAACCAAAGAAAGUAGUUGGUCUAGUGGAAGAAAAUUCAUCCAUCUAAUCCAGGAUGUCAGUCAAAUAUAAGCAAGGGCUAGUAAGUAUAAUUUGAUCGGCCAGACCAAAAGAGUGUUCUUACACUUUUUAUGAAUUUUUUUUACUAUAAACAGCAUUCGAAUCUCAGUCUACAGUCCAAAGAGAGAUUUAGUCUCUUUUUAACGGUCACUCUGAACCAAAGCACAAUAGUUUCGGUCAAAUUUCAUUUGGGUCUCACUAUUUUAGACCCUGUUAGCCCCAAUCGCCAAUAGAGUAAGGGGAUAAUCUUAGCCUUAGCUAAUAGCUACAUUCCAAUUUCUGUAGUCCUAGUGGAUAAGAAUACCAUACAAAAUCUAGCAUCCAAAAUCCAAAGGUACAAAAAGAAACCACAUCCACUUAUUAGUUCCAAGCUAAACUUCCAAAGCCAUCCAUGGCCACUAUCAGCUCUCCUUCAGCCAUCCUCUCAUCCUCCUCUAACACCACCCCAUCCUCUCCAAAACCACCAUCCAAAUCCCAACUCACAAUUCCACCUCCAAAAACAGCCUUAACUAACUUAACCACAACUUUGACUGCCACAGCUCUAGCCACAACAAUUCUAACCACCUCAACACCACCUUCACUAGCUGCAGUCUCACCCUCAAAUUACUUCAUAUACUAUGGCACAGCUGCUAGUGCAGCCAAUUACGGGGGUUAUGGCGGCAACUCGGACAAGAAAGCAUCAGCAGAGUACAUUUACGACGUCCCGGAUGGAUGGAAGGAGAGGCUAGUAUCCAAGGUUGAGAAGGGAACAAAUGGCACAGACAGCGAAUUCUACAAUCCCAAAAAGAAGCAGGAGAAGGAAUAUUUGACUUAUCUUGCCGGUUUUCGGCAACUGGCACCAAAAGAUGCUGUGCUGAACAACUUGGCUUUGUCAGAUGUUAGUCUGCAAGACCUUAUUGCUAGUGCAGAUAGUGUUACAUCAACUGAGAGGCAGGAUGCGAAUGGACAAGUGUAUUACGAUUAUGAAAUUGAGGGAAUUGGGGCUCAUAGCUUGAUAUCAGUAACCUGUGCAAACAACAAGUUAUAUGCUCACUUUGUCAAUGCACCAGCACCAGAAUGGAAUAGGGACCAAGAUGCUUUAAGGCACCUUCACCAGUCAUUUAAGACAGUUGGAUAGAAAUAGUACAUCAGUGUGUCUUGCUAUUUGCAUAAUUUUGUCCAUGAGGAAAAGAAAGCUAGUUGAAGAAGUAAUAAAAGGUUUCUUGUGAAUGUUUUUUGAUGACUGAUUAUAUGUUUCUGUUUUGCUUCUGUUGGAUGGGUUGUUUUCCAUAUGAAGGUGUAACUAAAAUGGUUUCUUUGAGAGGAAAAUUGUGUUUCUGGAAUAGGGGUUUUACAUUUCUUCACUAAUUUACCACUAAGACAACACCAUAGUUGAUUGUAGAGAGUGAUGUUCAAUUUUGUAUUACAAUGCUCAGUUAGAGCCUAUAUAGCUCAUAAACUGCUAUAGAAGUCAAUGUCUUCCAGAUGUUUCUCAUUACGUUACAUGAUUUUCAUCAAGUAACUUGAAGACAAUCUAUGCUGUCCAGCCUCUGUUAGGAAAGAGCAACUCAUCCUUUCAACAAUCUUGUGCAAAAUUUUUCCCCACCAUAAAAGACCAGAAUUUUCUCCUUUUCCUCCAUUUUUGGUUUGAGGCAGGUGGACUGUCGAUGAGAGGGAGUGAUAGUUAGAUGUACAUGAUAUCAGAAUUACUCAACACUGUCAAGUUUGUUAAGAUCAGUUAGCAAAAUUGUAAUUCAAGAAAGGGCUGUUUAUACUUCUUUGCUUGCCCUUUAGCAGAUAACUGAAAAGCCCAAAACCAAUGACUGGAUUCUUAAAUCUGAGCCAAGAAAAAUAAAGACGACCGAAUCAUUCUGUAAAAAAUUUCAAACUUCAACCCCUGCACAUUAGAUCCAGCAAUGGCAAAGAAUGAUUCAUGCCUCGUUCAGUUUGGUCUAAACAGAAAACUAAUAUUAAUAUACAUAAUCUACCUGAAAGCUUUCCUUUUCCAAUAUAUGAAACUCUUCAACUCAUCCGCCUAUGAACUCGUAAGUUAAGAUAAUCAGAAACGGAAAGAUCUCUAAACUACAAAAGAAUAAUACAAAACAAUUCUAAACUUCCAAGAAUUCAUACUUCUGAAAUCACUUUUUCAAAAAGAUGUCGGUCGGAGACUUCAUUUAUGGUUCUAGAAACAAAAAAGGUUUCAUGAAUGGACUGAGUUUAGCUGAAAAGGGAUCAGUCUUCGAAAUUGUAAGAUGAAUGAAGUUUUCAUUGGAAAUGCAUCCUUUCAUAUAUAAGCAACCAUGUUCCUUCUUUACAAUAUGAACCAUAACACUCGUUACCAACUCAUUGAUCAAUAGUCAUUGUUUCGGCAGGUAAUUGAUUAGUGGAUUGCAGGCUUUACAAAUGCAAAAGGAUAUACACAUAACCAAAGUUCCGUUAGUAUAAAGUGAAGCCAUCAUCAUAGGAUACAUGCCAUCCUUGCCUGCAAGGUGGGGCAUUCUCAUCAUACUCGGCACAACAGCUCCAUCGCUUUUUCCAGUUGGAUAUCCCUGUAUUUGGUCUAUUAUCCUUCUCAUUCCAUCUGUACACAAUUACACCAGAUUUAUCGCUCCACUCUCCAUCAAUACCUUGGUGUGGUGGGGCAAAUGCAAAUAAUCCUCUCUCUCCUGCAUAUUUAAAUAGUCAGAAUUCAGUAAAGAGAUGUACUUUUGUUAUUAAACCAUAUGUUGCAAUAUCUGAUAGAAUAUUUCUGAGCUUUUAAACCAUAAAUAUGACAAAUUGAUGGACAGGAAGGCAAAAAAAGGAUCUAGAUAAUAAUGCUAUCUGAUUUUAGUUGCUGCAAAGCUUAUGAUACACUCAGUCUACCCACCUGGGAAUUAUUUCUUCAUUAGUUUCAGUUACAGACAUAUGGAUUCUCAUGUGGUUUGGAUUACACGUUACAAAUGGGCACGUACAUUAACAUACACCAUCACAUACAUUCCUUGGUAUUUCACCAUUACUACAAUUCUGCAACUCCUUUCAGAAAUCCAACCUCUUUAUAACAUAUAUAAUAUUGGUAAAGUCGUAGCAUCCAUCCUAAACCGUGUCAAAAGGUCAUAUGAAUGCUUAACUACCUUGUUACUUAUAAUGUAGUUAUAGAAGAACUCUAUAUCAAUAUUAUAGCAUCUUAAUGAAGCAGCCCUAAUCUCCACUUGAUGAUAAUUUCUUUUCUCUUGCAUCGCCAAAUUACAAAAAUGCUUUUCGGCUAUACUGGUUAUCCUCAGGACAAAUGAAAAUUUGUUCUUUCUGGAGUCUGAAGGUGCACCUAAUACUGUAGCUUUUGAUUUUCCAAGACUGCAAACAAGAAAUGAGAUAAACAUGAGCACUAUAGUAGAAUUCCAUGAAUAUGAGUUGAAUGUGAAUACACAAUCACAGGUUUAAAGUUACUUAGGUAUUUUAUACAUUACAACAUGGACCACAAACGCGAGCGCGCGCGCACAACACAGAGAGAGAGAGAGCAGUGAAAUGUUGAUGGUACUACAGAUGUUUAAGGAAAUUGCAUUUGCUAAACUAGGGACUGCUUGCUUUUUUCAUCAGCAUAGAGACAGAGAGCUCCAAACUACUUCAAAAUAACCAGAGACAUAAAAUUUAAUGGGAAUGCUGAUGGUAAAUGAGGUACUUUCACCCACACCUCAGAAGUACCUAAUGUGCUUUUUGUUACUUUUAACAGCUAUUAACAUCCUUAUUUGGUUGAAUGUAAACUACUUGGGAAAAAUUUGCUACAGUCCUCUAUUUUCUUGGCCAUGCAAUAUGCAUCUGCAACAACAAAGCCAAAUUGCCAGGGAAAAGUGUAGAACUCACUGUGAUGUUGCUAAUUUCCUAUGCAUUCAGGAACCAGCAUCAACCUCAGUGUGGUAAUGACAAAAGUAUGGCUAAAGUUUUUAAACAAUGUAUAAGUUCACUAAUAGCUAACAUCAUCCUAAACUAAGCGAAGUUUUUGAGAUACUGGUAUCAUCAUCUAUACAAAAUCGCUUCUCUGAACAUCUAAUGUGACAAGAAUUGCUAUGAGGAAUCUUAUAUCUAAAUAUCAAAGAAGCAAAUGACUACUAUGGUCCUGUGGAUGAUCAGGAGUGAAGCCAGAUAAGCAAUACUUCCUAUUCCCUAAAUUUACUUCCCUAGCUCUGACUAAUGCCUGAAACACGUCUCUUGUUCACCACCAGGACUACCAAAAAAUAAUCAAAUUCAAUCCAUGAAGAUCAUAUGAUCUAUUAGUUUCAGGCAUAAAUGUAUUCCUUGGUACUUCAAAGUUCAAUCAAAUACAGUGGCAUGACAUUUUAUGAUGCUGUAGCACUUUCUUCUAAGCAGAAUGCACAAUCACUUUCAAAAUUCCAGGACUAAUAGGCUAAAUCUUGUUCGAAUAGCUUUCUGCUCAUGUUAUUUAUGGAUGUAUUGUCUUAUCUUACUAACUAUUAAGAUAAACCAAGUUCAGGCAUUUCAGUCGAGUGAUAGGGACACUGGACCGAAAUGAGUUGAAUGUAACUGUAUUAUCAUAAGUUUGAAGUUACUUAAGCAUUUUGUGGAUUAGCGAGAGAGAGAGAGAGAGAGCAGUGAAAUGUCGAACAUGUUCCAGAUGUUUAGGAAAGUGCUUUUCUGCACAGCUUAGAAACAGAGAGCUCAAAGUAAGCGGCGCAUGAAGCAGAACAAUAGUCUGCCUCUCGGAUGAUGUACAAAUACUUCAAAGGAACCCAAGAGGCAAGAACAUAAAGGGAAUGCUAGUGGUAAAUGAGUUACUUUCAUCCUCCCCUCAGCAGUAUCUAAUAUGGUAUUUAUUUAAAACAACUAUUAACAUCCUUACUUUCUUGAAUACAAACAAUUUGCACAGAUAUGGCUACAGUUCUCUAUUUUCUUGGUCAUGAACAAUGCAUCUGUAAACAAUGAAGAGAAAUUGCAGGAAUAAGUAUAGAAUUCAUCAUGAUGUUGCUAUUCUCCAAUACAUUCGCAAAUCACCAUGAACCUCAGUCUAACAAAGUACGAAGUAUGGCAACAUUUUUUUGAACAAUGAAUUAGUCCACUAAUAGCAAAAAUCAUUGUAGAAUGAGUGAAGUAUUUUGAGGUACUGGUGUUAUCAUCUACAUAAAAUCACUUCUCUGAAUGUCUCGUGUCACAAAAAUUACUAUAAGAAAAUUUUUGUCCAAAUAUCAAAAAAAUAAAUGACUAUAAUAGUCCUGUGGAUGAUCAGGAUUGAAGCUAGGUAGGCAAUAUUUCCUAUUCCUUAGAUUUACCUCCCUCCCUGUGACUAAUGCCUGAAACACAUUUUUUUUGCGCCACAAGGACUACACAAGAUAAUUAAAUUCGAUCCAUGAAGAUGAUAUGAUCUAUUAGUUUCUCACACAUACAUAUAUAUUCCUGGUAACUGCAAAUUCCAAUUAAAUACAAUGGCAUAACAUAUUAUGAUGCUGUAGGAUUUUCUUCUAAGCAGAAUGCAUAAUCACUUUCAAAAUUCCAGGACUAAUAAGCUAAAUUUUGUUCCACUAGCUUUAUGCUCAGGUUAUUUAUGGCUGUAUUGUCUUGUCUUACUAACUAUAACGCUGUCCCGGUUCAGCCAUUUCAGUUGAGUGCUAGGGACAUUGAACUGAAAACCAGAGGUAUCAGUUUGUAUCUCCUCCCCUCAAUCAUAUCAAUAGAAGAGAAAAAGUAUACUAUAUGAAAACCACUAUAAAAGCCUAAACUCCAUUCAUGUCAAUCCUUACUUCGUCAUGAUACUUUUCCCUCGAAAAACGAAUAUCCAUUUCACAUACUCUACAAUUCAAUAAUAGUGUCUCCGAAUCAUCUUUGACUAUUACACCUCAGGUGUUACACUCUCUAUUACACCAUUACCAUGUAUAAGGAUGACCGUUUCACUAUAUAGGGUGACAGUGACACGUCUUUCAUUAUAGAUGAAGGAAAUGAGUCCCUUGGGGAGUAUAAUUAUCAAAAUCCCAUCACCAAUUACUUCAAACAGAAGCAGAAGAAAGGCAUUUCAAAAUAAUACUUGUGAUUUUUCCACCAAAAAAAAUCAAUAAUGAUAUUUUCUUUCCUGGUUUUAGUUUCUUUAUUCUUCUCCUUGUUCCACAUGAUAUUCUGUACAAAAUAUAAUGAACGCAUACCACUAGUGUGGCCAUGGAAAGAGCAAGCAGUUGGAGAGUUAUCUUUAUCUUGAUAAAUAGUGUUGCACCUCAGGCAUCUCUUCCUCUCCUUUGCACAGAUUACUUUCUGUAGCUUCUGAGGUUGUCUAUGGCUGAUAUAUGAACCUGAGGAUGUUCUCAUUUUCUGAAUUCUUGAUGGGUUCCAGGGGAAACUUUGAGGAAGAUUAUACACCAAAGCCAUAUGGGAUUCUGUCCAAAUGAGAGUCGAGUUUUUUCUUCAGUUCAUCACAGCUCGACAGCUUCAAUCAAUGGCGAAGAUGCAGAGAUGGGUAGGAAGAAAGAACAGAUGUUUACACUGUGGCCCCUAUGAUUUUUCGCUGCUUCAAAUUAGCCCUGCAAAACGAUUCUCAUUCCUUCAUUUUGGACCUUUUGGUCAUUGACUCGUUGAUUUUUUAAUUCUCUCUCUUUUUUUUUCCAAUUAUCUUUUUUGUAAGUUUAGGUGUGGGCCUGUGGCCAUAACUCCAGAGUCCAAUCUGGAAGGCCGACAAUGAAACAAAGCUUAUUUUGUUUUUCAUUUCGGUUGGUGGGUUCUUGGACAACCAUUGAUAAGUGGAUCCUAUAGUUGUUUGAAUAUUUUGGGCUUCUCUUUUAUUAGUAUCUAGUAGCAGUUAGACUAUAGUCCUCAUUGAGCAGGUAAAACCCAACUAUUUGAUGCCCUGGGUAGGGGUGUCAACAGGUCGGGUUUGGAUCUGGAUCUGACCUGAAUUCGAUAAAUUUUUCUGAGUUUGAGUUGAAAAAUAAUUCCGAUACUCGGACCCAGACUUGUACUCAUUUACUUUAACAAAACGGAUCAGAUACGGAAUAUAGGAUUCCGAUUCGGACUCGAACAAUAUAUUAAUAAUUAUAAAAUAUAAAUAUUUCUAAAUACAUUCUUUUACCAAAUUAACAAUUUAGUAAUGACUUUGUAGAUUGAUUUGUGGUUAGCUUUGGAUUGACUAUUGCGAAUUAUUUGUGAUUUAACUUUGUAAUUUGAUUUGUUUAAGUUUGGAGAUUGAAUUUAUGGUCGAUUUUGGAUUUAAUUUUGGAAUGUUUAAAUCUGAAUUUUUUCUUUCUGGGUAGAUUAGGAUCCAACUCGGGACCCGUUGGAUCUGAUGACCCGUCGAGUAUAUGGGUCGAGUCUGGAUCUACUAUACAAAAACAGAUUUGGGUUCGGAAUUUUCAAUUCUGACUCAAACCCCACUUGUUGACACCCCUAACCCUAGGUUUGGUUAAUAUGCAAUUAGUAAUUGGCCUUAAAAAAGUGGUAGUAAGAUUUUCUAGGACACCGUUACUACACGUAAAUGACCCACAACUUAUCAUGUUAGCGUGCGUGCUCAUAAAUGUACCUCUAUAUGUUAAUACUUUUUUCAAAUUAUUUUAUUUUUCCCAAAAAAAUUAACGUAUGAAUGCCCGUAGAUCAGCCAAACCCAAAAAUAGUGAACACGAAUAAUAAUUGAGUAAAUAUUAUAUGCACUGAUAGUAUGUACACUAUUACGAUUAGAUAUACGACACAUAUGUAAAAUUUGAAUUUUAAAUUUAAAUUCGAAUUAUGUGUUAUGUAUCCAAUAGUGAAAAUAUAUACGCUGUCAAUCAGUGUAUAAAAGAUUAAAUAGUUCAAACAGAGUAUUGGCUUAAACAUACAAUUGAACAGCAUAAUUAAGGGUGAUUGAACUUCUUAAAUCAUCGUCAUCUUUCAAAAUUUGGAGGCUCCUGCAUUACGAAUACUACCUUCCUUUGUAUUCACUUUUUACCAGAAUUACGUUGCCAGUAAUAUUCAUCAGCUGGGAAACCAUUAAGGACAUCAGCCAUCAUGCUUUGUAGUUCUAUUGAAAACAUCAAAUGAUGUGUCCUUUGUUUUCCAAUAAAAGUGACAAAAAAAAAUAGUGUCAAUCUUAAAAAAAAUCUGGAUGACUAUGACAACAUAAACAUGAUGUUUUGGAUCAAAUAAAUCCCAGAAUGAUGCAUGUGCUAGGACAAAGCACAAUAAUGUAACAAGCAAGAGAAGAAUACUUUUAGCUUUUGUAUGGUGCAUUUUGGUAAUAUGCUCUUGUGAGUUACUAGUCUCCACAUACAUAUAGAGCUACAUAGAGGAAUUAAAUUUGGUUCUUGGGAUAAAGUUAACGAAUAUGGAAGUUUGUAUUGAUAAUGCAAAUUACCCUGUGACUCAUGUCAAUACUAUCUAACACAAAUGAAAUGAAGCAAUUAAGUAAAGAUUAAACUGUUUGGUUAACAAGUGCAUGUCUAUUAGAUAUUCGAAAAGGCGAGGUUCAGGUGUUAAAUUUUUUCUUUUUUUUUUUUUGUAUAAAUUAUGAUUUUAUUGAACUAAAAUAAGGGAACAUUAUACAAUUUUUAACUCAUGCUUCUCCUACGAAAAUUAGGGCAACCUAACCGCUCCAUUUGGAUCUCGCCCCCGGACCAUAGCAAGCAAUUUUUUUUGCAAAAGUGUAAUUAAUUCGGGAAAGUGUAUUUAUAUGAUAAUGUUUUAAUGAAUAUCUAUUGUACACCCGUUAAAACCAAGAUUAAAUUAAGUGACUCAAUUAAAGUUUGAGCCACAGUGUCACCCUGUGGUAAUCAUUUAUUUUCCUUUAAUAAUGGAAAGACUUCACCACGUUUACGUGUCAAGUAAUUAAUGAGAUAACUAUAUAUUGCUUCUCAAAAUAUUUGUAUUACAAUGAAGAUCCUAUUCAGAUGGAAGUUGUAAAAUGCAUAAAAUGCCGACGAGUUGAUAUUUGGAAAUAACACAAGAGAAUUAGGCCACACUACUAUACAUACAUCAAUAUUUAAAGCAUGUAAAAUUACGUAGUGAUAAUAUUCAAAGUAGACCGAUUAAAUAAAUUUGCCUCAAGGUAGCUUAUUAUACUAAAUCACACAUCGUCUGCCUAACGAGUGUCAAAUUACAAGUCAGGUAUUAAUAUUUUGAAAAUGUAAAGUUAAAUAGAGAAAGGUUAUAUAUACAAGGCAAGAUAAUAAACAUUAGUGUGUGAAUUUACAUGAUAGUUUAAAUAUGAUUUAUGUGUCUUAACAAGUAUUCAUUAGACGCUUGUUAGGAAAAUCCGAUUAACAACCCAGUAUAGAUUUUUGCUCAUCAUUAUACAAUUACAACCUGUAGCCUGCAGGAGUACACCUCAAACUUUUAAGUUCUCCAUUAUAGACACUAAUCAAUAAAAAUUUGAAAAAGUUUAGGGUAAACCUUACUUAAGGGAUGGGAGAUUUUCUGUAAACCUUGGUGGAUGGGCAUGGCAGGGAAUGCUGCAGCAGCAAAGCUAAUCAUAUAUGCUUUGCAGCCAGCCUGGGAUUUGGGCUUCAGGAAAGCAGUUUUAGAUAAAAAUAAGCAAGUAGGAUUUUCAGUGAUAGAGAAAGCAAAUUUCCCAUAAAAGUCCACAGCAUCAUAGUUGUAAUUAGGCUAGUAAAGAAUAGUUAACUAAACCAUACGAAUGCAAAUUAGGGCAUAUAUGAAGAGAAGGAAAUGCAUGCAGAAUGAUCAAGUGGGAAAGAUGAGUGUAAUUAUAUGAUUAACUAGGCUCAAAGAACCCCUAACUUCCCUGCCCCCCACCACCAAGUUUCAUGCAACUAAUUAAUAGGAGUUAGUGUUAUUAUGUCACUAACUAUGUCAAUAGGUAGGAUUUAAGUUGAUCUACUAGAUUCAAAUCUACAGAAGUAUCGUUUCAAAUUCAAAUUAAGACCUAUAUCUCGACAUAAAUGGGUUUGGAUACUGAAUAAGUAUGGAUGACUUAAAAUUUAUGCACAAUCAAUGAAGAAUAGUAAAAAUGAAUUUCAAAUGUAUGAUAAACAUAAUUCAAUUACCAUUUUUAAAUGUUAAAAUCACCAUUCCUACAAAAUGUUACAUGUAAGAAUGAGAAUUAAAAUUAUAGAGUUAUAUCAAUGAAUUGUAUUUCGCUAAAAAAUUUUCUACAACAUCCAAUACUAAGGGUGUGUUUGAUAAAACUAAAAUCUGAAAUCUGAAGUCUGAAUUUAUUAAGUUAUUGAAUUGUUAAGUAUUAAAUCUAAUACAUUUGAAUGUAUAUCACAUUUAGUGAUAAGUGAAUAGCUUAUCACUUAAUUUUGGGAGUAAGUUUUGUCUAGGAAAUUCAGUGCCACUUAGUUAAUUCAGAUGUUUAAUUUUUUAUUAUCAAAUAAUCUGAAUAUGUUAAUAUCCGAAUUUAUUAAAUUUAAGUGAUGAACUGAAUUAUCAAACCCGGCCUAUAGCCUGUGUGUAUUUAAAAAUUCCUCCACUUUUUCUCGUUUUGCUUUAAGAGUAUGUCAUUAUGUAAUUUGAAUCUUGCUUAUGAAAUUUAAUCAUUGAAAGUCAUUUUACUAAAAAUAAAAGUACUAAUAGUUGCGAACUAUGCAGAAAAAAUAUUUUUUAGGUAAAAAGAAUAUUAUUUGACACAAUUACACUAGAUUACUGGUUAAGAAUUGAAGUCUGCUUGUGGACCAUAGAUUCCUUUGAUUGACCUUUUCUUGUCCAGGAACAUUAAGUUCAUUCUUAACCUUCCCAAAACAACAGAAAAAUGGUCCUAGUUUUCUCCACAGAACCCGAAUCAAAAGAAAGCGGGAAGAAUACAUGGUUUACAAGGCAAUCAACCACAUCAACAUUAGCCAUUUUCAUCGGCAGGACAUCCAUUGGCUGGUGAGGGUGGUCCAUUACACACACUUUUAAGCAUUUAUUAAAAGGGUUGAAAAACACUUUUAAGCAUCCAUCAAAAGGGUUGAAAAAUUUUACAAACCAAAACCAAAUUCUUUACUAUUGACAUAGAUACUACAUUCUAUCCACCCAAAAACAACACCAAUCAAUCCCUCUAAUAGAACAUCCCACACAAAACAAUAAGAGAAGAAAAGGAAGGAAAAACGCUUCUAACCACGUUAAGGCAAGAAUAAAAAGGAAAAGAAAAUAAACCAAGGAUCCCCAUUAACUUCCAACAAUUCCAAUUAAUGUCAAGCUGGAGAUUCCCUUUCUUGAUCGAUAUCAGAUGCUGAAUCAUCCUCUUCUUCAGAAACAUGAAUGCCUAAUGCUCCAUGACCACGACCAAAUGCUCUUAUAUGAUCCUUGAGAGAUCUUUUAUGCUUAAAAUCAGAACCACAAAUGCAAUACCAAAUUUUCCCACAAUUCUUCUCAUGAGUUCUCCAAUCACCCUUCACUGCAAAAGGCUUACCACAUUUUCGACACAUGAAAGGCUUAAUCCCAUGCUUUCUCUUAUAAUGUGUUUGAAGGGUUCUGAAAUCUUUCAGCGGUCUGGUUCUUGGAUGAUCAAUAUUGUGCUUGCACCCUGGUGCACAACAAUAGCAAGGAAGCUUCAACAUUGCUGUUGGUUGAGUUCCCCUCAAUGAUUCUGGCCCUUUCCUGUAUUGAGAUCCAUGUCCCCACAUAUGCAUCUGCAAUUUUUUUUAAUUCAAAAUUUAAUUUAAACAAAAAAAAGUACUAACCAGGAUAACUAGCUAUUUUAUUUCACAAAAAAGAUAAUUUGGAAGGUCAGAAAUUUAUAAUUUGUAUUAUUAUUUCAAUAAAGAAUGAGGAUUCUACGAUCAUGAAAACGAUUUUGAACUAAUAUGCAUGAUUUAAGGUCUCUUUGUGAUUUCAAUUAUUCUUGUUCUCUGUACAUUGACUCUUCAAGGCUAGGAGCUACUAUGGUAUGCUGGAGCUAUUGCUACAAUUUAUUUAGUCAAAAUUAUAUAAUCUCAUACUAUAAGUACCUAAAUGGUAAUUGUUGACUCUUAACAAAAUUCAUGGAGUGGAUAAGGAAAAUCAUGGAGUGGUUAAAAGCCGUUGGCGAGCCUUUGGCAAUAGUCUUGGUGUUUCUCCUCCCACUUUUCCCUCUAUUCCACAUCGAUUGUAAGUGGUGUGUGUGUGUACUACUUAAGGUGCUCAGUGUAGCCUGAAAGUCAGCAUGCCUUUUGGGUUGGGCUGUGGGUUUCCCUUAGGUAAUGUGUGUGUGUGUGUUUGUUAUUUCUCCCCUUAGGUAGUGUGUGUGUGUGUGUUUGUUAUUUCUCCCCCUUUCCCUCUAUCCCACAUCGAUUGUGAGUGGUGUGUGUGUGUACUACUUAAGGUGCUCAGUGUAACCUAAAAGUCAGCAUGCCUUUUGGGUUGGGUUGUGGGUUUCCCUUAGGUAGUGUGUGUGUGUGUGUGUUAUUUAUGGUUGUUGGUGGAUAAGGAAAAUCAUGGAGUGGUUAAAAGCCGUUAGUAAUCCUUUGGCAAUAGUCUUGGUGUUUCCUCUCCCCCUUUCCCUCUAUUCCACAUCGAUUGUGAGUGGUGUGUGUGUACUACUUAAGGUGCUCAGUGUAGUCUGAAAGUCAGCAUGCCUUUUGGGUUGGGCUGUUGUUGGUGGAUAAGGAAAAUCAUAGAGUGGUUAAAAGCCGUUGGUGAGCCUUUGGCAAUAGUCUUGGUGUUUCUCCUCCCCCUUUCUCUCUAUCCCACGUCGAUUGUGAGUGGUGUGUGUGUACUACUUAAGAUUCUCAGUGUAACCUGAAUGUCAGCAUGUCUUUUGGGUUGGAUUGUGGGUUUCCCUUAAGUAGUGUGUGUGUUAUUUAUGGUUGUUGGUGACUCUUAACAAAAUUCAUAAAUUUUGGGAAACUUCAUAACUUUAUUAAAAUUUCAAGACAGAAAAUAUCAUUUCUGAAUGUAUGAAAUUAUUCUUUUUUUUUAUCUAAAGGGACAACUGAAAUCUUGGGGUGGCUGCCUUCCUUUCUCUUCCACUCUUGCAUCAACUCAUUUAUGCUGCAGAUUGCAGAUUGUGUACUAGACAAGAAUUUAAUGCACAAUUAGAAUUUCUACGGAUGGAAGUCAUGUAAAGCACUAUUAUAUUGCACUGACUAUCUGUCAGAGCGAGCUUCUUUGUUGAACAAAUGAAUAUUCAAACAGUCAAGCACCAACUUCAAAGUUUUUACUGUCGAUUGGUAAUAGGGGAAAGGAACAGGAACAUUAAUAAAAAAGAAUAGUGGGGGAAUAAAUGAAAGAAAUGAAACAGGAAUUUUGUUAUCUGAUUGGAUGAAGCGGACAAAUCGAAUGCUAUCAUCCAUUCAGUUGUUGCUACAACCUUAAUCUUAAAAUGAAAAAUGUCAAACUUGGCAAUUGGGAAGGGAACUUUCAUAAUUUAUCUCUAAAAUAUGCUACUAAAUUUCGCAUGUUUAUGCAUUUAUUAGAUUUGAGUGCCAAAAUCAAGAGGAAAGUUCCAUUUCCAAGCCAAAAACUGUCUUUCUUGCUGAACUGAAAAAGUGGAACAUGGUAAAUCAAAGCAUAUUGUUUCUCAAGAGUCCAGUUUUCUAAUGCAUAUCAAGAGCUGUAAUCCAAAACCCUUGUUGUAUAACAGCUUACUUUGUUAAGAUUUGGUACAACAUUAUAAAGUUUGUAAAAGUAUUACGAUAGAUAAUACCUUUGAAGGUUUCAAUCUAAUAAAAACAAGAUUUGUGCUCUCCAAUUACUCUUUUGAUCCACGUGUCUUCUUGAAUUGGUUCUAGUUUGAAGGUAUGCCAAUUUUGGUGAUGUGGGCUGUUUUUUUUUUUUUUCUUAGUGAACUAAAGUUCCUAUAUAAUGUGUUCCUUUCUUUUAAGAAAAUUUUUCCUCGUACUAGUUCAGAAGGUACCUAGCUAAGAUUAAUUCCUAGGGCAAGCAGGGCUAGUUUCUUGUCUUUGUGAAGGAAUACUCAGAACUUAGAUCUAUUUACAUUUCCACAAAUCAGGAAUGCAAUUUAGCAUAUACCAUACCUGCAAGUUAUUGUAUCUGUUGAAAGUCUUGAAACAGACAGGACAUGAGAACUGUGUUGGACCAAUGAGAAUCUGAGAAGGUGAAGGAAUCCAAUACUGGCCUUUGUUGAGCUUGUCGUUCAAGGGCAACUCUGAUAGUACAUUACCACCUUCCUUUUCUCUUUUGUCCCAAUUACAAGAAGGAAGCCUAGAGGAGGAUAAAUCAGAACUAGGGCUUGGAAGCCCUAUGUUUAGGGCAACGGUUACAAAAUCAUGAAGAGGAGGAGUUCCUGAAAGACUACUCUCAGUUUUAGUGCUAGUGCACCUAUCAUCCUCCAAAGCAUAGCCUGAGAAGUCCUGCUGCUCAUCUGGUCUAAAGCUUAGGUUAUUCAGAAGUGGAAGAGCUUCCUUUCUGGGAGGUGAAGGAGGCGAAAGAGAGAAUUCAAUUUCACUUGAAGAUAUACUGUUCACUGCAUUUGAAUUGGAUGAUGAGAAGUGAGGAUGAUGAGGGAUAAAGUUACACCAUCCAGGAAAGAAAUUAUAGUAACAAGGUUCAGCCAUAAUGGAGGCUUAGUCUAAAGAAUCAAGCAAGCCAACAAGAAGUGAUUGAUUAAGUAGCUAGAUUGGCUGCAAGAGUCUCAGCUUUUUUCAACAUAUAUAAACAGUCGGCAUUCUGGGGGAAUGGGGGAGAGAGGAGUAGGAAAAGAAGUAUGAGGAGGAGAAUUUGAGCAGGAAAGAUAACUUGUGAUAGUGAAAGAUCAGAAGUGUUUCAAAUGAUGGUAUGGAAAUCAAGAAAUUAACCCCACCCACCCCCCCCACCCCCCAACCCAAAAAAAAAAACAACCCCUUAAGGCUGAAAAAAUAAACCAUGAAAAAAUGUAGGUGAGAAUGAAGAUAAGAUAACACAAAAAAGGAAGAAAGAAAAGCCAUAGACUUGAGUCAGAAAGCUUUAUUUUACCACUAGAACGAAAUUCUAACAUGGAGCAGUUUCAUGUUGGUCACACGUGAGUAGUGGGUUCCACCUCAUCUGAUAAGCCCUGAAAAACUGCUUAUGGGUAAAUGGGAACUAGUUCUUCACUUCGAUUAUGUCUUGCUUAUUAUUUAUGUACAGUUAAAUGAAUAAAGUGUCGGAAGAAAUAGUAGGAGGUGAAGCAUGCAAUUGAAGCAAUAGGAAUUGCAACUUUCGUAGAUGAUACAAAAUUAAUGACCUGUUUCGUUUGUUUUUUGUGUUCAAUUCAUGCCUCAAUUGAUGGAGCCCUCAUAUGGCAAACAAGGUUUUUCAAUGGACCAUUGACGAUGACAACUCUAUAAUGGUGCAAGAUUGUUUAUUUUGGAUAGACACAUUCAUUUGCUAAGGAAGAGAUGAGACAGAUGGGUCAUUUGCAGGAGAUUAUAGAAGAAGAUUAGUGCUGUCAACUUGUCCAUGGUCAAUUGAGAUAUAGGUUAACAAAUUGACAAACAUAUUUUUGUUUGUGUGAGAAGAAGAUGGAAUCAUAUUGUUUACGUUUGAAAUUAACCUCAAUUUGAGAGGUAAAUAAUAUACAUUUUGGAAUGAAUGGUGAUAUAAAGUUACUACUUUUUCACAAGUACCCCAUGGAGUAUUAAGAGAAGAAAAUCCAAAAGCUCAUAGAUGGAUUGUCCAACUGAGUUUCCACUAUUCUUCAAAACUCACACGUGCAAGUCAAACUAUAUACUGUUAAAAUUGGUCAUAUGACAUUAAAGAAUGCCAACAACUAUACUUCAACAGUCAAUACAAAACAACUAUACUUCAACAGUCAAUACAAAACAACUAUACUUCAACAGUCAAUACAAAACAACUAUACUUCAACAGUCAAUACAAAACCCUCCUUGUUUAUUCUUUUUACUUACUAAAGCACUCAACUGGAUAAUGCAACGAAUGCGUCAAAAGUUACUGCGGACAUGCAUAAUAACAAAGAACUACAAUUUCGUUUCCCCUUUGAACAGCAAAAGUGCACAUGGUCAUGAGCAAUGUAGAGAGUGCUUUUUGUUUUUUCCUUCUUUGAUAGGUAGAAAUACACCUUAUUGAUCAAAGUAUUAAGGUAUUAAAUCUUCUACAUCUCUUACGUCUUAUCCUCAUGGUAUCUUGAUCUUUCCAAUUCCUUGCACAUUAUGUGAGACAGAGAGCAAUAAAUUUCGUCUUUUAUAAGAAGCAUCUUCUAUCUGACUUGGAAUGGAAUUAGGCUGAAUUAUAUAUAUAUAUAUAUAUAUAUAUAUAUUGAUAUGUAAAGGGACAAAAGGAAUGUACAACAGUUUCUGAAAUAUUUUUUCUGACAGGCGUAGCAAUAAAAUUAAAUGGAUGAAUAAUAAAAUCUGUUAAUGUACAAGCAAACCAAUAAUGCACAUGAACAGUACUAUGGUUUUGUUGAAUAUUUAUGAGGAUUUCAGUACGUGUAAUCAGAGAAUUAUAGAGCAAUGUCUUGUCAAAAUUUAUGAGAUUAAUAAUCCAUGAACAAAAAUCGACAAAACAUACGAAAACAUGUGAGGAAAAUGCUAGCUAGGUAAUAGUGAAUCUUUGAUAGUAAUAGUUCAGCAUUUGGUGCUUGAGAAAUUGUUAGCUAAGAGGUAGGCUGAAUGCUAUUGAAUGAAUCAUUUUCGCCAAGAACUCUAGAAAGUCCUUAUACACAAUAUACAUUUUAUGAAAGUUAAAUUUUAGUGAUUAAUUACUUCUUCAAGAAACAUGUGCGUGCCCAUGAGUUUUAAGGAACAACCAAUCAUACUUUGCUUUAAGUAGAAAAGAACAAACAAUAACUUGCCUCACUCCCUAUGCUCAUGAAUUAGUUCGUAUGAAUCACAUAUGGGACGUAGUAGGAGAUUUAAUCCAAACACUUCAAUGGACAAAAGGGUUUUAGCACAGCAUAUAUCUAUGUAUAUAAUUUUUUUGUAAAACCUAGGCUGUGGUUUCGGGAAACAUACCAGUAGUUAAUUUUAGUGACCAACGGUUGGAACUUAUAUAGGUUUGACAACUUUUGAAGAGAAGUGUUAAUGCCAAUCUUGAAUUCCUAAUUGAGGGAUUAAUUUACAAAGCAAAUAUGUUGACUAUUCUAGCCUAGUUUAUGCCAAAUUUAGCGGGACUAACAAAUCAUUUUCCCAAAAAAUAUUACUACCACUAGAACUACUUGCACGGAGACAAUUGGAUGAGGGAUUCUUUAAUUGGAUGAUCUUCACUUAAGAAUUCUCAAAAGGUUUGCAUUGUUUGCAAAAACCAAGGGUCUUUCCUUUGACUGGCAACUCAUGCUUUUGCCAAUUUCAAGAGUGCACGAGUGUGUAGUUAAUCUUUGGGAGCAAGCCGGUCUUGUCUUCAAGUCCCCACGUUUGUGAAUUGGUUUUGGUGGUUUCGAAACAUCUCUGCCUCCCAAUUUGCAAGUCCUGGGAAGAUUAAAUUAACGAGAUUUUGACCCUUUUCUUCUUUUUGCUCCAAUUACCAAAUUCAUUGUUGAUUAUUUGAGGGGUCAAUUGCCAGUACAAUCCAUGCAGAUAAAACGUUCGACACUGUGUAGAGCAUUCGACUAGGGAUUUGGGAUUUGCAGAGACGAGAUAUAUUGAGAUUACCAUUGCGGAAACAUUUUCAAAAGUGUCUGGGAACAAAAUCUAAUUCUCAGAUGUAUCAUCCAAAAAUAUUCAAUUUUCUUAACGGAACGUAUGACAAGUUCUGGAAACUUGUGGGAUCCAUCUAUGAAGGUUUGCUAGUUUUCUUGGACAUGCAUCUGUUUUUAGUGGCUACUUUCCGGCUAUUCCUAAAGUUUCUGGUCGCAACUCACAAGCAUAGGAAAUGCGAACUAUUUUUGUUCAGUUUUAAAGAUUUCAAUUCGCUGUCUUAAAAAUGAGAUCUUGUCACUAAUCAUCAAUAUUAUUCUUCAAACCUUUUUCCUUCCCCUUUUCCAAAAAAAAAAAAAAAAAAUUCCCCUUCCCCGUCUGGAGUUAAAAUAUACAAAACAAAAUCUCAUGAGAAUAUUAUCAAGAUAUUCAAGGUUUCUUUAUAUUAUUAUGAGUGCCUUUCGGAUUAUACUCUAGAUUUCUAACUAUUAUAAAGACAUAAACUUCAAAAAAGACCAAGAAUACAAGUCAUAAAGAUGUGCAUACAUCGCUAUUUAGUUAAAACAAAGAAGAUUGCUUGGUUAUAGUGUUAAUAUUUUUCAUGUUAUAUAUUUGGUUUAUAGUUUGCUCCAAAUGAUGUUUGUUGGCAAAAUAAAUGAAGUGUAGAAGUUUCUGUUUAUUUAUUUACUAGUUUUAUUGAAGUCGGCUUUUUCGUAUUUGUGUGAUUUAGGAAUUUAUAUUUUAUUUGGUAAUUUCUUAUGCAAGUGAUUUCAUAUUUGAUAAGUUUUAGUAAGUCAUGAAUAGGGCAUUAGUUGAGGUAUUUUCUAAAAAGAGUCUAAGAGCGUCUGUAAUGAUUUGUUAUAGUGUGAUUUUCUUCCAUUCUUUGAUAGUUCAAUAAUAGUGUGAAUUAUUAUUUUUCACUCCCACAUAAAUAUAUUUUGAAUAAUUAUUUUAUCCAUUCAAUUCUAUAACCUUACACGUACUAAUGAUUAUUAGAACCGUAAAUUUGGAUUCUACAAUUAGUACGCGAGCUAGACUAUGAGAUUAUUCUUGAGCGUUUCUGUUGUCAAACAAUUAAGGCACAAGAUUUGCUAAAAAGUACUCAGUUGAUCGAAUAAUACCUCAAGAUUGGUGUAGGAGUGUGCAGUUGGUGAAGAUUGGACCAUAAAUAGGUUUGAAAAUUGUCAGAUUGUUACAGGUGUUAUGACAAAGAUUAGAGACGAAACCUCUUAGAUUGUUGAUUGCUUCGGAUUGUCAUAUUGAAGGAUUUGAUUGGUUAAUCAACUAGAGAGGUCAGGAAAACAUGACAAAAGGGAGAGAAAAUUUUGUUUAGGGUAGGAAAGAAAAAAAUAUUUGUGAAGGUAGUAAAUUAUUUUCAAGUUGCAACAAAGAAUAGGGAAUUUGUCAAUAGUAAAAAAUUGAAAAAUUUACUCAUAUUGAGUACUCAUGAAGAAAGGUCAGAAUGGGUUGCAAUAAUGGAAAAAUAUCUUAAAGGUGCCACUUAGACGAUAUUCUCAAAAAUAAAUUUUGUUAGUGGUUUGUCAAAAGAAGAUAAGGAAAAGAAGGUCAAGUUAUUUUCAAGAUUAUGCAGAAAUCUAUAACAGAAGAAUAUUAUAUGAGAGUUUUUAUUAAUUCUCAAUUGCCUCAGUAGUUUUGAUCAGAUUUUUUUUUAUAUUUUGAUGGAAUUUGAAUAUGAGUAUGAUCAUAAGUCAAAAAUUCAUUUGACAUAAGAAAUUUAUUUGGAAGAAGAUAGGAUUGUUGAUGAUAUGAGUGUUUUUGAAUAUUUUGAAUCUGUUCACAAUUUUCAGUUAUAUAUCUUGUUUGGAGAAAUUGGAGUGAUGAAUUUAUUGAAGAAAUCAAUGUGUUUAUUUGGUAAAGAGAGAAGAAAAUUUUGGUUGGACAGCAAAAAAAAGAAAAAGAAAAAUGCUGUUGAAAAAUUUGUUGGCUCAAACUCUUCAAGAUGAUAGAAAAACAUUUGAUUUGAUUAAUAUGGAUUUCAUUAGAGUUGAAAAUUUUUGGAUGGAAGGAAUUCAAUACAUGGUAUAAAUUUUUGGAUGAUUGUGGUAGCCACUAUUCUGAAUUAUUUAGUAGUGAUAAUUUUGGCAAGAAAGUUAACUAUGAUUUUGUAUUUUUGGGCACUUAUAUUAGUGAUAAAUAUGAUGAAUGGGUUUGUAUAAAUGAGUACUUUAUUCAAGAAGAAAUUGCCGAGGAAUUGUUUGCGAAAUAUAAAAUUUGUCCACUGCUACGUGUCAAGACAUUGUUUUUACAAUUAUAGAGUUUUCAACUGUGAUUGUUGCUUAAGAUAGAGUUGGGCCUAAUGCAAUAGAGAGUUUGGUUUAAAAGAGACAAUGUUAGCAAAAUAAAUCAAGCCUAGAAGUUUAUAUUUAUUUAUUUACUAGUUUUAUUAGAGUCAAGUUUUUAGUAGUUAUGUGAUUUAGGAGUUUGUGUGUUAUUUAGUAAGUUCUUGUUCAAAUGAUUUCUUAUUUUACAAGUUUUAGUAAGUUAUAAAUAGGACAUUAGUUGAGAUAUUUUCUUAAAAGGGUCUAAAAGUGUUUGUAAGGUUUUAUUAUGGUAUGCCUUUUUUAUUAUUUGAAAUUUCAAUAAUAAUGUGAAUUAUUUAUUUUCUUCUCUCCCACAAAAAUAGUUUUGAGUGAUUGUUUCAUCCUUUAAUGUUGUGUGUUGGUAUUGAGAUUCUUUUUUUUUUUUUCAAUGAAAAUGCUAGCUGACUCAUUCAUACUCGAAAUUUAUUCCAGUUUGUAGUUAAUUUGCAAUGAAAUUGUCUUUACAUGUUGGUAUAUAUGUUGAAAAAGAGUCAAAUGUAAUAUAUACCAUAUGUCUAUGUGGAACUAAGAUUGGGAUCGUCGGGUUAAUUCUCUCACCAUUUUACAGGACAUACUGUAGUCUGUAACAUAUAUAUGGUAAACCAUAACAACUGCAUCGAAUUGUGUUAUAAACGAUGCUGAAGCACAAAAGUUCAAUGCCAAAUUUGCGAUUUCACUGGAAAAACUGCUAAAAAAUGUACCAAAUUUGAAAAUCAAAGUAGACCGAUCGCUUCGACCGGUUGAACUGCAAAUUGACUUGGUGCCAGUUCAUUUUUGUAGUAAACUCCAAAAAUCAAUUGAACUUGUUAAAUCCAAUCAAGAACAGAUUAAAACUAGUAACAAAGUGGACUUUAGAACUGUUUGCUACUUCUUCUUCUUUUUUUUUUUUCUUUCUUUGGUAUUUUAAUGUUAUCAAAGUUAUAGAGGAAUUAAAAUCUUUUGACCUAGGAUUAAACUGUGUAUGGGAAGAUCAUCCUGUUCAAUUACCAAUCCGGGCUUUUACUAGAUUAAACCGCAAACUCAAACAUGCACUUAAGGAAAAGUAUACCCUUGACAAGGAACAGCCCCAUGUAGUCUGUAAGCAUAAAUUUUACUAAAUAUAAAUUUGGAGUAGGUUUUAUCGUGUAAACAUUUUGUGUCUUUUGAAGUUUGUUAAAUAUUAUCCUUAAUGAAAACUGCUUAGUUUGGGAGUUUAGGAUAGAAAAGAAAAGAAGGGAAAGCUUAAGUUAUGAGAGAAGAGAAGAGAUUGUUAUGUUGUUUGGGAGUUUUGAGAAUUAGUUGAAUGAUUUUGGAUAUGGAAAUCAUUAAAUAUUUGUUCAGGGCAUUUUUAAGGACAAAAUAGGCAUUUUAGAAAAAUUAACAAAUUUUCUCCAAACUUUCUUUCCAUUUCCUUCCAAUUUGGGAGGAAAUAUUUUGGUCACUAUUUAUCCUCCCAUUUCCUUUCUUUUCUUUCUUACUUAAAACUACCAAACAAAGGAAAAUCAAGUUUUCUCUUCUUUCCCUUUCUCUUCCGUCCAAAUCCUCAACGCCCAAAGGCACCCUAAAUAACGUCCAUGACUAAAACUUCUCAUGAAUGUCCCUUUCUACUUUUAGCUUUCAUCUUUUUCUUGGUUCAUGUUUCUGGUUAGUCAAUGUUCUAAUUUUUCACAAGGAUUGAUUGCGCCAUUGCCACUAGCAUGCGGCAAGAGACUUUGGUGCGAUGUCACUUUUUGACUUGUCAACUUUACCCUCAUUUUCGUAAUUAUGUCAAUCCAACAUAAGGGUGAGUUUAUAACUUUAUUAUCUUGGUAAUAACUCAUCCCCAGUUCCCAGUAUUGUGACCAGUGGGAAUGGCACACCUAUGUGUGUGCGCAAAUCUAAAAAGAAAAAAUUUUAAAAGAAAAAUUUAUUAAAUUUUUUAGUAAUUUUUGGAGGUUUUUUUUUUUUAAUAUGGAAAGAAGUAUUGUGUUUUUCUUUUUUCUGUUUUUUAAAUUGAAAGUUGUUGGCAGUUAUUGCUUUAUUGGAAGUUAUGUUAUGCUAGAAAAAAUGGAGGUGUGUGUAUGUGUUUGUAUGUGUUUAUUUAGGAAGAUGACAGUACCAUUUUACGCUUUAUUUGGAUGGUAAAAUAGAAAUUAUAAAAAUUGACACAAAAAGUUUACACCAACCCUUUCCCUCUCCCUUUAUAUAUAGUGUACAAAUAGAUAUUAAAGCUAGGCUCUACUACUAAUAAUCUCAACGUUUAAAUUAUUUCUCACAUUUCACCAAAUGAAUUAUCAUUCUUCACUUUUAAAAUAUUAAUUUUACGUCCUUUAUAAAUUUAAAUUAGUAAAAUUUAAUCCCAACCUAAGUUUUUGAUUACUUUUUAGUCUAAAAUCACUAUAUUAUCCAUCUGCAAUCAUUUCUUAUGUAUAAAAAGGUUAGAUCCCACUAUUUUAGUGGCAAAAAUGAAUAUGGAUUAAUUGGGUCAGGUUUUACUUUUUUAUGAGAAAAAAUGAAUAUAGUUCAAAGUAGAUCCUACUUUUUUAGAGACAAAAAUCAAUAUAAAUCGGGUUAUUUAUUUAACUGCAAAUAGGAUUUAACAUUUUUGUCCUUAAAAAAAAAAUCAUGUGUGGGUCAUACGAUAGAUUCAGGGUGAAAAUAGUAAAAAAAUCUAGAUUGAGACUAAAUUUUAUCGAUUGAAUUUUGUAAGAGAUAUCGAGUUACCAUUUUAAAAAUGAAGGAUGAAAAGAUUCAUUUGGUAAAAUAUGAGAGACCCUUUUUUUUAUCAUUAUUUAUAGCAAUUUGUGAAAUACACAGUUCCACACCUACUGCUAUCAUUUUUUCAGGCAGGCAUUGCAGUCAUAUUUAGCUUUUGAUUUCACUGUAAAAAUCUCUUUGGAUGCACACCUAUCUACACUAGUGCAAAUUAAAUCCAAGUCAGUCCCAUAUAUUUACUAUCAUAAUUUGCACAGAAAUCCCAUUUUCACAGUAGCCAUAUUUUUCCCUUCUACCUUUCUGAGCUUUCUACUCCAUCUUCUGAAAAGAAAACAACAAGGACAGAGCUCCAUUAAUUGGUCCAAAGAGAGGCAACACAGAAGGCAGGCAGUUUGUGAAUGUGAGUUGUGACGUUGGGGAGUGGAAAUUGAACUUAUCACUAGUCGUUCUCAAGAGUCAUGAUGCAUGUAUAACCCAAAAAAAAAGUCGAAAUUACCGAGCUACAAAGCCAGCAAUAGAACCGAUCAGCUAGUGCAAUGAUUGGAACUCACUGUUCACGUACAAAAAUGAUGUCACAUAAAACUUAAAUUCGCAUUUGCUGAUCCCUUUUCCAAAUUGAAAGUGAUAGCCGGUUUUAAGGGCUCCAUCCUUCUCUUUCUCCUCUAUCUCUAUCUCUUUCUGGCUCUCUUGGAAGAAGAUGACCAGAUGAGGAUGCUUUUGCAUGAAUGAUUCCUCUUGACAGUAGUAUUAUUUGGUGGUGCCGAGUGCCGACAGGAGAUAUAAUGCAUCAUCACAAAGUUAACCACAACUAUCAGUUACAAAAUUCAUGCCAAAUCCAUACCCUUCAUUAACUGUCACUUGGUAUAAGUCCCAUCUGCAACGACAGUGACAUUUUUUAUUUUUAUUUUUUAUGGUUUUGUAACUUUGUUUUCUUCUUGUACUCAAUUUGUUUUUUGGAAACCAACAUGUAUUGCUGUAACACUUGGAAAUAAAAAAAAUUUUAAUAGACUUAUUUUUUUGUAUUAAAAUUUUGAAGGUUGGUUGAUAUAGUUAUUGUAUUGAAGUGGGAAUGUCAGCUUGAACUCUCUCCCGUGUUUGUACUUAGAAUGGUAAAUAGCUAGUUUAAUGAAUCAGGCAAGAGAAAACUUGGUUGGUAAGAUGUUUCAUCUAUGAUGAAAAAGUCACAAGUUUGAAUCAUUAAAGGGGCAAGUAGAAAAUUAUUAUUGAUCCUUUUCUUUUUUUCAAGAAAAAUGUUGAAUCAGGCAAGAAUUCUUAUGUUGGAUUUGAGAUACUUCUAUAAAAAAAAAAAAAAGUCCAUUUUGAGGGAUAACAACUUGUCCAAUAUUUUAUGAAACUGAAAUUGAAACUUACACUUGCAGUAUCUUGUGGAAUUCAGAGCUAAGUUAAUAAUUUAUUUGACGUCAAGUUUUUGUCAAUGCGAGUGUUGAUUUAAUCAUAUAACCGCUCAAUCUAUUAGGUCAAAGCUUUGUCAAAGGGCAUUAGUAGAUUGAACUCCUUGAUUAGCUGGAUGUUUGUUCAAGAAUGAGGUAGUGGUUCCUGUCAUUGUUAGGUUAAUUACCAAGGAGCUGGUUGCACUUUAUCAUGAAUUUGAGCUUGAAUGUUCUAGUGGUGGGCAUGAGUUAGCUAAUUUGGUAAUAGUAACUGAUGGAGAUGCACACCACAACUCAAUUGAAUUGUUUGUUAUCCCAUAGAUUUGCAUGAUUAAGAAUUUUUAUGCUUACUUCAGCUUAAAUGGCCUUAGCGAUCACCUCUUUUUUUUUUUUUAAUUUUAUUUCGAGACAGAUUAUUUGAUGUUUCUAAUGAACAUAUGCUUAACUAACAAAACCUCUAGACUUCUUUCAUUUUUGAUAACCCUUUCAUGAGUUAAAUCCAAUGAACUGUCAUUUAAGAGUUUGGCUUAGGAGAACUAAAAAUUAGUUCAAAUCUCUCCUUUUUCUUUGUGUACACAUAUACACACACCAAAACCAUGUUAAUAAUUGGUACAACAGAAGAAGUGUUUUAAAAAUUCCAAUAAGAAUUUAUGAUAUCUUAUUUUCAUUAAUUGUUAUAACUUGAAGUCUCCCGCAAAACUAAGUGUAACUUUGUUUGGAUUGUACAUUAUGUACAUCUUAUUUAUACAUACUGACUUACUUGCAUUGUCAAUAUAUUUUUUAAUCGUUUUUUAUCUCAUAUAUAUCACAUUAAAAAAAUGCUACAAAAUUUUUUUCAAAAAAUUAUUUCAAAUAAUUUCCUAUCUAAUUUAAGUACAAAGAGUAAAGAAAAUUUCAUACUCUUUUUUUCUUCCGAAACCCAAAGAACUUACGUCAAUUUUUAUAAACCUAAACCCCGAGGGAACCCCAAAAAUCGGUAUCCUUUAAGAUUCCACAGGAGACUUAUAACUACCAAUCCAAACCCUCCCAACCCCGAUAUGGGAUACAUUAAAGGGGAUGACACCCCAAACCUCCACAACGGAGAGCCUGCUGCUAAGCCCAACUGGAACCCAACCCCCUAGAGGCGAUAUUACAGUAUCAGAAAACAUCAUACUUCUUUCAGGUGACAGCUAGAAAAUUCUAUAUGCUUUCAAGAGACAAGAAAGAUAUUAUUUCAGUCUAGUCAUAAAAUGAUUGAUUUGAAGCCAAGUACUGAAUGAACUUCAUCGAAAGUCAUUCCAAGAUUUAUUAUCGUGGCUCCACACAUCCUAUUGUUCUUUUAAUUAAAACAGCAAUUGUCAAUUAUAGACCUCUAAAAAUACAUAUUUACCCUCUAUUUCAUAAGGUGCGUUUGGCUGAUUAUUUUUCAGGUGUUUUUAUAAAGAUUCUACUAUAGCUACGUUUUUUACAAAAGCAUUUGGCGUGGUGUUUUUAAUGUUUUCUUGAAAAUAUUUUUAGAGAUGGUGGUGAAACUUCUCCCCGCCUUGUUCGCCAUCCUUCACCAUCCCCUUUUCCCUUUCCCUCCAAAGCAUCGCUUGCCACUCUGGAGUCCCCCUAGGCAUCCCUCCCCUUCCAACCCCCUCCACUAAUACUCUUACAAUACCUUGGCCCUCCUUUCUCUCUCCCUCCCCUCCCACUUUUCCACUAGCCGUCCUCUCAUCCCUGCGAUUUGAUUGGGAAGGGAAAGGGAGGGGUCUGAGGUAAGGGGAAGGGAGGAAGAGUAAGGAAGGCUAGGGAUAGGGUGAUGGUGGAGCAGGCAAAAGUAGGAAAGGGGUAUUUAUGUCUGUAUCAGUGUAUGUUUUUGGAUAGUUUUGAGUAUUUCACAUUUUUCUAUUCGUGUUUUCUGAGACAUCUUUGGUUUUUUUUACUGGAACAUUUAUGCUAACCAAACUGACCCUAAUUUUCAUCUCCAGCCUCUAUAUGAAGUUCAUUGAUGAAUAGGGGUUGAAGCCCAUCACAAUUGCCGGGACAGAAUAAUAUCCCAACAUUUUGGGUGUCAAAAUGUGGUGCUGUCGUGGUCCUGCCCCCUAUAGCAAUUUCAAAUUUCGCUUUGAAUAUUUUUUGAACAUAUUUUUUAAUUAUUUUUUUUUAUUUUAGCAAUAUUUUUAUCCCACAUCACAUACCAGAAAGUAUGAUGGUGCUAAUUUUUCUUAAAAUACUUCUUAAAAACUCCCAAAGGAAGUCGUAAAAUGCAAAUUUCAAAAAAAUACAAAAUGCUCGAUCAAGGGUGCAAUCCCACAACUUUACCUGAUAGCUAUAUGAUUCUUAAAAUUUAUAGUGAUGAUAGUCAUGCAUUUCCACCACAUGAUUUACAAAAUUAUUCAUUUAUACCUUUAUGCUAGUGUCACUUUCUUGGUUAAUUUUUAACAAUUCAUAUACAGUUUCACUACCCUUUCCCCAAGAAAUUUUCUUAAACUUUCCGGGCAAAAAGUCAUCUCACAUUUUGCUCUUCUGGUCUCCAAAUCCUGGUUGCCAUCCAGAAAUUUGGAUAUACUUCGUCCCCAGUUGCCACUUGCCAGUCAAAAACAAUAGUAUCUGAAACAAAAUAUCCUCGACUAUUUAGAGAUUCAUGACUGAUUACCUACUGAUUCAUUUGACACACAACCAAAAAAAUAUGCUGAAUCAGAAAAAAAAAAAAAAAAGAAAAAAAGAACGGGCUGGAGAUUCCAUACCACCCUUUUCUCACGAUCAUAGUUUGUUUUUUUUUGGUGGUAAUUAGAGAUGCAUAGAAGUAAAUAAAGGGUUUUGCAAUCAGUUGCUUAAUACAGUCAUCUAGGAAUAGUUGAUCCCCUUAAAUCAUCCAAAAGAAAGGGGAGUACAAAAUCAGGGCAGGAAAAAAAUCUGGAAAUGUGCUCCAUUGUCUCCUCUCCAUUUAGCCAGCCUAUCUGCAGAGCGAUUUGCCUCUCUAAAAUUAUGGUAGAAACAUGCCUGGUGGAAUGUAGUCAACAGCUCCCUUUGCAGUUGCAAAGGAGUAUUACAUGACAUGAAAACACUGUCCAAAAUGGGCCUCUUUGUCUGAGUGGUAAUUGAGAUUUUUUUUGUCUAAGUGGUGGAAUGUAGUCAACAGCUCCCUUUGCAGUUGCAUAGGAGUAUUACACGACAAGUAUUACAUGAAAACACUGUCCAAAAUGGGCCUCUUUGUCUAAGUGGUAAUUGAGAUUUUUUUUAUACCAAAGGAGACUGUAAGCCUUACAAGAGGGAAGGGGAAAAUAGGAGAACUUGAGAGGUAAAUCAAACAUCUCGCGGUUAACUAACUAAUAUUUCUAUCAAUUAAGUUGGAUUUUGAGGAUUGGUGACUGAGAUAUGAAUACCGCAUAACGAUCACGCCCAUUAUUUUCAGUGCGAUGCCUUGAAGCUCUCUAAGCCAUCACAAGUGAAUGCUAUUGUUAAAUUUCUCAUUACAAGUGAAUGUUGUUAAAUUUCUAGAGUAAGCAUUGAGUUCAAGAGGUGUUUGGUUCAUAUUCAGAAUCAAAAUUAGAAUUAUAAAUUCCACUAUAACUACGUGGUUGCCCAUUCACUUUAUAUAUUUGGUUUUGAGUAUAAACAAAGACUUGAUCAAUUUGAAACCUAACCUAGAAUGAGACAAGAUCCAACAGCUUCAUUCUCAUCAAAUGAUGCCCGUGGACGUCUUCUGCCAAACAAUAGAUAAAGUUAUUAUUCAUUUGAAACCCGUUCGUACCCCUAAUACCAUUUGUCCCAAACAUUCAGUGCCGCAUAAUAAAUUCAAAUGCUUUAGUUUUGAUUAUCAAAUGCAUCUGAAUAUGUUAAGAUCUAAAUUGAUUCAAUUUAAGUGUCGAAUUGAAUUAUCAAACAGGAUCAAAUUGUGUCAUGAUAGUGCUAUGAUAUGCUUGCUUAUUGUCAUAAAAGUCCAAUCAUAUUCUUCUAUAACCAUAUGUCUAGUAUUUAACUAAAUGUAUAUAUCUACCACUUACACGUGGUGCCUAAUUAAAAAAAACAGCAUUUUAUUAUUUAAGAGAGGUGGCCUUAAAACUUAAAAGCCAUGCAGAAAGGCAUGUGCGGAGUGUAAGCCAAGAAAGGGAUGGUAUUACACAUGAGAUGUCACAGCUGCAGCAAGAAAUUCCACAGGACAACACUUUAUGGACAAAGCCGGCAGACGCUGUAGCAGCCUGUACUCUGUAGUCUGUCAACAAACCCACUCGAAACUAUAUCUCACUUCCCACAACACAAGGUUUAUAGUUAUCGCCAUCUUAUUAGCUUGGUGUGGCUCAAAAUAGACCUCUCAAUGAGCACGGGUGCAAAGAUGAAAGAGACAGCUUCUUUGAGCUUCGAGGCCAUUUGAGCCCCCCUUUGUUUUCCGUUUUCUUCUUUCCAAGUAAUAAUUUGAAGCCAAGAAGAAUCCCUCUUGAGCUGGAAGAAUUAAGCCUUUGAAAAGCCAAAAAAAAAAAUUUUUAAAAAAAGCCUACCUCAUUAUAACUUUAUAAGUGAAGAUGGUCAAUGCAUUUCUGCCAUUUUCUAUCCCCAGUAAAAAGCAUGACGAAGUGAAAGUGAUCAAUAAUGAUCAAUUUGUGUCACGUUUGGGAAGGAUGAAUCCCGCAAAUCCAGCAAGAACGGGACAUUCUGUGAAAGAGAUAUCUUGGCCAUUCUGGACUCCUGAGCAAGGCUUGAAUUAUUUGAUGGCUUUUUGGUUUUCGUGGUUUUUCAUCUUCUUGAUUUUGGCUUUUGGACUAAUUCAUAGAUUUUGACUGCUGCUGCAAGCUAGUUUUGUUCCGUAUUAGUAUGAUGAAUCAUGAUUAUUUUAAACAUUUUUACAUAGAUACCAAGCUUGAAUUUUUUGACGAAAGCAAUUAAAUUGAUCCUUUCUGGUUUCUUUUUUCUCUGGAAAAAAAAAAAUUUAACUAGGGAUGUUUUAGUUUUCUGUUUUCUUUUAGGGCGAUAAUUUUCUAUUUUGUCUUUUCUGGUUCAAUUAUAUCCCCCAGCAUAUAUUCUUGGCCUUUGGAAAGAGUAUCCCACGUAGGUCCUUUAAUAACAGGCCAGACGCUUGAAAAUGCUAGGCUGGAAAUCACUCUCCGUUUGAUUCUUUAAACUAGUCAGACAAAGCGAGUGUGUGAGGGCACAACUAGUUGGCUCAAGGCUGAUUGAGACCUAAUGGGCCCAAUGGAGCCACUAAAAUUUGGACCAAGGUUCAUUUGCUCGGAGAUUGGGUUGUUCUUGAACAAACAGACCGCAUUUUCUAAGAAGGAUGGCUUUCUAUAAUACGAUAAGUUACUAUUCAUGUAUACCAACAAUUUGGACCAAGACCUAGUUAGUCCAAGCCCAACUACAAAUUCAAGUUGCCAAAUUCCCAAUAUUAACUUUUUGGAUUAAUCAUUAUUGCACUGUUUGUGUAUGAGUAUAUCUUAUAUACACUGACAGUGUAUAUACUAUCACAGUUGGAUACACAAUACAUGUACAAUAUUUGGGUUUCAAAUUCAAAUUCGAAUUAUGUGUCAUGCAUCCAAUGGUGAAAAUAUAUACAUUGUCAGUAUAUAGAAGAUUGAUUCUUUGUGUAUACACCUAUGAAUUUAGAUGUGUAUCACAUCAUUUUAAUUUAAAUUUAACCACCAAAUUUUGUAUAUGUUGUAUGCAUCUAAGUUCUCUAGUAUAUACACUAACAGCAUAUAAAAAGAUUUAUCCUUAACUUUUUCUCUUCUAAAACUUUGAGUCUUACAAAAAAACAAUAGAAAAAUCAUGAAAAAUGAAAAAGAAUUGAUUACUGGCUCUUUAUCUUGCAUAAAGGUUGAUAACCCAAAACUUAGAAGUCUUAGAUUUAAAUAUCCCUUCCUCCUCCUAGUGUCUUAAAUCCCCCGUCCCUUUGAUAGAUUUUCUUUUUAAGAAAAAAUGUUGCAUGAACAUAUAUCCAAAGGCAAAAAAUACUUCUGUUUUCCUUUUCUUAAAUCCAUAGAGAAGUUGAAGUCUUACAUAUAGACAUAUUUUGGUAGUAAACUAAGGUUCUGUUUGAUAAAACUUAAUCUGAAGUCUGAAUUCUAAAUUUUGAAAUCUGAAUACUGAAACAAUUAAUUUGCUGAAUUUUAUGUAUUAAAAAAAAUAUAUGAAUGUCUGAAUUGUAAUGCUAAACCUAUUUAUACUGUUUGAUAAAUAUUUAUAACUAAAUGUUUAAUAAGUUUAAUUUGAUAAUUUUACCCUUACAUCCUUUCAUUCAAAAAAGAAAUAGAAUCUAUGAUUUAAUUAGUUUAAAAUUGUUAGGUAUGAAAAUGACAAUAUUUAUUUUUAAAUCAAAUUAAUAUAAAAGAUGAAAUAUAUUAUAUGGAAGUAUGGAGAAGAUAUGAAAGUCAUUAAAAAUGGAGAAAAGAGAAACUAAAAAUCGUUAGAUAGAGAAUAUUAUAUUGUUUAAUUAGAUAAGAAUUUUGAACAUAAUUAACAAAUAAGGGUAGAUUUGGUAGAUAAGAUAAGUUAGUUGAAAUAAUUCUAUUGAUUCUUAUCAGAAUUAAACAUUCAGUUAGGAUUCUUGUACUGAAAAAAAUACACACAGGUUCAGCACUGUUUAACAAGUUCAACAAAUAGAUUUUCAUUUAUCAAACACUCAAAACAUCUGAAUGUUUGAAAAAAUUCAGAUUCAACACUUUUUUAUGUUAUCAAACAGACCCUAAGGCAAAUUACAGAAAAUCCCCCUCAACCGUUUUUAUUUAAUUGCCUUGCAGCCAAGUUUUCUCUUGAGCUGCCACUUUACUAAGGCCUGAGAUUGCAGUGCGCAUAUAUAAAAAGAGUAAAUAUUAUAUACACUGUCCGUAUAUACAAUAUCAUGGUUGGAUGAAUGACACAUGAGUAAAUUUUGAAUUUUAAAUUCAAAUUUUGCACGUGUAUCAUAUAUCUAAUGGUGAUAGUAUAUAUACUGAUAAUGUAUAUAAUAUUAAUUCAUAUAAAAAUAGUGCUUUUAAGCACUAAAAAUACUUUUAGAACGUUUGGUAACUAAUGUUUUAUAACUUAAUAAGCUUAGUUUUUGAUAACUUAAAAGCACUUGUGUCAGAAGUGUUUCUUUAUAAGUCAUUGCAACUUCAAACGGUGCCUAAUUAACGUCUACAAUAAAGAAAAGCUGGUAAAUUUUGAGUAUACUCGAUUCCACUAUCAUCGGAGAAAUACUUCAAAUAUUUUGCACUAGAAUUCAAAUAAGAACUGGCCAGGUAAAUGCAAUGCACGAACUUCGCACGAGCACGGCCUCAUUAUUGCUUGGAAGCUUAUCUGGAUCAGCAAAUGGGAUCAAUUGUACGAGGAAACUUUGUUUUCCUUUAUAUAUUUGUACUUUGAAAGUUUUGAAUCAUUAUAGGCAUUCCUCCUAGAUUUGGUUUCGUUUGUAGUUUCAAUUAUUUUGUUAUAAUUUUGAAAAUUAUAAAAAAGAAUUAAUUAUACAAAUUUUAGACAUGCUAGAUCAACAAUCUUAUCGAACUAAUGACCUUUGAUCCGUAGAAAAAGUCUUUUUGCUCAUACAUGAGCAAACAAUACUGCGAAUUUUUGAAAAAUUGAAAUAUAUAAUUAAAAAAUCUAGUAUUUUUAAAUAGUAGUUUGGACAUGACAACACUAUCCAAAUUUCCAAUGGACGCAAUUAUUAACAAAUGCUCUAAAAAAAUCAUGAGAUAAAAAUUAUGGAAAAAAAUGGUUUCGUUUGGAUCUCCAAAUAUUUCAAAAACUGUAUUUGUAGUCCAAAAACAUGGCAGGAAAGUUUCAAACAUCUACAGUGCACCUUUACGAAAACGACACCGUUUUAUCAUUUUCUGUCUCGUCUCUGUUUGUGUGUCCCAAAUACGGAACGAGUGUCAGUACCUAGUAGUCAAAAGAGCACUUUCCUCUUCUCUCGCUGCCUUUGCCCAAGCUUCAUCUCUCCUCCAUUAUUGCUCUGGAACAACCACAGAACCCACAUUCAACUUGAGCCGAGCUUCUCCCUGUAGAUGGCACCGGAUGUACUUCUAAAGCAGGCCACCUACAGUAGGUGAAGAGAUAUCCUCCAGUAAGACUGCUGUUGCCGAAGCUGCAUGUUCUCCGCCAUUGUUGCCCUCGAACAACCUCAGAACGGACAUUCAACUUGAGGCGAGCUUGUCUGACCAUUGUGGCUCCAGAUCUACAGCAAAAUCAAAUCACUUGAGGCACCUUCUUCUACGCUGUUAAACGGCCGUCUCAGCUCAUCAGGUUAGUACUACCAGAAUGAGUUCUCAACAGUAUGUUUUGCAUUUCAAGUUUGUUUUUUAGCAAUGAUACAGCAAGCUCCAUCUUUCUCAUAGCCCCAUUUUGAGUAUUGAGACCUUCAUAUCAUCCCUGUAUUAGCAUUUUGCCCAAACACCCAAAUCCUAUCUGAUUUGUGUAAGCUAGUUCAAAAAUUCCAAAAUUUGAAUAUCUGUCCGUUGGUAUGUUAAUUGACAAGCCUCUGUGAAAUUAUUUGUGGUAUGAACAUACAGUUGUCUUCGGUUUGUCUUCAGCUUUAGACGUUAGCAAUUGGCAAUGGUUAUGCUUCCUGUUUAGGUUUGAUUGCACAAAAUGUCUUAGCGACUGCAAUUGAUUAUCUAAUAAAACAUAAUUUUACUGAGCUUAAUAAUCUCUUAUAUCAUUGGGUUUAGACCGAAGCUUACAUAGACAGUUGUAACUUCAGAGUGAAUUAUCCAUUCUGUUGUGGCCGACACUUUGCCAAAACUGUUAUUGCAGGGAGGUAGGCUUCAUUCUUAUAUGCACUAGCUUCUGAGUAUUGUCGCUGUCCUGUCUUUUUGGCCAUUUAGCAUGCCAAGUCUGUAUAUUCUCCACUAUAGAAGUACUUCAUUUAUAGCAAUAAAAUUUGGAAUUGUGCCUGUUGUACAGCUAUUUCUUUAAUUCUCAGAAAUUGUUACGUUUUGUAGCUGCUUUCACAUCUCGGAUAAUAGAAAAUAUGCUUGACAGUGAUAAUGCCUGCGGCCAUUCAAUUUUACUGCUUGACUGAUCUUGUUUAGAGGGAAAGGAUUUUGUUUUCACAUACUGGAAGUUAAUAUCCAUUAGUAUCUGCUCCUCUGUACAUGCACCUUCUACAAUUUCUAUGAAUUAAGAGUUGAAAAGUAGUUAUCAAUUAAAAUUGUCGGUUGAGCUUGCAUCUGCCUUCAUUUCAAAAGCUCCCGCUUGGGUCUCUUCGUUGCGACGAUGGUAAUCUGUGCUGUUAGCCAUAACACUGGUAUCUAAUAUGACUUUUCAACACUGUUAAGAGUCUUAUGGUAACAGCAGUUCAGUUGUUUCCGCAGAUUAAAUAGUCUCAUACUAGUAUUUUUAUGUAUUAAGUUUCGCUCAGAUUUUUAUGAUUAACCUUCUUCGCUUUGAGGUGAACCAUUUAGGUGAUACUUUUAGAAGCGUACUGCAACUACAUGCCCCCUGUUACUCGACGUGCUUGGAAGGGUAUGUUGUACUUCCACACUCUCCAUCUUUAUUUCGUUAUAUGAGUAUUUAUUCAUUGGUGAAUAACACUAACUUUUCUCACUGUCCAGGUUUUCAAAAAAGUAGGCGACUAGGCAGUUAUUCUUUGAAGUCAGCUUGUGGAGAGAACGAUUUGCAGCUGUGCAUCACCAACUACUUCAAGGUAAAGCUGUUGCUGCAAUAAAAAGUGUCUCGACCUGGUUGAAUGCCAUAGAUUAGAAAGAAACUAUGCCAUGCAUACUUUUGAGCUAAAAAAUUUCCUUUGCCAUGCGUUGUUUCCAUCCUAAACCCAAAAAAGAUGAGUCUACCACGAGCAAAGUAUUCCCAGCGUAAUACUUUCACCGAAGAACACGAAUUACAUUUGCCUAACAUCUAUUGAGUAUGCAUAGGAAGGGAGAAAUAACCCCUAACAACAUCGGGAGUCAUGUCAUCCCUGAAGUCAUGGCUAUGCUUAACGCUACCCUCGGCACUUCCUUUCCCAAAAACACCAUCAGAUCGAAGUACUACGCCAUGCAGAGCCUGACCAGGCUGUAUAUUUCAUUCAAGAGGCGAGGUACUGGUAUGGGUUGGGACUCUUCGAAGUACACAUUCAUGAUGGAUGAUGGCUGCUGGGCUGAUCUACUCCAGGUUGGCUAACUUGUACUUAUAUUUCCUGUUUCAUUUCAGUUAUUUUUCUGUUUUGUAGACUUGCCUAUAUGACCAGGCAGUGCAAUUCCUUUUGUACUUUGUUCCGAUAUUUCCCUUUAUUAUUAUCAGUACAUUUUUAGGUUUCUGUUCGAAAUCAGUUUUUCACUUCAAUUCCUUUCGAUUAUUUGCUGACUGACGACCAAAGCAAUAUAGCCUCACAGUACUUGCUGUCUUCAGUGUUUUAUGCAUAAUCUAAUGCUUGUUUUGAUGUAUUUUUUGAAGGUGAACAGCGACUUCACAAGGUUUUAUAAUAGAUCAUGCUAUGUAUUUCAUUUGUUUGAGGAAGUUUUUAUGAACCAAGGCGCUAUAGGGGACUACAGUGGGGCACAUGAAGAAUCACCCCUCAACACCGAUGAGGAGUUGGAAAUGGAGAAUGCGGCGAGAAGUGCUAAGCCCUCGGAUGUUGUUAACAUCGGCUCAUCGGGUGAAGAUGUUAAGAUGCCCUCGACUAGGAAAGGGAAAGGGAAAGUAACUAAGGAGAAAAAAAAGCGCAAAUCGGGAGACAUGUCAAAGGAUUCAUCCUUCUCAGGUUCUUCAAGGGAAUUCCAAUAGUAUAUGCGUGUGCUAGACAGCAUUGAGACAAAAUUGAGUGGUAAAAAGGGAGAUAGCAUGACUGGUUCGGUCUGUUCACCGUCGAAAAUUGCACAUCGCCCCUUGAAUGCUGAUUCUGAGCUAAAGGCCACGUUGGCACAGCUCCUCGCCCUGAAUCUAGACAUACAUGUACAUUUGGGCGUUAUUGAUAUUUUAAAAAAUGCUUCAGAGCGGGCAAUUUGAAAUACUUGCACUACUGAUGCUGCUCGUCUUGCAUUUGUGAGGUGCAGAGGGUUCUUACCCCCUGAGUAGAUCGAGACCUGUCCAUUUUUAUUGUAGUUACGCUUAUUAGAGCUCGUUAGAUGCUUGUGUUUUCUUCCCUGCUAUGCUAUUUGAGUGUUGACUUGGCAGUAGGUUUGGUAUGAGUAUGACUAUGCCUUAGUACCGGAAAACUGUUUUUCAUUAUUUUUUUCCUUAUUUUUUUCACACUAGCUUGUAUGAAACAAUUGUUCUCGCAGUUGUUAUGUUGCCUUUAAUUGUCCUAAAUUAUUAGUGUCGCAUUUAACUUAUGGAUUAUUAAGUGCUUUGCUUAUAGUUACAGCUGUCCGGGUUUUAAACUUUUCCAUGUACGCAGGUUUUAAGUUUGUUACGUUUAUUUCCAUAACUUUAAUAUGGUUAUUGGUGCAUUUGUGUAAUAUCUCCUAUCUCAUAUGCAUGUUAGGUGUCCUGUGUAUCCAUCUUGUGUGUACACAGCAAUCCAUCUUUAUUUCCUGUACCGAAUGUACGGGACUCGGGAAUGAAGCUGGUCAUGCUUCAAAGUGUAGAAGCCAUCAACCUUAACAUCAUUUUUCAUAUAAACUUUUACUGUAUUUCAUUUGUUAGCUACCUUAUGUUAACACCUAUCCUAUUACUAUGCUGUCUUAUGGUUGCAUGUAUUUGACGGAAAUAUAAGAUCGAGAUUGGAAAGAUAUUGCACUUAUAUAGAAAAUGUCUAUCCGCUUGCAUGCAUGGAAAUUAUUGGAUGUAAUCCAUAUGCACUAUGAGUCUAGAAACCAAAUCUGCAGCAUUCAUUACUGUUUUCAGUUUAUUUUUGAAAAACUAUUAUCGAUUGAUAUUGCAUUUCCCUGUGGAUGCAGGUUGGCUAUUUUCUGGAGCUCUAGCAACAGUAUGUCUCCGCAAAGUAACGAGUCUCUCUCUCUCUCUCUCUCUCUCUAUUGAUUACUAAUUGUCAGUGUUUUGUUUCGGUUGCACUCUUUAUUUGUCUCCUCAUAAUAUUUCCUUUCAUGCACGAACUGCAGCACGUGUUGACUGUUUCCAAAAUUUCAUAUUCAACUUUCAUGCUACAUUUUGACCCCCCAUAAACUACAGCUAGCAUGUAUUUUUGAUUAUGCCUACCACAUUAAUUGUCCUUACACGAAAAUGAGUAUUUAACAAUUACUGUGGUUUCAUCUCCGAGGCUAUCAAGAACUUGCCUAUUAGUUUGUCAAUAAAGCAUGAGUUGUUUCUUGAACAUAAACGAUACCGUCAAUCAUAUGUGAAUCUUAUUUGUAUCUACUCAUAUCAGCUUGUGCUUGGGAUAACACUGGUCUUGACAUCAUACUUAAGGGUUAUCUCAAUUGAUGGAUAACGACAUCCACGUUUAGGGCGGACAAUUAGACGAUGAGACAGACGAUCUUGAUCUCGACAGCAUACUCAUGGUGGUUAUUGUCAUGGGAAUGAUUUUCUUUGACCCCCAGAUUGAAUCAUAUUCCAAGAAGGAGAAGAAUCCGAGAUAGUGCACUUUCUGGCAGGGAUUAUGUACUUGAGAUGCUAAACGGCCAUCCGGAUCGAAUUAUCGAGAAUAUGCGCCUCUUUGUGCCUCUGUUCCUACACUUGUGCGACAUCUUGGUUGACCGGGGGUACUGGCACGCCUAUCCUUCUCAGAGGGUUGGGGUUCAUGAAUCCGUUGCCCUAACUCUAAUGUGCUUGAGCCAUGAUGAGGGUCAUUGGUUUUAGUCGAGCGUUUCCAACAUUUAACGGAGACAAUUGAUCGGCAUGUAAGAAGAGUUCUGCGAGCAUUAGUGAGACUCGGUCGUGAUUUUGUUAGGCCGAGGAAUGUUGGUGAGACACACCUCACAAUUUUGAACAAUGAACUGUUUUACCCGUGGUUCAAGGUAAAUACACAAACACCCAAUUCUUGGUAGGACUAUGCCGUUCGUAUAUCUGAUUUCCAGUAAUUUGGCAUGAUAAUUUUUUCAUAUAUAUGAAUAGCACAUUGCAUUCCUGCUAAAACAUCCAUAUGAAUAGUUUAUUAGCUAAUGUUGCCGUGACUUUGAAUAAUUUACCUCAAAAUUCAUAGGAUAACGUUGAUGCCUUAGAUGGAACCCACAUAUCAGCUUGGUGUCGAACAGAGAUAAGCAAGCGGUACAGAAAUAGGCACGGUGGGCUAUCUCAAAAUGUGCUUGCAGCUUGUGAUCAUGACAUGCGAUUUGUCUACGUUCAAGUCGGUUGGGAGGGCAGUGCACACGAUGCCAAAAUUCUUCAGGAAACACUGGACCAUCCAAAUUCAGGAUUUCCAUUGCCACCUCUAGGUAUGCAAUUUUUUUAUAUUCGGUCUAUUAGAAAACAAGUGAUUUUCAUUUGUGACAUUAGUAAAUAAUUAACAGACUUUUUAGUAUUGCUUCAAGGUUUGUUUAUUUAAAAAGUUUGAAAUACGCUGACAUGGAUUUGGGGCUCUCACAUGUUAGAAAAAUAUUAUAUGGUGGAUGCCGCCUACACUAACAUGUCUGGGUUCAUGGCAUCGUUUAGGGCAGCGAGAGGCAUGCAGCAUGAGCGCGCCACUAAAGCUUUAUUCAACCGGCGACACGCUUUUGCUAGAAAUAUUAUUGAAUCGAGUUUUGGGGUUCUUAAGAAAUGGUUUCCGAUACUAAAGAGUCCAAUGCAGAACUACCUCAUAGCAACUCAAAACAAUAUCGUGCUUGCAUGUUGUACUCUACACAAUUUCAUGAGAGAUUAUGUGCCUAAAGAUGAGUACUUCGGUGAAGAAGCUGCCCUCGGAGCCCAACUAGAUGCCCAGGAAGGAGGGAAUGAAAUCCAUAAAGUCCAACCCAUCGAUAUGUCGCAACAGGGUAUACAGAAUUGGAACGACGAUCGGCGGGCAAUAGCAGUUCAUAUGUAUGUGAAUCAACAGAACGCUUAAAGAAGCUCAAGACUAGCGUGUAGUACUACUAAGUAGAAACUUUGCUUGCUUCCUACAAUUUGACAACCAAAUAACUUGUCAUGUUAUCUGAUUUGUAUUUACAAAGGUUAACCUUUGGGGAGGUACUAAUCGGAUGGCCUAGUUCCACCUGUGGCACCUGUCAUCAAGUCUGAAUUUAAUAUGAAACUUUUUAUGCGCCUAUACUGUGUCUUAUUCAAUAACUUGUAGUUAUAGAUGGCGUUGAGACCAGAAUUGGUUGUAUCUUGUGUAUCCAUAUUUAUUCCAGCUGAGGUGCAAAUCAAUGGUUCGAAUAUAUGCAAUAGCUUUCCAGUCGAUCCCAAAUUAUUUCAACAAGUUGAUCCCAAAUUAUUUUCAUCCCAACUUCUUUCGGGAAGGAGAGCAUAUGGAAUGUAGAUGGUGAGAUUUUACAAGGGCAUCAACUUUCUGCUCAAGUAUAUCGAGGCCUUGGUAGUUUAUUUGCUACCGGCCCUGAAGUCUAGUCAAAUGGCACAUAAAUGAGCCAUUAUGUAGUGUAUUUAUUUGUAAUGAGUUACAAUGUAUUAAAUUCUUUGUUGUAAAAUUUUGUAGCAUAACUUCCUCAACGGUUCUAAUUUUGUUCCCCUGUUUGUGAUGCUUCUACUCAUAAUUUAUGAAAUCAUUGCUAUUCUAAGCCAAUUGUUACCGCACUUGGCUCGUACAUUCUUAUGAGACUGUUAGCUUGUUAGGACAUAGCAAGGUCCUCAAUAUUUUCCUUUUUCUAGGUCACCUGCACACGUGGAGUUCAGGGGGGGUCGGGAAUGAUGUUGUAGUUUUAGUACCUCGAUACAAAGUAGUUUACCAGUUACAGUUGUCAUAGCAGGUUUGUCUCAUUUCAUGGUAGUUUCUUAAGUAUUAUGAGAACUUGUUUAUGCUACAUUUUGACCCGAAUUCUUAUUCAAGUUUGAUGAGACAUUGAAGUAAAAAAAAAAAAAAAAGGUGUUUUUGAAAUACAGGUCAAUCCAAAUGCAGAUUUUUUCAAAUACAUGGAGUUUUUCAAUCCAAGUGCCUAUAGCUAUUUUUCAAAAACUGUUACAGUGGAGUUUUUGAAAUACACCUCCAAAAACAGGGGAUCCAAACGCAGCAAUAUAUAUUUUAAUGUCCAUCAUGAAUUAACAAUACUGAUUACAAUUUCUCAACAGAAUACUCGUGCACGAAGUUUGCACUAUUUUCAGAAUACAGGAAUUAUUUUGAUUGUCACCACUUCUAAAAAGCAAAAUGCUAUAGCUUCUGGAAAGAAAGAUAUUUUUUAUACUUAAUCAAAAGAUUGAAUUAGAGAUGCUAUACUUUUCAAUUUUCACUGACGAAAACUGAGCUUUAAUUUUGAAGUAAAAUUUGUUUUCAUACAUAAUUCAAUGAGAUUCAUACUUUAAUUGGAGGAAGCUGGCAUAAUUAUGCUGGAAAUGGGAUAUGAUAUUGAAAUGAAUAAAAGGGCAAAUUUGAUUGCUGGCUAUAUUUUUCACGAGCAGGAUAUUCUAAGUAUUAACAUGAAAAUUACACUGCCUAUAAUCAAUAGUUUCAUUCAAGAUAAUGAAAAAGUUAUAUUUGAUGAAAAAGAAGAACCUACUUUUGAGGCAUUGUCUGAAUUGAUUGAAUUUUGAUUGAUUUAGUGGAAACACAGUUCCCUGGUUUGCCAAAGUCUUAUGCGUUGCAAUAAAUUUUGUCAAGCAAAUUACUUUUUUUUUCUUUAGUAUAAGUAGGAGGUUUCGAACCCAUAACCUCUCACUUACACUUCUUACCCUCGUAUCACCAAUCCAAUCAUGCUUCUUUGUCAAGCAAGUUACUUACCAUUGAAAGAACUCAUCAAUCUCGUAAUUCUAAUGAAGCUGAAACUUCCUCUUGUAGUGAAGUUUCAAGAUGAAAAUGUUGUUACAUUGAAGAGAUUCAUCAAUCUUACUAAAACCUCACAGUUUAAUUUUUUUUCUUUUUGACUAAAAUCCCAGAGUUGAAAAGUCAAUUAGAAAUGAAACCUACUACUGCUAAUUCACAAGAACAAGAUCAAAGCUCUUUGGAAGCUUUUGAGUUUGAUCAGAGUCUUAAUCCUAAUGAAUGUUUUGAUAGCUUCUAUGAUGAAACAGGCCUUAAUCAGUUGACAAGGAAUAGUUCUAAGGAGCCAAAAGAUGCAAUGAUUUUAAGCUUUUCAGAACUAGUAGUAAGUCUGGUGCUGAUAAGAAUCCUUACCCAACUGGUACUAGAUAGACGGUAGAACUCUAGUUGCUAAUUACAUAUAAGAUUCUAUCUGAUGUAGGUCCCUAUUUCUAGUGUAACUCUCCCGUCUCUGUGCUGCUAUACAUGUAUAUAUUGGGUUACAAUGAAUGUGACAGACACUGAAAGAUUGCUCCAGUAAACACCUCUCUGUUUUAACUUCUUUAUGGUAUCAGAGCCCAUACCAGGCUCUUUAAACAUUCGGUCACACCCCUCCAUCUCCAGCAAUUUCUUCCUCUUUUCUAUAGUUCUAUGGCUGCGGAAAAUACUCAAGUUGUCAUCCCAAAUACUCAGGAACCCACUAAUUCCUUAACCAUGAUCACCAUCCACAACUCAAUCAAACUUACCCCCACCAACUAUCUGUCAUGGAAAACACAAAUGGAAGCAAUUCUCAUUGGAUAUGAUCUCCAGAAAUUCAUUGAUGGCUCUUAUCCUCCCCUUCCUCCCACCAUCAACACUAAUGAUACAGUUGCAUCCAAUCUUGCAUACCAAACUUGGUUACGUUAAGAUAAGCUAUUGUUAGGUACUCUCGUAGGCACCCUUUCACCCUCCCUUGUCCCUCUUAUCACUCGAUCCCAAUCCUCUCUUGAAUCCUGGCAAACUCUAGCUAAUACAUAUGCUCGCUCAUCCCACGGCCACAUCAAGCAACUCAGAGACAAACUGAAACACAUCACCAAAGACACUCAGUCCAUCACAGAAAUAUACAAUCCAUCAAAAUCCAAGCUGAUGAAUUUGCUGCACUUGGGAAGCCACUUGAUCAUGAAGAUUUGGUAGAAAAAAUGCUGGAUGGCCUUGAUGAAACCUAUCAGUCCAUUAUUGAUGCUGUCAAUGGUCGAAACUCCACCAUCUCAUUCGAUGAACUUCAUGAAAAACUCUUAAACAAGGAACUGUCUUUACGUAAUCAGUCAAGCUCAUCGUUCCUACCGGCAUCCGCUCAUGCUACCGCUGUUCGUUCCACUCCGUGGUAUGGAAACAAACGACCUCCCUGGUCUAUUCACAAUAAGUCUUCUAACCUACCUACACCAACGCCUGCCCAGUCUCAAGGCUCGCCAAACUCUCGAACCAACCGUGCUGCUCGUCCAUUCCUUGAUCGAUGCCAGUGGUGCAGCACUUAAGGCCAUGUUGUCUUCCGCUGCCCCCUAUUUCGCCAACAAUUCCCUCAUGCGCAACUACCCUCUCGUCACAAUACUGCAUCCUCCCCUGUCGCAUCUCCUCCUUGGCAGGCACAAGCUUAUGUAGCAACUCAUCCCACAUCAGAUACUCCCAACACACCUUGGCUCCUUGACAGUGGGGCUACUCAUCAUGUCACCACUGACCUCCGCAACCUCUCCCUCCAUAGUCCUUAUCAUGGAACGGAUGAAAUCAUGAUUGGAGAUGGCUCUGGUCUUCCCAUAUCCUAUACGGGUUUCAUUUCUUUCAAUACUCCUUUCUUCUCCUUUACUCUUUCUAAUGUCCUCCGUGUUCCAACCAUGAAACGCAACUUAAUUUCUAUUUCUCAAUUCUGCAAAUCUAACAACACUUCCAUUGAAUUCUUACCCUCUUCCUUUUAUGUGAAGAAUCUCCGCACGGGGCACUCCUUUUGGAAAGUCAGACCAAGAAUGGGGUCUAUGAAUGGCCGACCUCUCAUUCGAAGUCACCGUUGCUUGCCUUUUCUAGUGUCAAGGCUCCUUUGCCUACUUGGUAUCAUCGGCUCGGGCAUCCCUCUAUGUCCACAUUCAAGUAUAUUUUAUCAACGUCUACUUUGGAUGCCUCCUCUCCACCUGAUCUCCAUUUUAAUUGUAAUUUCUGUCAGUGCAAUAAGAGUCAUAAAUUACCACUCUCUUCCUCUUCUCUCUCUACUUCCUCCCCUCUAGAGGUUGUCUUCACUGACGUCUGGACAUCAGCCAUUAUUUCUGUCAAUAACUGUAAAUAUUACAUUAUCUUUGUUGAUCAUUUCACCAAAUAUAUUUGGUUAUAUCCCCUCAAACGUAAAUCUAACACAUGUGAUGUCUUCAUCAAAUUUAAGGCUCUUGUUGAAAAAUUCUUAACUCGCCUAAUCAUCACCUUUUACUCCGAUAAUGGGGGGGAUAUCAAGCUCUUUCUUCCUUUUUAACCAUUAAUGAGGUCUCUCAUCUUACAACUCCGCCUCACACACCUGAACACAAUGGGUAUUCCAAACGCUGUCAUCGUCACAUUGUCGAAACUGGUCUCUCUCUGCUCUCUCAUGCUUCCAUGCCUAUUUUAUAUUGGCCCUUUGCCUUCUCCACCGCCGUCUAUCUCAUCAACUGCCUUCCUACACUUACUUUACAACACGUCUCCCUAUUUUUUAAACUCUUUGGUACUCCUCCGAACUACAAUAAACUUCGCAGCUUUGGAUGCCUUUGCUAUCAUUGGUUUCGCCCGUAUACAUCCCAUAAACUUGCGCCAUCACGUUCUGUACCGUGUGUCUUUGUUGGGUACUCUCCCACUCAAAGUGCCUACUUUGCCUUGACACAUCCACCCAUCGUUUCUAUACUACUCGUCAUGUGCGUUUUGUCGAAACCAUUUUUCCAUUUGCAUCAUCUUAUACUUCCAUAUCUCGUGGCUCUUCGUCAGCCAUAUCCGAGUAGUGCUCUAUCACGCUACCCGUUGGCUCUUUUGGUCCCUCCUCCUUCUCAUCUCCUUCCACGACCCCCCACCAACCUUCAGGACCGAAUCUUCAGCCUCACACUUCUGCCAUCCCGCUGUCCACCCCGACAUUUGCCCCUUUUUCAACUAAGCACCGCCCCUCCUACACUACCCAUGUCCUCUUCGGCAGCUCCCCAACCGAACUUUCCCCGUGUCAUCAUUACUCGUUCCAAACAUAACAUUCGUAAACCAAUUCAAAAACUUAAUCUCUCGGUUGAGCUCCAACCCACCACUAUCACCCAGGCUUUGAAGGACCCCAAGUGACGACAGGCUAUGUCUGAAAAGUUUGAUGCUCUCCUUCGGAAUGGAACCUGGCAACUCGUCCCUUCCCAUCCUGAUUAUAAUGUGGUUGGUUGCAAAUGGGUCUUUCACACUAAAAAUAAGCCUGAUGGUUCGGUGGACAGGCACAAGGCUCGAUUGGUCGCCAAAGGUUUUCACCAACGUCCGGGUGUUGACUACUCCGAAACCUUCAGUCCUAUCAUUAACCCAACAACUGUUCGUCUAGUCCUUAGUCUUGUAGUAAGUCGAGAUUGGUUACUCAAACAACUUGAUGUUAACAAUGCCUUCAUUCAAGGCAGUCUCACUGAGGACGUGUUCAUGUCCCAACCUCCAGGCUUCAUUGAUCGUGAUCAACCUCAUUACGUUUGCAAGCUACGCAAGGCCAUUUAUGGUCUCAAACAGGCACCCCGUGCCUGGUAUCAUGAGCUGUGCACCUUUCUUCUGUCCUCUGGCUUUAUUAACUCUGCAGUCGACCCCUCAUUGUUCAUCUUCUCCAGUCACGGUGCUGUCCUCUAUCUCUUGAUUUAUGUUGACGACAUCAUUAUCACCGGCGACAACUCUCAGGCUGUGCAAACCUUCAUUCAGCAACUGUCUCACCGUUUCUCCCUCAAGGACCUUGGUCCCUUGUCAUACUUCCUUAGGGUUGAAGUUCUCUCUCACUCAGGUGGUCUCUUCCUCAGCCAACGCAAAUACAUUGUUGAUCUCCUUUAUCGCACCAAGAUGACUGAAGCAAAGCCUGCCUCUACCUCUUUGGCAACGCAUCCGCUUCUCACUCUACACUCUAGAACCACUCUAUCUGAUCCCACUGAGUAUCGCAAGGUCGUUGGUAGUCUUCAGUAUCUCUCCCUCACUCGUCCUAACAUUGCUUAUACUGUGAACAAGCUCUCUCAAUUUUUGCACCGCCCGACAACUGCUCAUUGGACUGCUCUCAAACGUCUUCUUCGGUAUUUAUGUGGCACCUUGGACCAUGGCAUCACCCUUUGUCGCGCCUCCCCUCUAGCAUUACAUGGCUUCUCUGAUGCUGACUGGACGGGUAACAAAGAUGACUUCACCUCUACCAGUGCCUACAUCAUUUAUCUUGGUCAUAAUCCUAUCUCUUGGAGUUCCAAGAGACAACGAACUAUGGCUCGGUCCUCCACUGAGGCGAAAUACAGGUCAGUAGCCUCCACUACUGCCGAACUUUGUUGGAUUUGCUCUCUUCUCAGCUAGUUCGGUGUCACUCUUCCGCAUAACCAAUCAUCUAUUGUGAUAAUAUUGGUGCCACAACUCUAUGCUCCAAUCCGAUUUUUCACUCGCGCAUGAAACAUGUGGCCAUUGAUUAUCAUUUCAUUCGAGACCAAGUUCAAAAUCAAAAUGGUCUGCUAUGUGUGUCCCACGUCUCUGCCUCUGAUCAACUCACUGAUGUUCUCACCAAACCUCUUGCUCGCUCUCUCUUUGAUUCCAUGAAGCUCAAGAUAGGACUUACUUCACCGCCGUCCAUCUUGCGGGGGCAUGAUAAGAAUUCUCACCCAACUGGUACUAGAUAGACGGUAGAACUCUAGUUGCUAAUUACAUAUAGGAUUCUGUCUGAUGUAGGUCCCUAUUUCUAGUGUAACUCUCCCGUUUCUGUGCUGCUAUACAUGUAUAUAUUGGGUUACAAUGAAUGUGACAGACACUGAAAGAUUGCUCUAGUAAACACCUCUCUGUUUUAACUUCUUCAGGUGCAACUAGUGGAAGAUAUAGAUAAAAAUGGGAUAAGAAGAAAAUAAGAAGAUUCAAUAUUUUUGUUCAACUUAAACAUUUGAGAUCAUAAGAAUGAAAGUAAGAACAAAUGGUACAAAAUAUCAUCAAACUAUUAUGCCAGACUGCUUUUGGUCACUCAACUUUUUUUGGCAGCUAACUAUGUCAUUUGCCUUUGUAAAACGUAGCAUUUUGGUCAUUCUUUUAAAUUUAGACAUUAAUGGCUCACAGAAACUGAUACACAUCAGUUGCAUGAGUGUUAUUGAAGGGUAGAGAGGUCUAGAAAUUCUUUGAGGGACAAUUUGAAACUUUGGUAGAGACUUUGUGUUUUUUAAGAUUUUUCUUGAUCCCCAGAGAGAAAGCUAUGCCUCAAGAAGGAAGAUAAUGAAGACAAUUUGUGCAAUUACGUGACCUUCCAGCAGUCUUAACACUUAAAUCUAACAGAAUGACUAGAUAAUUACACUUUAAAGAGUUGAGUGACAUUUUCGAUUAGAAAAUAUUGGGGAUAAUAUAGGAGAAAAUGGCUAAAAGUUACAAAGCAAAUGAUAAAAAAAAAUACAAAUCGUGACUCAAGAUCACUUUCCUUUUAGUUUUAUUUGUCUAGAAUUUUGUGUACAAAAACUUUGGACAAAUAUCCUUUGGGAUAAUUUGAAGGGUAUUUGUCUUAAUUCUUGCACAAAAUUAGACAAAUCUACUUGAAUUAUGAUGUGUUUUUGCAGAGAAUUCUAGUAGUAAAAAAUGAUCCUCUGCAGCAAAUCAUUUCUACUAGACCUUUAUAGAGUUGAAAUUGAAAAUGAUCAAGAGUUGCAAUCUUUCACCAUUGAUUUGUGUAUUUGUGUUGGUCAAAAGAUUUCUCAACAUCAAUGUAAGUGGUCAGAUAGUUUUUCAAUAUUUAAACACCAUUUAGAUGGUAAUUAACUGUCAAAAAUAUGAAAAGAUGCCAAGUAGAUUUGAAUAACUUCUGAGCAUUGUAGGAACUAGACAGUGAUGGGUCUUAUGUCGGAUCCUAAGACAGACCCCCCGUCUUGCAACCAAUCAAAUUUUGAAAAUAUUCAACAAUCCCCUGCCAUUUUCAACAUUUAGAAAAUAGACUUCCAAAAGUCACAGCAUAAUCUGACAAUCAUACGCAUAAAUAAUGGUGUUUUUCAAUUGAACCACUAUCUUAGUGAAGAUUCUUUAAAAUUAAUCAAUACAAAAUGGUAGACCAACUUAAACUACUUAUACAUUAGACUAGUCUAAUAAAUACAUCAUACAUAGAUCAGUACACAACUAUAUGUUCUCUGAUGAUUUAUUUUACGGGUUUGUAUCACUAUUCUUUCAUGAAUAUUUCAAAGUAAAGUUCUUAACUUUGUUGUUUGCCAAACUUACAUUCGUAUAGGCGACAUCUUAGUACCCCCACCAUUAAUGGUACUUUCAAAAUUCGUUAAGAGUCAAUAACUCAAUUUAACUAUAAUAAGGUGACAAUAAAACAUACUAUUUUACCUUGGGAUGAAAAACAAUAUAAUGCACCAACCAUUAGAAUCAUAUACUUUCACUUAUUGAAUUCAAGACUAGAUGCUAUAUCUAGUGUUGAAUUGAGGUUCCACUAUUAAUGGUCAUUAAGGUUGGAUUUUAAACUCAUCCCUCUUGAUGUUUUUAACACUAAGUUUUUUAAUAAUCCUUUCGUUAAAGGAUCACUCAAGUUUUUAUUAGACCUCACAAGAUCAAUUGAUUUGAUUCCAUUUGAAAUCAAAUCUUUCACAUAACUAUGUCUCCAACCAAUAUAUUUUGAUUUGCCAUUAUACACUUGACUAUAUGUCUUAACAAGUAUAGCUACACUAUCGCAAUGUAUUGAGAUAGGCGACAAUGAUCUUGGCCACAAUUGUAUACCAUAAAGUAAAUUUCAUAGCCAUUCAACUUUUUUACAAACUGAAGCAAAUACUACUAACUCAGUUAUCAUUGUUGAAUCAAUGAUACAUGUUUGUUUCUUAAAAUCCCAAGAAACCGCACCACCACCUAACAUAAAGAUCCAAUCACUCGUUGACAAGUGAUCAUCUUUAUUAGUGAUCCAACUAGCAUCUAACAAACCUUUUAAAAUUGAAGGAUAACCGGUAUAACAUAUACCAUAGUCUUUAAUGGCUUUCAAGUACUUCAAAAUUCUGAUUACACUUGUCAAUGUAACCUACUAGAAUUGCUUGUAUAUCUAUUCAAUAUACCAACAACAUACACAAUAUCCAAUCUAGUACAUGUCAUUGCAAACAUUAAGUAUCCUAUAAAUUUGGCAUAUUCUAAUUGAGAAAUUGAAUUUCUUUCAUUUUUUUUACAUAACUUAUUUUGAGAUCCAAUGAUGUUAAAACUGGCACACAAUCACUUUGAUUAUUGGCUUCUCUUGCUACCUUGGAACAUGCUAAAUUGUCUCUCUUCAAUCACAUGCACUUUUGUAGUAGAGUUUUUAUACUCUUCAAGGAUUUGAUUAUCCUUCUUUUUUUACAUGCGAAUUUCCUCUUUUAGAUGAAGGGAUUUAGCAAGAGUCUCAAGAAAAGAUUUCCUCAUUCUUUUAUUUGAGAUCUCUCUUAAAAUCUUUUCAAGAAGAUAGUAAUUUAUCUAUAAUGGAACACUCAAUAAUGGCUUCAUCUAUGUAUAAGUUGUGUUCAUUAUAAUGGUUAAGAAACCUUUCAAGUUUAGCAAAUUGUUCCAUAACAUGUUUAUGAUCUACCAUUUUGUAAUUAUUAAAAGAUGAAACAAUGAACUUCUUACUUGUUGCCUCCUCACACAUGUUUUUUGCCUCUAAUUGGUCCCAAAAUUCCUUUGCAAUUGCAAUGGUGUGGUAGACAUCAAAUAGUUUGUCACUCUUGGCAUUGAGAAUAUGUCCAUGACAAAUCUCAUCAUCAUUCUCUCAUUUUUGACGCUUUCAAAUGUCAUCAAGAGUCUCUUCAUUAGGAUUGAUAAUGAGUGGCUUUGGAGUGGUUAACAUAGAGACCACUUGCAGGGAUAUGAGAAGGAAAUGAACUCAUUUUUACCACCUUAUAAAGUUUCCUCCAUCAAAUCGAUCAAAUUUCACAAUGUUGGUUGCUAAUUCCUUCAAUGAAGUUGCCAUUGUUACGUAGGAAGAAUAAAGGCUAAAGAUUGUUGGGGAUAAUAUAGGAGAAAACGAUUAAAAGUUACAAAACAAAUGAUACAAAAAAACUUCAAAUCAUGACUCAAUAUCACUUUCCUUUAGUCUUUAUUUCUCUAGAAUUUUGUGUGCAAAAACUUUGGGUAAAUAUCCUUUAGAAUAAUUUGAAGGGUGUUUGUUUUAACUUUUGCACAAAAUUAGACAAACCUAUUUGAACUAUGAUGUGUUUUUGCAGAGAAUUCUAAUAGUAGGAAAAUAAUCUUCUACAACAAAUCAUCCCUACUAGACUUUUAUAGAGUUGAGAUUGAAAAUUAUCAAGAGUUGCAACCUUUUACCACUGAUUUGUAUAUUUGUGUUGGUCAAAAGGUUUCUCAACAUCAAUACAAGUGUUCAGACAGUUUUUGGAUGUUUAAACACUAUUUAGAUCAUAAUUAAUUAUCAAAAACAUGAAAAGGUGCCAAGUAGAUUUGAAUAACUUUUCAGUAUUGCAAAAACCAGACAAUGAUGGAUCUUAUGUCGGAUCCUAAGAUGGGCCCCGUCUUGCAACUGGUCAAAUUUUGAAAAUAUUCAUUAGGAAAAAAGUAUACAUUUUAAAGAGUUGAGUGAUAUUUUCAGCUAGAAAAAAGUAUAGUAACAAAAGCAAUUCAGUUAAUAAUUUGAUCACAUUUUGCACUACUUGCUCUAAAAGUAAUAUCAUGCAAUUUUGGAUGAGGACUAGAAGAUUAUUGAUCACAAGUAUGCUACAAAUACAGAUACAAUUGCUAAGGACACACCAUUAAGCAGGUCGUAAACAAAAUAAUAUAUAAACAAUUUUCUGUUGUGUUGAUUCAAUGCAUAAAAAGGGCAUAAGGACAAAAUUAUAUAAACUUCCCCUCUUUCGCUUUCACGUAAUCAAAUAAUGAAUAUAUUAACUCAUUAAUGUAUAAGAAGAUUUGAAGAACAAAUUUCAAAAUCCAAAUUCUAAAAUCUAAUAUAUAUAUAUAUAGUGAAUUCCCAUAUCUCCAAAGCAUAUAGAUUAGGUAAAUCCAUCCCAUUGUAGUACUUUCUUACCAUCAUAUUAUCCACGCCACAUGCACGCACUUCGCUCGAUAGUUUUUUCAGCAAAUUGCUUAGAUAAUUAUAAUUGGACACCAUCCCUCCAAUUGGGAUACAAAUGGUAUGUGCUGGGGAAUCUGCUUGUGAUCUAGUUACUCAUUGUUUCUUUUUGUUAUUAUAGAUUGCCAUUCCUUUGUUUAUUCUCUUAAAACAUUUUUUUUAACUUGCCUACAUGCACGCACUCGCUCGAUAAUUUUUUUCAGAAAAUUGCUUAGAUAAUUAUAAUUGGACACCAUUCCUCCAAUUGGGAUCCAAGUGGUAUGCGCUGGGGAAUCUGCUUUUGAUCUAGUUACUCAUUGUUUUUUUUUUGUUCUUAUAGAUUGCCAUUCCUUUGUUUAUUCUCUUAAAACAUUUUUUUUAACUUGCGUGCUUUUUGAAUGGCCUUGACCUCUGUAUCUGCCCGCCUUUUCUUGUAUAGACUUCGUUUGAUAUCUGGCUACUAUUUACUAGAGAAGAAUAUCUCAGAAUCCAUUUUGUGUUAUUUCACGAUUGAGCAUGGCCUUAUACGUAGUACAUAGUGUCAUGUCCAGCUAGACAUAAUCCUUCAGCAAACAAUUGUAAUAACGAAUACGAACUCAAGUCACUGAGUCAAUAGACACAUGUCAUAACCCCUUUACCACCCCCCUCAAAAAAAAAAAAACAAAGGGUUUGGCAAGCUGCUAAAGAUUAAGGCUAGGAUAAACAUCAGAACCCAAAAAAAAAAAAAAAACAAGAAGAAGAAGAAAGGUCUUGGCAAGCUUUUAGAGACAAGGCUAGGAUGAGCAUGAGAUCAAACAAAUUGUCUUCACAUGUUACUUACCUUAAAUUAGGAUAGAAACGUAAAGGGUGUUAAUAGGGGCCAAUUUGAUUAAUUAGGCCCUUUGAUCAUAUGACCAAUGUCAAAUAGCAGUUGAGAUUCAUUGAAACAUUCAAAUGUGAUCUCUUUUCCUGUUGGCAUUUAAGUUCAUAGUCAAGAAUCAUUUACGUUUUCUUUUUUAACCCCCAAAAAAUAUGAUUAAUUUAGUGUGGUGAUAUUGAUGGACCUAUUUUUUUUCUAAUCUUUUGUAGCUAUGAAUAAGUGCAAGUUUGAUUUUCUAAUUUCUUCAUAAGUUAGUCAUGGAAAUUACACCAAAGCUUCAUUCAGUAAAAACAGAUCCAAAAGUUUUAGAAAUACUAGAACAACUAGUUUUGUACCUUUUCUUGCAUUUUUGUUUACUUCUAUUUCCAGCAUUUCUUUUGCGAUUUUUGUUAUUUUUCAACUCUAAAUGUUAUACUCAUUAAUCACAAUGAAAUAAUGAGUAAAGUAGAAUUUCUCAAAUAAAACUUUGUUUAGAGAAGCCAUGUCUACAUAAGUUUUGAAACAAUAAAUUAUCUAUUGGUUCAAGAGCAGGUGACUAAACUUUUCCAAAAUCCUAUCUAGCUAAUUAUACUAUUUUUUAUGUCAAUUGACUUAUUUAACUCCUAAAGAGAUUAAUUAGGCCACCCCGUCUUGUUUAGUUACAAUAGAGUAAAUUCAUGGUAUGUAAGUCGCAUAUUAAAUUUGUCAAGGCAUUUUUGUCACUUCAUAGACAAAAAAAUAGUAAAAUUUUAGUGAUUGUUGCAUGGAGUUUUGCUCCCAUGCCUUGUACCUAUGGUUCCCUUUAAUGUUGCUGUGAUUUAUCUAGUCGUGUGCCCAUCCUUGUUCUUUUACUUCUUUUGCCUAUCGUUUGAUAUAAUAUUAUCUUCUUUUCACUACGUGAUUUUCUAUGCUAACAAGUGGUAUCAAAGUUUUAGGUUAAAGAGUUUGAUUCUAGGGUGUUUGUUGUGCCUAAAGGGUGUGCAAAUUUUGUGAUAGAAGGGCUCCUGCCAUAGAAAGAUAUACAAGUUGUGGUAGAGUACUAAUAUAUUGAAAAAUUGGAUCACGAGAAUUGGUCUUGGUGUACUCGUUUAUUGAUUGAUAAUUAAGGAAAAGGUAACCACAAGUGGAAAGAAGUCUUAAAAGAGGAGUCAGUUGAGAUUGUUGGUGUUGUGCAGUGAUCAAGGAAAAAAAUCAUGCUAAACUACCAUGGAGUUUGAUCAACCCUGAAGUUAAGGAGUCCAAGAAAUUCAAACAGGAAAGCAAAAUUGCUUAUCAAAGUACUUAAAUUACUUUCAAUUGCCAUGGAUAGGGAAUUUGUCAAUGGUGAAAAAGUUAAAAUUUUGCACACACUGAGUAUGUAUGAUAAUAGAUUAGAAUGGGAAGCAAUAAAAGAAAUAUCUCAAAAGAUGUAACUUGAAUGAAAUUAUCAAAAUAAAUUCUUUCUAUGGUUUGUCAAAACCAUAGUUAUUAAACCCAACCCGGGAAGGAACCUGGCGAAGGAGGUGGGUCAACGGGUUACUGGUUUAACCGGUGGGUGAGUGGUUGAACCGGUGGGUCACUACAUAUAUUUAAAUAUUAUAUUUCAUAAUUAUUUAUAUAAGAUAUAUGAUAUAAAUUGUAAUAAAUAAUGCCAUAACAAAAGCUCAUUUAAUUUAAUUUGUUAUAAAAUAAUUAAUUCAUAUAAGAAUCAAUCAAAUAUAAAGUUAUUUAUUAAUAUACCAAACUUCAAGUGUAAAAUUUUAUCUAUAUUUAGUGUAAUUAUCUAGCUUAUUUAUGAAUUUUAAGUGUAAAAAUUUAUUAAAAAUAAUAUUUGUCUUUAAAUGAAUUGUGUAAUAUGUUAUUUUUGGAAUCCAUUUUAUAACUUAUAGAGUUUGGAGGGUAAUAAAUUUUUAUUAAAAGAUUCCAAAUAAUUUGUUUUAGAGAAAAAAAGAUAGAAUUGAAAAAAUAUUUAUAUAUCAUAAUAAAGCUACUAUAUCAACAUAUAUGGAAGUAGUUUGGUGGUAAGCAGGCGGUUGUGUUAGGGCAGAGGUCCGAAGUUCGAGUUCCACCAAUAGCAAUAUAAUUUUUCCACAAAAUCCGAUUAGUGACAAAAUCGGCCAAAACCGGCCGGGUUUCCGGUUUAACCCGGUUCGACCGCCGGAUCGUUGACUAAGUCAACGGUCUCUUUGCACAAAUGAUCUGAUUCCAAACCCGGCCCCGGUCCAAUGACCGGUCCACCGGUUUGACCGGUUCGACCGCCGGGCCGGGCCGGGCCGGGUUUAAUAACUAUGGUCAAAACUUGAAUGAAAAUUAGCAAAAGAAGACUAAAUUACUUUUCAAGAUUAUGCAAAAAUCCAUAGUCGAGGAAAAUUAUGUGAGAGCCUUUUAUUGAUUCUCAAUCACUUGAGUGAUAUGGUCAAAUCUUUGCUAUAGUUUGAUGGAGCUUGAUUGUAAAUCUGAUCGUAAGUCAAAGUUUGGUUUGACAUAGGAACUUAAUUUAGAAGACAAUAUGUUUAUUGAUGUGGGAGAGAUUUUGAAAUUUUGAUAUGGUUGAAAAUUAUGAUUUGCACACAUUAUUUGGGAUGAUUGAUGAAGAAGAAUUUGUCAGUGAAUGCAUUAAUUUGGUUGUGGAUGAAUCUAUUGACAAGUAUGAAAUUAGAAAUUUUUAGUGUGAAAUUUAUUUACAAAAGGAAAGGCAUGAAUUAUUAUUUGAAAACUAUGUGGAUAAUUAUCAUGGAUAUGGAGGCUCUAACGGUAAAUGGGUCAACAUGGACGAAUUUUUUGAUCAAGCAAGAUUAGGUGUUGAAUUAUGUGCAAAGUACAAGCAUGUUCUACUCCCACUGGUGAAGGAGAUGAUAUUUAAAUUGGAGUUACAUGUAAGUUAUACUAUUACAAAGACUACAAAGACAAUUUAAACUCGUGAUGGCAAUGAAGAAAACAACAUGAAGAGUUUGGUUUAAAUAAGGUAAUGUUGAAAUAAUUUAAACCAAGCUAAUUAAAAUUCUAUAUUAUUUAGUAUUUUAGUUAUAUUAUAUAUUGAUGUCAAAUUUGUGUCAAGUUUAAUUAUUAAAGUUGCAUAAGAAUUAGUUUUCUAAUUGUUUGGGAAGUUGUCCACGUGGUACAUGGAAGUCAUAGCAGCAGAGCACAUUUGGGAAUUAGUUAGUUUAAUAUUCUAUAUAAAUGCCUAGUGGCCGGUUUGUAUCAAUUGAGCAAUUUAUUCAAUUACCUUGAGUUGAGCAAUUUAUUCAAUUACCUACAGUUCCUUUGAUAUUUUUGUGAUUUAUCCAGCCAUGUGCUCAUCCUUACUCUUUUGCUUCUUUUGUCUGUCAUUUGAUAUAACAAUAUCUUCUUUUCGAUUGCAUGAUUUUUUGUGCUAACAUAAUCUAAACAGUACAAAUGAUUAAAAAUGGAUCACAGGUAUGAAUUUUGAUCCUCAUAUAUAUUAGCUUUUUUCUCAUAUAUAAAACAUUAUACUACGCUUUUUUCUGGAAACUUGACUCUGUCACUAGACUAUGUUUUUUAAGUAGUACCAGUAAUUCAUCUUUUCAUAUUGUUACUUGAAAAGUCCAAAUAUAUUCUAUGGCAUCAUCACUUGUGUGUAGUUAUUUAUGUAAUAGGUAAGUAUUUCAAGUAUUGGAUUUAUCAUCUUUUCGCCAAUGCAGUUAAUGCACAAAAGUAUCAUAAAUAAAGGGAUUUUAUUUUCUCUGCAAAAUCUAAGUCGGAAUGGUCUAUUUUAGUGUGUCAUUUUGGCUUGCUGCCUAUGGUAGUUAAUUUUAUUUCCUGAGCAUAUAGCAGUUUGGAUAGGGAGAGCUUUUUAAAGUUCUCCUUGGAUGCAUUCUUAUCGAAGAUUUUUUGAAAAUUUCACCAACGAGUGCAAAAACACUCAUCUGAUUCGGUGACGGUUCAAUUUCCUUCGAGUUUUUCAUUGAUCAAUAAAAUUUAUCGUGUCUGAAUAAGAAAAAAUAUAACAGUUUGGAUGCUCGACACUCUUGCUCAACACCAACCAAUGGAACCAUUUAUUUCUGUUCUCCAAGAAUUGCCGGUGUUUAAUGAGUAAACUUCAACCAAAGUGGUACCAAGCCCAACCUAAUUGCCAGGUUCUAACGGACACAAUUAUGCUUACAUAAAAAAUGUGCCCUUGUAAUUAGAGGUGGGUAGCAAAUCACCUCCUGUAUUUGUGAAAUCCACAUAUUACCACCUGAAGUUGGCUAAUAGUCAAACAUUGACUUUAAAUUCCAUCCAUGCAACCAACAAAAAGACCAUCAUGCCAUUAGAUAAUUUUUGUGUUAACAAUUGAAUUCUUUCACUAACAAAGGAUAAAAAUUUUAUUCUAUAUUUUACCAUUCCAUCAGAGAAAUCCCAUCAUGUGAGAAUCAUAUGAUGGAAAAAAAUGUGAUUUUGCACAAUUUGUCUGAUAUGUAUGAUAAAAAUGUCAAUUCACAAUUUUCUGGUAGUUCGAGCAUAUUUUAGUUAAGCCCACAAGGGGUUUUCUUGAUAUUUUUGAACGAUAAGGGGGGUUUAAUAACUUUCAGUCAAACCACAACUAUCACUCAAACAGUAAAUACAAAUUUGAAGAAAUUUUUUCUAUAUGUAUUAUUUUAAAUCAAAGACCAACAUAAAUUGGAAGAACUUGCAACAACUUCUCAAGAUAAUACUCAUGCACGCAAUUUGCACGAUCUUGAUGAAACUGGAACUAUUCUGAUUGCCACUACUUCUCAAACACAAAAUGUCACAGCUUGGGGGAAGAGAGAUAUUUUCCAUGUUCUAAUCUAAUCAAAAGAUUAAAUUAAAUAAACUGUAUUUUUUGCAAACGAAAAUUGAGUAUUAAAUUCGAAGUAAAAUCUUGUUUUCAUGCAUAGUCCAAUGACAUUCAUAAUUAUAGGAAGCUGGGCUAAUUAUGUUGGAAAAGGGAUGCGGCACUACAACGAUCAAAGGGGCAAUUUUGGUUGUUGGCUAUAUUUUUAGCGAGCUGGAUAUUCUAAGCAGUAUCAUGACAAAUGCACUCACUUUAACCUAUAAUUCUACUCAAGAAAAUGGUAAAAAGUUAUGUUUGAUGAAGAACAAGAACCAUUGAUUGAGUUUUGGUUAACUUAGUUGAAACACUCUGCCUUGGUUUGCCAACGUCUUAUGCAUUGCAACAAAUUUUGUCAAGCAAGUUAUCUACUAUUGAGAGAGCUCAUCAAUCUCAAACUCUUAACGAAGCUGAAGCUUCAUCUUCAAGUGAAUUUUUAGGUUGUGGUAAAUUUGAUUUUUAUGUACUAUUGAAUGAAAUUGUUGUUUAAUUGGAGAGAUUGAUCAGUGUUACUAAGACCCAUGGUUGGCAAGUCAAUCAGAAACAAAUGCUACUUCGUCUGUCAACUCACAAGAACAUGAUCAAAGAUCUUUGGAAGCUUUGAGUUUGAUCAGAGUUUUAAUCCUGUGGAAGGUUUUGAUGGCUUCUAUGAUAAAACAAGCCUUAAUGAGUUUCUGAGAAACAGUUUCGGGGACUUAAAAGAUUAAAUGAUUUUGAACUUGGUGAAACGGAUAGGAAGUCUGGAGUAACUAGUGGAAGAUAGCAAAGAAUGGGCUAUGAAGAAAACAAGGGAAGCAAGUUCAAUGUUAGAGGCGGUUACUAUUUCUAAUAUGUGCCGAGAGAAAAGUCCUAUUGCUAACGUGCAAUUCCUCCAUUUUCAUCGUUCUUGGAACUUUUCUAGCUUUAGCGGGGUAGAUUGCAUUCAAUUUUGCUUCUCUAUCUUGUCUGCAGUCUUCUUCUUGGUUCCUUUUUGUUUUCUCAAUAUGUUUCUAAUAAUUUUUAAUCUAUCAAAAACUACCCUUGUUGCUCAAAUGCUGCUUGUUUAGCAUCUGUCUCCUCCAUGUAAUAUGGAUUUAUGGCAGAAGGGUCGUCUAGUGCUAGAUCUUGGAGGAGGGAAAAAAAUUUUGGAGAAUUUUUCCGCUCGGUCUACUACAAAAUAAUGUCCAGAGGAGGAGCAGAGUUCCCAAACUGUUCCUUUUGUUGGGGUAAAGAGGUGAAAACCUCUAAACCGGAUGUUGGUAGUCUAUCAUUGAAACUUGUUGCUCUUGUGACUAUCCAAGAACAAAUGUUUGUUGAUGCCAAACCAUUUAGCAGGAAUUAGAGUUCUAGGUUCAAUUUCUCCAUUUUUCCUUUUACUCCUUAAAUCCUACCCCUUUUCUACUAAUUUUAUUUUUGUUCUUCUUUAGAAAAAGGUGAAACAUAAUCAACUUCCAGUUAUAAUGAUCCAAUGCAUUAAAGGGCUUCAGGCCAAGAUACUAUAAACUUCUCUUCCUACCCGUUAAGGUAAUUGAUGUGAAUAAACUAAUUAAUUCAUGUUAUAAAAAUGUCUGGAGAACAACUUCAAAAUUCAAACACUACAGUCUCAAAUAAUUCUUGCAUAUAUUCUACUGAACUCUCAUAAUUCCAUUGCAGAUUAACUAGGUAAAUCCAAUCCAUGCAGUAUUGAAGUGGAUUUUGUUAAUCAACAUGCACGCACGUCGCACGAUAAUCCUUAAACACAAUUAUAACUGGAACUAUUGUGACUGCUACAUACCAUUCCCUCAAUUGGAACUUGUUCAGUAUUGUGAGCAGAUGGAAUUUGAUUGGGGGUUCUGAUUUCUACCUAAUUGUUCUUUGUUGUUCUUCUCUUUCUCUUGCUUUUCUCUCUCUUAAUUUUGUUGCAAAUAUUUCUUUAUUUGUGUUGCAAGUAAUUUUUCUUUUUUAUUUAUAAAAAAAAAAGGAAUAAAGUUGAGCAACUAUGGGAUAUGUCUAGUAGUUGUCCAUAACCAAUUACACUUAGCCAACUAGAUGAUUAAAUCCAUUUGUUAAAGUUGAUGUAAACUCCUCCAGACUGCCACUAAUAUUAAUUACUACUAACAUUAGUUACUACUAAUUAAAACUUUUAUAAGUUUCUUUUGAUUUUCUCAAAAUUUCUUUAGUACUUUUUCAAUCUUUUACUCUUUCUAGUGCAUCUUUGCUAAAAACUCUACAAAAAAUACUCAUAAUUUGUACAUUUUGUGCAAACAUUCUUUUAUCAUUUUUAUUCAAUUCUUUUUUAGUUUUUUCUGUAGUUUUCCUUUUUUUGUAAUCUAUGACAAUAUAUGAAAGCUCAAAAUUAAUAGAUUUAACAAAAACUUCUAUCAUAUUCUUUCACACGUCAUAAUUUUUACCAUUAAAUAUUGAUAGCUUAUUUAAGGAUCUUCCUAACAUGAUACACAUUAAGUUCUUGUGAAGAGGAAAAUAUUGAAGAUUUAAUGGAUGAAAAGAUUGGUAGAAGUUUGUACAAAAUGUUAAAAAGAGCAAAUGGCUUAAAUAAGACUUUAAAAUCUAAUUUGAAUAAAUAUACAUUAGAAAAGAAAAUGAGAAGUUAAACCUUGCCAUUGAUAAGUUAAGAGACUCAUAAAAAAGUUGAAGAUUCAAACAAGGAAUUGAAGAAAAGAAAUAAAAAAAUUCAAGGAUUAAGUGAAGGUUUAUGAAUCUUUAAAAGUUGAACAUAAGUACUAAGAAGAGAGCGACUGAUUUGAAUUUGUGCUUAAAACAGAAGAGUAAACAAUGGUUGUAAAUCAAAGAAAGACUUCUUGCAAAAAGAAAAAUGAACUGAAAAUAUCUAAUAAUUAUAUGAAAAAUAUUGCUAAGACUAAACAUUGUGAUCUCCAAAAAUAUCUUGUAAUUAUUGUGGUAAAAUUGGACAUAUAUCCUUCUAAUGCGAUAGUAAGAAAAAUACUAUGAGUGAAAAGGAAAUGCAUAUAGAUUAAAAAGAAAAAUCUAUCGAAAAAUCUAUCAAUGAUAAGAAAGUGACUACAAGAGUUUAAUCCCUCUGCCCCUCCUCGUUUCUUAAAUCCCCCAUCUCCCCUAUUGGAAAAAAAAUUAAAACAAAAACCAUAAGAGUUUAAUUAUGUAAUAAUGUUAAAAAUAAGGCAUACUAUCUUUAAAUAAAUUUAGAGAAAAUAAAGUUUUUUUUUGUUAAUAGUUGAAUGUAUAAUGGUCAUAGAAAAGUUUUCAAUCUUUAUGAAGUCAUCAAGAAUUUAAAAUCUAAAGAUUAUCAAUAUCGUUUCUUUUUUUUUUUCUUAGUGUAAGUAGAAAGUUACAAAACCUAGAACUUCUUACUUACAUUGCUUCUUCCAUACUGUUUAACUUAUCUCUUCCCCUUAAUAUAGUUUCUAUUGAUAUACAUAAAUACAUUCACGUGUUAACCUUUUUAGGUCGUUGAUAAUAAGUGCAUAUUUUGUGUGUUUUUAGUGUAUUUUAUUAUUUAGUUUUGGAGUAUUUUAAUUAUUUUUAUAACUAAUUAACUAAGUUUCUAGCGAAAAUAUACAUUUUGUGGUUUAAGUGUUAAAAAUUGCAUUUCUAUAGAUUUUAAUGAUGAAAACUUCAUGUUUUUGUAGGUUUGAUGAUUCAAUCAUCAAAUAGAGUGGGUUGAAAAAAUAAUUGGAUGAUUUUUGAUGAUUUGAAGUGGUUUUAAAGAUAGUAUGAAGUGCAAGAGAGGAAAUGCAAUUAAGGGAGGUUUCUAGCUUUGAUACAUGUUGGUAUUUUGGCUAUAUCUUGAGUUACAAGUAUCAGAUUGAGGUGAUUCUUGUGCCAUUUUGAAGCUAACACAUAGCUCUAUAUUUCUUGUGAGACAUUGAAGUCUAGUUCAGUCAUUUUUAUUGUCAAAAUGUCCAAAUACAGAAGUGCAUUUUCAUUGUUAAAAACUGAAAUAGGGGAUUAACCAGUUGAGGGUAUUUUGAUAAUUUCUCAGUCUACAGAACUCCAAAUUUGAUUAUUAUUAGGCAUUGGAAAGCUAACUCAAAGCACUACAACUUUUAUGUUUUAUACAAGAGCUAGUUCAGCCCCCAUCAUCGAGAAAAUAUUAGUUGAAGCUGGUACAAAAACAGAGUAAGGAUGAAAACUGACAAAAAGUGAGCAAACCUGCAAUAAGGCAAAACGGGGGUACAAUAUGCAAGGUAGGUUGGGAUUUUGGGGCUGCGUAUUCUUGUUUUGUAGCUGCAACUUACUCUACAACUUGUUCUUUGUUCACACAAGUUUUUUGACCAAUUUUUUGUAAGAAAUCCGGCUGGAAAUGAGCAAGCAAGUGUGGAAUCUUAUAGAAACAACUUUUGGAAGUUUCAAGAGCCAACUUUGUCAACUAGAAACAACUCAUUUGUGGCUUGAAUCUCUUUAUAAAUAGAAGCCUUGGAGAACAUUUUAACAACUUUGGAAGGCUAGAAAAACUUCAUAAAAAUGUAUUGUUCACUACUUUUUCUUAGUUCAUUAGUAUAGUAUAGUUAGAGUAGUUUAUCCAUCUUGCACUUGUAGUUAGAUUUGGAUGAAAAUUUGAAGAGCAAAGAUGGAGAGUGGGACGUCAUGCAAUAAGGGUAAUUUCUCUCCUAACAUUUUCUCUUUUGUAUUUGAUUCAUGUUUAGUUAUAAUAUAAGUUUGGUAUUUAUCUUCAUGUUUUGCUAAAGUUUAUGCCCAGAGUUAUGGAUGAACUUUCUAUAUCUUGUUUGUGAUAUUUAUUUGGUUAUUUGAUGAUAUUAUUUUGAACAAGUUAUUUAUCACUUUUGCUUAUCUAAUCAUGAUUAACCGGCCAUUAAUUGUGAUAAUCUUAAGGUGUUAAGUUUGUAAUGAGAAUUGAGAUUUAACACUAGUUCAAGGAAAUGAUAAAUCUAAAAAAUUCACUCACGAGAGUAGAGGAGCACCUUUGUGACUUUGGUUUUCAUGUAAUUUCAUAGAAGAAACGAGCUUGUAGUUAAUUUCAUAAUCGUGAGAAUAGAAAAAAUGAAACUUCUCUCCUAGCACUUUCUCUUUAUAUUUGAUUUCAUACUUAGCUAUCAUACAAGUUUGGAUUUUUUUAUCAUAUUUAGCUAAAGUUUAUGCCUAGAGUUAUGGAUGAACUUUCUAUAUUUUGUUAGUAUUGUUUACUUGGUUAUUUGAUGAUAUUAUUUUGAACAAGUUAUUUAUCACUUUUGCUUAUCUAAUCAUGAUUAACUGGCUAUUAAUUGUGAUAAUCUUAAGGUAUUAAAUUUGCAAUGAGAAUUGGAAUUUAACACUAGUUCAAGGAAGUGAUAAAUCUAGAGAGUACAUUUACGAGAGUAGGGGUGCACCUAUAUGACUUUAGUGACUUAUUUCAUGUAAUUUCAUAGAAAAAAUGAACUUGUAGUUGAUUUCAUAACCACGAAAGUAGGCAUGAUUUAGUUACAAGUAUAGUUGAUUCACUAUGAGAGUAAGUUUAACAUACAUUAGGAAAUUACACCAUAACUAGCCAAGAUAAUAGCAUUUAGUUAACCGGUAACUUCAUUUGCAAGAGUAGUAAGGAAUUCCAAAUCUCUAGGAACUUAUUAUUUUUUUUUUAUUACUUUUUUCUCAUAUUUGUAGUGUAGAUUUAAUUUCUUGCACUUAUGAUAGUCUAAAUAAUAAAGAAAUUCGAAAAUCAUCAGUAAUUGACAUUCUUUCCUGUGGGUUCGACCCUUAAUACCCUAUACUCAAUUACGACUCGUAUACUUGCGAAAAAUCAUGUGUGAGAUAUUUAGGAAUUCAUAAAUAUAAAACUUGACUGUGGAUGAGCUAAUUGUUAUAUGUAUACCCCACGCUUAUCAGUUGAAAAUGCUUAUAUUUCUUGAAAAUAUAUAUGGUUGCAGUAUGAUCUUAUAUGAUUAAUUUGAAGAUGAUAAGUUGAAUGAAGAAAUGAAUACAAAAAUAAAUAUUGGAUGAAUUGGUACAUUGACUUGGAAUUGAUUAAAUGUUUAUUAGUUCAAUUAUCUUCUGAGUUGAAAAUUUGAAUGCAUUGCCAAAUGAAUAUGGAUAAUAUUUGAGAGUGAAAAUAUUUUUAGAAGAUUUAAAUGGGUUUGUUUAAUUAAUCUUUGAUAGUCUAAAUAUUCUUAUAUCAUUCACUUGAUAUUGAUGAAGAAAGAAAAACAACAAAAAGUAUGAAAAACCAUACUUUCAAAGUUGCAAAGAAAUAAAGAAAGAGAAGAAUGGUCAAAAGUACAUAUGAUAAGCAAAUAGAAACAAAUAACAAGCACUUCGUGGCACCAAAUGAUGAGGGAAUUCUAUCUCUCAAUUAUAGAAAUUUUGUUUAUAAAUUAAAUGAUGAUGAAUUUGGAGCUUUCAUUUGUCACUUACAAGAUAAAUUACUAAAAUCUUAAGGUCAAAGAGUAGAUGGUUAGAAAUCAAAACAGAAAAGCUCAUAUGACGUAAAAACAAAUGCAUGAAUUUGUGAUCUAUCUUGUUUAAUUCUUUAUAGCAUGUUGAAUCUGAGACGAAGUUGAUUUCACAAAUAUAAAUUUGGAUUUUAUAAAAAGGAAAAGAAUAAUAAGUUGUGUUGGAAAAAACUUAUAUGAUUCACUAAUUCUUACUCUAUUUUACAAGAUAUUAAAAAAAUUGUGGUUCAUUGCCUAUUAGUAUUAUUUUGAAAAGAAUGCAACAGAUAUGAUAUUUUGAACAUUUAAUGAUUUUUCACAAUUAAAAAGGCAAUACAAUUUUUUUUGAAUUUGCUUGCUAUGAAAUUUAAGUUGCACGUCAUUGUUGUGAUUUGUGCAUGCUUAUAUAAUACAUGUAUUUUUAGGCUAUAUUUGGAUUGAGAGAUUUGACGAAGAAUUUGAAAUCCUCUCAAAUUCCUCUUGUUGCUUUGAUUAUUUAGAAAACAUCUAGAUUAUAAAUUACUAAUUAUUCUAGUGUUUAAAAUGUAUUUAAAUAAUUAGUGAAUUACAAUUUCAAAUGCAUUUUAAACAAUCCAAACAACUAAACCGAUUUAAGUGGAUUUCAAAUCCUUUGUCAAAUUCUUCGAUCCAUAUGAAUCCUUACACUACUAAUACCUACUUAUAUAAAGUACUUUUCUUAAAAAUUGUGUAGUUUGAGUUUAGAUUUUAAAAAUAUAUAAUUCCUCAACCCAAGAUAAUCAUGCUCGAGCCGCUCAUGAAAAGCGAGCAUUCAAAUGAUUUGAUGGUUUUGAAAGUUGAAAGGAAUGAUGUUCUUAUCUACUAAGUUUAAAUUCAUACCAGAGAGUAGAUGAAGAACUAAACAAGUGGUAAAUCUAACAUCUUCCUUAGACAAUAAAUAUUAUAACUCUUAAAAGCAGAUGAAAAGUUGCAUCUAUAAAUGAUAUUUGCUUUUAAAAUUUAACUACGCUACCUCAAAUUGUGUAUGAGGUAAAUAGGUCAGAUUUAAAUGCUUUUUUGAGAUGCACCCUAAUUUUCAGUAUUAUGAGAAUUAAAGAUGUGAUUUUGGAAUGUCUAACUCUUUUGAUUUUCUAUGCAAACUUGUCCUGUGUACAAAAUGUGAUUUGAAAUUUGAUUGGACAUAUGGAUGCCUAAUUGAAAAGAACCCCUUUGUUUUGAACUGGUUCGUAUGUUAUAAAAGAGAGGAGGAGCAUUUUUUAUCCCCAAUGUUUGGGGUGUGGACUAAUUUCAUUCCUAAAUUUUUAGUCAAAACACAUUUUGUCAUCAUAUUGUCAUAAUUUUGACUAAUUAAGGAUAAUUGAUGGAUUGCCUAUCAAUUUAGAUGGAAUUAGAGUUGCAAACGAGUCGAAUUAAGUUGAGUUUUGGCCUAAUCGAAUCUAAUCUCGACUUAAUUUUAUCAAACUCAAACUCGAGAAACUUUCAAUGUAAAAUUUGAGCUCGAGUUCGACUCAAAUUCAAGUCGAAUCAAGUUUGAGCUCAAACAUAAAAUAUAAAAAUAAUUAUUUUUAUUUUUUAAAAAUUGAAUAAAAUGAUAAUUUUUCUUAACAAAUAAUAAAAUAUUAUGGAAAUGUAUGUAAUUUCACUGUUAAAAUAAAAAAAAUAUAUAUAUAUAUAAAAUCGAAUUGACUCACGGGCUACUGAGAUGAAUAUAUUUGAACUCGAGUUUUGAGUUCGAGUUUGAAUUUGAUUUUGACUCGAGUUACUUGCGAGCGACUCAAGUUUUGACUCGAGUUGCUUGUAAGCGACUCGAUUCACGUACCGCUCUAGAUAGAAUGUCAUCACUUUUCUUUGGAUAAAUAAAAAUUUCAUUAACAAAUUGUUGAAAAUCGUCUAAUACAAUUUGAUCUACAUUAUUGCCCUAAUGGCAGGUUAAACAUACACUAAAAAUUAUAGAUCUGCAAUUUAACAAAUACAUAAAUUCGAAAAACUAUGAAAAGAUCUAAAAAAUACAUGAAAUUUUUAAAUUAUCUUCUAAUAGAUAGAUCACUGCAGCUCCCUUCUAUGCAUGUUGCAAUCGUUAGAUCUACUAACUAAUGGUUUAAAACUCCAAUAAUGAUAAUGAGAUCUAUCAAAAUAGAUUCAAGAUCUAAAAAAUUUUCAAAUCUAACAACCAAAUCCGAAAUAAAUUUAGAUCUAACAAUACAAAAGAAAAAAAAAAUCUCCAUAGGAAUUCUUAGGAGAAUAGAAAAUUCUCACUAGGAAUUCCUAGGAGAACCAGAAAUCUCUCACUAAGAAAAUCGAGAAAAGACUUUAUUAGAAAAACCAAAACAAAACGAAACAAGGUUCACGAGAUGGUCUCCCUCUUUAAGGGAAGGCCUCUCAAAAGAGGAAAAGAAAUAGAGAGAAAUUAUAGAAUGUCAUCACUUAACUAGCAUGUUCUGUUAGUAAAAAAUGUUCGAUUGACAAAAUCGCUUCUUAAUUCAAGUUCUCCUCGUCAGCUCUAAAAAGCGGUGGAAAAGAAAUGACUUUAUCACAACCAAUUGAAGAAAACUCUUACUGCGAGAAAAGAGUUCAACAAUAGGUCAACUCCAAGAUAUGGUUUUGUUUUCAUAACUUAAAUCAUGAAUUAAGCCCUAAUAAUGUAAUUACUAACGGGGCAUGCUGAUCAUUUGAUGAUACUCCAUCCAAAUUAGUUGAUAAUUCUUCAAUGUCCUCAAUUGAUCGAAAUUAUGAAACUAUGAAGAUGUAAUGUAGUUUGGCUAAUACUUUAGGAACGGAAUUGAUCCACAACCCAAAAAUGAGGGAUGAAAAGUGCAUAAUUUGUUGUGGCUGGAGAGCAAGAGUUCUUCGAUAAUCGUCUUAGAGGCGCCUCUAUAUGCAUAUAUUUACUAUUUGAAUAUACACUCACAUUCAUCGAUCCUGUCGAGAUUUUUUUGUUUUACUUGACCUCAUUUUUUGAGAAAAAGUCCUGGCUUUAAGCACUUAUUAGACAAACUCCAAAUCCAGAAGUUCUUCACCUAAACUGAAAAUCUGUUACUAAUCCAAAUAAAAAGUAAGAUUAAUCUUUAAGAACAUCUAUUGUUUUGAUAAGUUUCUUUCUAUCAUUUUCUUCUUCUUUUUUUUUUUUUUGAGCAAACAACACCUUAGUUUUAACAAAUCCCGUACAACUGUGUACAUAUAGCAAUAAAGGACUAAUAAACAAGCCAAUUCAGUGGACAAAGAAGAAUACCAUUAAUACUAAUGCCAGCGAAAAUUUCGCCUUCAUUUGCCAGAAUCUUGGUCAAUAUCACAGCAGUAAAGAUUGCACCAUUUAAAUAAUUUGAUUCCUAGACAAAUCCUCGAGCGAUAUACUAACCAUUUUAAGAUAAUUUUAUAGACAAUAGAUCUCUCAAAGUUUUUUUUUUGCGUAAAAACACUUAUUUUAAAAAACACAUGUUUGAGUAAUGACAAUUUAAGUCCAAAAUAUAAACAGACUACUUAAAAUUGGAAAAAUUCUAAGACUAAACAGGAAAAGUAAUAAAUAUUCCCAAUACUUACGGAAAGGCAUUUGUAACUUAAAUAUGCAAUUGUUACCAAAAUGAUAGAAAUGAUAAGACUUAGAUCCUCAAUUAAACGUCAAGACAACCACCCCUACUUUCCAUUUGGGAAUUAUAUUUCAUAACCACAGACUUAUCUUUUCUUUCCAUAUCUUAAACCUAAAACCGUCCGUAGAUUGUUUAAAUUGACAAUGAUUUAAUCUUGCUAAAAAAAUUAAAACAUAAUUUAUAUGGAUUAAUAUUCUAUACAUGGACAGUGUAUACACUUUCACUAUUAGAUGUAUGAUACAUAAUUCAAAUUUGAAUUUGAAACAUAAAUUUUGUAUAAAUGUCGUGUAUCCAACUGUGAUAGUGGAUACAAUGGUAGUGUAUAUAAAAUUUACUCAAUUUUUAUGUGCUAAAACUUUAGGUGCCAGUUGAGAAGUGCAAACUUUGCUACAUCUGUUUGCUCUUUCAUUUAUUAGGUAGUUCUAUUUCACCUUUCUUAAAGCAUAUUUGUUGAAUAAGAAGUGACUCCAAUAACAACAGAAUUAACUAAUAUUGAAACCCUGAUGAAUUGGGGAAAAACAAAAGAUUUAGGUCAAGAGUUAAAAGUUUCACAUUCUCAAUUUUAUAAGGUGGCAAUUAAAUGGAAACAAUUACAUUCAAGUUCAUGAGUUAUGGCUGUUGAAUGCUCAUUUUUUCCUCUUUUUUUUUUUUCAAAAAAAAAUCCUUCUCUUAGUUUUUUUUCCCCUUCUGUAGUGUAAAGAGACAUCUACCCUAUUACCCACUAUGUUGUGGCACUAUUGUAAAAAAGAAAUUAGACAAUGUGAUUUCUAGCCCUUGUUUCGUUUGCUAUUGAAAUGUACUAAACUAAGCAGCGCAGGAUCUUAGUCUGCUCGGAUUUGCUUGUAUGAGCUGUUAAGCCACUCGUAGAAGCGAGUAUCAAGAAGAUCUAGAGAUUAUUUGAAACAAUUAUUAUAACAUUUUUUACGAUAUAAUGUAUGUAAGAUAAAUAAAAGAUUGAAAAGAUAAAAAAGUAUGUUAAAAAAUAUAAUGUGAUACAAGAAAAUAAUUUUUUGUCGACAAUUCCUAUCCAAAAAAAAAUGUCUUCCUUUGCAUUCACUUGAAGUACCUAAACUACAUUAUCAUUGACAACUAGUGGCUUGAGAACAUUUAUCAUCAUAUUUGGAAUUGAACAAUAUCAAACAUAAUUGAAAAGAGGUGCAAAAGCAUUAAUUACUCUUUAUCCAUCUCUACAUCCGGACAUCAUUAUAACUAAACUAGUUUUCACUUAUUACCAGCUAUGUUUUUAGAACCGGACGGGGUAUCGACUCGGUCGAGCUCAGGGGUGAAUGGGUUCAACCAGAUUCGAUCAGGGUUGAACGGGAUGAUGUCAUAAAUAAAAAUUAUUUAAAAAUUAAAAUAUUAUAUGUAAAAUAUCUAAUAACAUGUGAAUACUAAUAAAGAUAUAUUCAUAUAUAUUUGAUGUUUCAAAUAUAUUUAACAAGAAAAUACAAAGAAAUUAGAACAAUCAAGUAGCAAUUUAUAUUAUUUAAUGAGCAUUAACAAGUUUAGAAUUAAAAUUAUAGACUUAAUUGAAAAAUAACACCAAAUUUUAAGACAACAUUUAUAGAGUAUGAAAUAUUUGAGGUAUAUUAAUAAUUUUUAACAACCUAGGGGUCAAAACAUAAUAUUAAAAAUAUUUUGACCUUUCAAAAAAAAUUUAAAAAAAAGAGACCUUGUUCUUAAUUUUCCGGUCAAACCCGGUUUUUGACCUAGUUUGACCGAAUUUUUAAUUUUCUGGUUUUUAUGGUUAACUCGGACUGAACAAUUGGCCGGUCCGGUCUGAGUUUAAAAGCAGAGAUUACCAGCUGUCUGCAUAUCUCAAAGGCUGUGAUUUAGCAUUUUUUUACAUAACUCUCCUAUGGUUUCAAAAGUUAUAUAUAACCCCAUCAUAAUUUGGAUUAAAAUGUCAAAGUGACGAUGGGAAUGAUCAUUCGUAACGGAGUCAUCUAAAAUGUCAAAAAUACCCUUAUGUAAAGUUGAAAAUUAUUUAUUAAUCUAGGGGAGUUAUGUGUAUAUAUUUUGAAAACCAUAAUGGGGCUAUAUGGUAAAGUAUUAAACUAUAAGGGGGUUAUAUAGUAAAAUAUAAAAAUUAUACGGGAUUAGUGUGUCAUGUAUUUAUAAGGGUAAUUACGACAUUUCUAGAAGUUCCGUUACGGAUGACUAUUUCCGUCACUUUGACACUAUAAUCCAAACUAUAAAGAAGUUAUAUAUAGUUUUUAAAAUCAUAGGAGGAUUAUGUAAAAAAUAUUAAAUCACAGAGGGAUAAAAUAUAAUUUGCCCUAUCUCGAAUCAUAUGGUGAAGGUUAGCUGUAUUGGCAGCAAAAUAGAAACCAUCUUCUUUAACCAGCAAAUAGCAUAUACUGUCACCGCCAUCACAUUGUUCCCUUACAGUUUUAUUGAAAACAUCAAAUCUUGUGUCCUUCAUUCUCCAGUAAAAGUGACAGAAAAAUAGUGUCGACCAAAUGAAGAAAUUCUCAUGAAACGUCCACCGAAACUCGUUAUUCAUAUAGAGGGUGUGAUACCCUAAAUCAUCAUCUCCAGCUGAUUGACAACGAAGAACUAAAGGGUUGGAAUUAUCAGGAAGGCCAUUGACUACAUGAAGAUGAUAUUUACCCGUAAAAACAUCCCAAAAUGAAAAUGAUGCUGCGAGGACAAAGCAAAGUAGUGCAACAAGCAAGCUGAAAAGGCUUUUCGCUGUUGUAAUGACUCACAUUGGUCAUGAUAUGCUCUGGUGAAUUAGGAGUUACCGCGUUUAUAUAGAACAGGGAAUUAUAUACAAGAGAAGAAGUGAGAAUUUGGUACGUGGAAAAAGACAACAAAUAAUUGUGCCUUGAGCCAGCAUUUCUUUUUCCCAUGUUUAAAUGGCAAGCUAUUAUUAAUGAAAUAAUUCGUUACCAUGUCAGGAGUACUGAAGCAUCAUGUCUUUUUUCUCAAAAUUUUUGUAAUUAAUGCGGUGAAGAUGUUAUUCAGAUGUAAGCUUUGAAAUACGAAAUCGUCAUUUUUGGAAAUAAAAUAUAAUCAGAGAUGUAGGCUGCUCUAGUGUGUGUGUGUGCCCAUCCAUAUAUACAUAUAUAUAUAUAUAUAUAUAGUGUGUGUGUGUGUGUCAUAUAUACAUAUGUGUAUAUAUAUAUAGGCUGCUUUAGUGUGUGUGUAUAUAUAUUUCACAAUGUAAACCAUGAUACAAUUUAUAAUUCAAUUGUUAAAUACAUGGUGUACACCUUCACUACUCACUUCUCUAAAAUAGGCACUCGUCAAUGAACUUUUUACGUUUUAACUUUUUUGUUUGGACAUUUCUUUAAAACAAUCUUUUUGUGGAACUGAAAUAAGCUGUUGAACUAAGCCAAAAUGCACUUUGGUCGUCUUAUCAUUGCGUCAUAUAGACCGGAAAAAAAUAUGGUAAAAACAAAAUUCAAUAAAAAGCACAUUGAAGAAACUUUAGCCAAUUGAAAAAAAUAAAUAAAUCAAACCUAAUUUGAGCUUAUGAACAAAUUUUAGGGAUACGACCUCCCGCAUCAAGAAGUUCCUAAUUCCUAUGUGUCUUUCCUUCUAUUAUUGGAUCGUAAUUCAUCCCAAUAAAAAAGAUUUCUCGUCAUACUUUAAAAGAAAAAUAAAGCAACAAUAGUUUUACUUUUUGGUUGACAAUAAGUAACCAAAUUUAUAAGUUUAAGAAUAGAAAGGGGCAAAGUGCCCAAAUAGUCCUCUAAUUCAACAUGACAAAAAUGUUUGGUUCUCGUUUACUAAUCUUGCAUUGGGUUCUUUUGGAAUAACAUUCAAAAUAUUGGGACUAAUUUGUAGACAGCAGUAAUAUCCAAUCAAUUUGUGUCCUAACAUUUAAAUAGGACUAAAUGCCCUAAUAUUCCCCUUGGGAUUGUUCGGCUGAAUCCACAAGUACCCUGCGUUGCCUCGUGGAAAGUGGCGUAUUUGGUCUCGUCGGCUGCUGGCCACAAUUCCUGGAAGGAAGAUUGGCCCGCCCAAUGCCGACCAUCAAUAGUCGUCUUUGGCAACGUCAAAGUUCAAAGUCCACGACCCCGUAAUUUCCUCGAAUUUAGAUCAACACACUUGAACUUUUGUGCUAUUUUUUUAAUCACCAACUGGAGGAUUUGAAUGUGGCAUUUGGAUCCCUCAAAAAAAAAAAAAAAGAUAAAAUUGUAAUGCUUAAAAUGUGACCCUUUUGCACAAUAAUUCACUUAAAUUCAUAUUCUAGCUGAGGCCUUGACAUUUCUCUACCAUUGUUUAUCUCCAAUUUUGCUCCAUUUUUUUAGUGUUUGACGAGACUAUCCAAACAUGAUUUUAUGCAACUCUCAAGUGAGUUUUUUUUUUAUUGAUGACCUUAGUAAUUUUAUCAAACUGUCUAGUAAGCUUUUUUUUAUUGAUGACCUUAGUAAUGUAAACAAAGAGUAGAAAGUGAUCAUUCAACAAAAAGUCUUUAUUUAUAUAUAACCUAUGUGAACUAUAUACAAAACUAAUCACAUGACCUAUAUAAUCACUAUUUAGGUCAUAUGACAUCUCAGGAGAAGAUCUAAAAUUUGUCUUUGUCCUUUAAACUUUCCUCCAAUAUGCCAAAUAAUGUAAAUAAUAGUACCAACAAUUCUAGCAAUUCUAAUGAAAGAAUGCUUGAAGACAAUCUCCUUUCCAACCUUUCACAUUUGAUUUGCAGACUUAUUAAGCUACUAAACCAAUAAAGUUAUAUAUAAAUAUCAGAGUCUCUUACCAAAAAAAGUUUUAUUGGACGCCCAGAAAUAAAGAUUUUCAACAUACAAUCUUCUUCCUAUUUUUAAAUGGAUUUUUUCUUUCUCUAAUAAUCGAAAAAUAAACCAUUAAUGUUUUCAAGAUACCAUUUCUUCUAAAUUUUAAUAUGAAAGAAAACAUUUUUGUACAACUAUUUUUUACUUUAGCUCCAAGCAAAUUGAUGAUAGUUAAUGUCUAAGAUUCUUCCAAAAGCAAAAGAAAUAUGAUAAAUUAACAUGCCAAAAUUAAGUCAAGCACAAAGGGUAAAAAUGUUUGAUUCCUAAAGGUGUUGUGGCUGGUAACAAUUACUUGAAUUUGUCAACCAUCCAUUUUUUUUUAACCAUAACAAGAGAAAAAAGAAAAAGGGAAAAUUACGUAAAAAUUGUAGGCGUGGAAAAUGACACCUCUAUAAAAACCAUAACCCUGAUUCCUCGCUUCUUGCUCCGCCUUUCGCCUCCCUUUUUCGGCUCCUUCACCUGAGAACCAGCCAGGAAAACGCAAAGGUAGAGGAGCGCAGCCCAGCCCGGCCCGGCCCGCUUGUUAGAGACUCUCACAAAGUCAACAUCUCAGCUUAUUACUACGAUCAGGUAGAUCAAUCGAUCAAACACUUGCAUUAUUGCAUUAUACAAACGAAUCCCACUCUACUAGGUGCGGAUAAAUUCAUGGAUCUACCGUUCUUUUCUUCAUUUUAUUGAUUUGGAAUAGAUUAAAUGCCUAUAUUUCUUCAUGGAUGUUCUCAUUUCUUCAUAAAAUUGUCCCUGAUAUUCAGUUACCUUGAUGUCUGUCUGUAGAAUUUUUAAUUUUUUUCUGGGUUUUUGAUUUAGAAGAUUUGGUAUUCUGGGUUGUUUCAUUUGCGGAUUUUAAGUUCAGAUCUGUUAAUCUUUUUUGGGACACACUUGCAUUAUUGCAUUAUACAAACGAAUCCCACUCUACUGGGUACGGAUAAAUUCAUGAAUCUUCUUUUCUUCAUUUUAUUGAUUUGGAAUAGAUUAAAUGCCUAUAUUUCUUCAUGGAUGUUCUCAUUUCUUCAUGAAAUUGUCCCUGAUAUUCAGUUGUCUUGAUGUCUGUCUGUAGAAUUUUUAAUUUUUUUUCUGGGUUUUUGAUUUAGAAGAUUUGGUGUUCUGGGUUGUUUCAUUUGCGGAUUUUAAGUUUAGAUCUGUUAAUCGUUUUUGGGACUCUUUUUUCGUGUUGCUUAAAGGGUUCCAAUUUCUUGGGACUGCUCUGUUUUUUCUGUUGCAUAUUAUUAUGGAAUUUAUAUAUGAAGUGUUUGGAGUUUGACUAGUAGAUUCCGAAGGGUAUGAGUCUCUUGAUGUCAGUUUGCGGUUUUUGCUCCGAUUUAGUCUUUUUGGGAUGUUUGAUUUACUACAAAUAUGUUUGCGUAUAAGUUGUGACAGAGUUUUGAGAUGAGGCUGUGUUUGGAUUUUGUUUCAAUAUGAAUUUGAGUGUCGGAGAAUUGAUUCAUUUGCUUGAGAGAUGUCAUGUUUUUUUAUUGUCAGUGGAGUCAGCUUGCCUCUGCUAACCAAUUUCAUUUACAAAUGGGUUUUUUUGUUGUUCUAGGAAGUGAAGAACAGAAAUGGUUUCGUUUUGAAAAUGAAUAUAUGUGUAAGCGGCUUCCAAGUACAGUUUUGAUUUUACGAUGAUGCUGCUGUUUAGCAGUGGGUGCUUGUGAGAGUUGAUAAUAAAUAUUGCUUUCGUCUAGAUACGGUGAUGGAUUUUGAUUAGGAUGAUGAUUUUUAUUCUUAGAGAAAAGAUCUGUAAGAGCUGCCCUGCUAGAUAUCUGAUUGCUAUUUUGCAACCUUGGUGGCAGUUGAGGAUAGUGCAAUAGUGGCAAUUGCUAUAACAUCUUAACUCAGUCUUUUUGUCUAUGUUACUCUCAUAUUUGUAUGGUUAUCAACUUGUCUUCUUUAAAGUUCUCUGCCUUUUCUGGUUGGAAAUUGGACUCUUGAUCUUCAUUGCCAUGGUUGUGCCUUGCUUUUAAUCUACCUUUACAUAAUCAUUUUGUCAAUCUUACAGAUUAAGGUUUUGUCAAUCAUUUUGAUAAUCUGUCAAUGUGUGCCCUCAAGUUUGACAUUAAAGUUCUAUAUGUAACAUCUGGGUUAGUUCCCUAUCGUGUUGUCAGUCAGUUUGUGUCACAUUAUCUCCUUUUCUUCCAUCAUGUAUGUAUAUACUUAUAUUCUAUUCCUUAUUUUCCCCAUAUAGCCUAGCUUACACGCGGUGAUAGUUGUUUUUUUCUUUCGUGGCAGAAAAAAUGAUGAUUGAUCAGACACAAUAUCCCACUGUCGCUCAGAAGAUGGCUGCCAAGCUCCAUGCACCGACCACUGUUAAAGAUCUUCAAGCCUGUGAGGGUGGUUUCCAGAAGCCUUAUCUGCAUCAAAGAAAAUUUGCUUAUGGAAACUUUGCAAAUCCUGCAUUCAAAUAUCAGAUGCUACAGUCAUGUCAAGCAACACAAAACCUGUCUAUGAUAGCAUCAUAUGCAUCUCCAGUUUCUGUCCAAGCCCCCUCAGAAAAGGGAUUUGCCAGCUUUGCGAUUGAUUUUCUCAUGGGAGGGGUCUCUGCUGCUGUAUCAAAAACAGCUGCUGCUCCAAUUGAGCGUGUGAAGCUAUUAAUUCAAAAUCAGGAUGAAAUGAUAAAGGCUGGUCGGCUUUCAGAACCAUACAAGGGGAUUGGUGACUGUUUCACACGAACAGUCCGGGAUGAAGGUGUUGUUUCUCUCUGGAGAGGCAACACUGCUAAUGUUAUUCGUUACUUCCCUACUCAGGUUGGUCAACUCCCGUGUUGUUAAUCCUUAAUUAUGUACUACUUCUCUUCUCAAUUUGCCUGACUAUUUUAUGGAUUCUGUACAGGCUUUGAAUUUUGCAUUCAAAGAUUACUUCAAGAGUUUGUUUAACUAUAAGAAAGACAGAGAUGGAUACUGGAAAUGGUUUGCUGGAAACUUGGCAUCAGGUGGUGCAGCUGGUGCUUCUUCCCUCGUCUUUGUCUUUUCCCUGGACUAUGCCCGAACUCGAUUGGCAAAUGAUGCCAAGGCUGCAAAGAAGGGAGGAGAGAGGCAGUUCAACGGCUUGAUUGAUGUCUACCGUAAGACCUUUGCUUCUGAUGGCAUUGCUGGACUUUAUCGGGGAUUCAAUCUUUCUUGUGUUGGAAUCAUUGUUUAUCGUGGUCUCUAUUUUGGACUGUAUGAUUCUGUGAAGCCAGUGGUCCUCACUGG